AACUAAGUACCUGAAGUUGAGGAACAUAUGCAGCAAGAGAUGUGCCCCACUCUUCUCCACUAUUAGACAAAUCCACCGAGUCAAGGUAGAGCUCUCUUAAGUUGCUGAGGUUUACCACAAAGGUAUCAAAACUUGAUUCCCAUAAAUAGUUAUAAUAAUCAUAAUAGUUUGGACCAUAAAAACCGAGAGAAUAAUCAAUAUUGUAUGUUGAAAGAUCCAAUGAGAGAAGGUUCACUAGUUUACUGAUGCUAGGAGGUAUCUGACCAUAUAAUCCUGAAUUGGAAAGGUUUAGGUGGGUUAAAAAAGUGAACCUCUCAAAACCAGCAGAACGGAUGUUGUCUCCACCGAUGUCAUUCAUGCUAAGGUCGAGUCGCCGAAGUGAUAUGAGGCUGAAGAGUGCAGGGUCCAAGCCAUGACUUGACAAGCAACGGUUGUUGAGGUCGAGAAUGGUGACAUGGCCAGACGAAGGGUCACAGCCAACACCCUCCCAGAGACAACAGUCGGUACCAUUUCGCCAUGAUGAAAGCCUGGUGGUGGAUCUGUGAAGGAGAAGGACUUCUUCAGCUGGAGGAGCGCCUUAGCUUGGUUUGGAUGGCACAAAAAUGAGACAGGGAGGUGAGUGAGGUUACCACCAUCAGCACGGUGGGCAAUAGAGGUGGAGAGUAGUGUGUGUAGCUGAGCAAGAAAGAGCAGUAACACCCAGCCGAUGGAAGCCAUAGCAACUCAGUAUGAGCCGAUGAUAGGCUUACAAAGAGGCACAAGGCAGAUACAUAGUAAUGCGUGACAGAUUGUUAUGCAGCUUCCAGCUGCUGUCAAGUCUUCGUCCAUUAAUAAAUUAAUUAAUUUACGAGUACCAUGGCUAAGCUGUACGCAAUUGCGACACCUGAGGAGACUUGACUGUACCAUGGGCUAGCUGUACGCAAUUGCUACACCUGAGGAGACUUGAUUAGCCUUUCGUCAAAUGCUGUUGGUAUCAUCCACUGCUACAACAGUGACCGGUAAUUGGAAGUCUCACUAUAGCAAGACUUCCAAGUCAACUAAGCCGGCCGCUACAUUCUGAGGAAGGUGGAAUUGAAGAUCAAAUCAAGUUGGGCGUUGGGAUGAAUUAGUCCGCACUCCGCAGAUAACAACAUCGAAUAUGCUGAUCUGAUGAUGUGCUUCAUUUUCUUUUUGGUUGGAGUGGAGCGGCAUCAAGAUCCUACUGCUGUGGAAAACACUGACUUGACUCGUUUUAUCUCGCACAAAACGUGGCUGAAGAUGAUAGUGGUGCUUAAAGAAUCAGCGAGAAGGAGCAAGUAAAAAUGCAGUUGAGCUGCAGCUGAAACAUGUCGCGACGUAUUCCAGCCGCGGUAGUUCUCGUCUUCUCGAAGAAGACGUUGCAGUGUUCACGUCUAGAGCUCAUCCAAUCCAUAGCGUUCCUCCGGCCGAACCGUGCGAUACGAAGGAGACGUCGCGUCACAUGCAUGUUCCUCAGGUCGCCUUUGCCUACGACCAAUAAGACGAUGACACCAGAACCUUUUUGUUUUUUUUUCUAAUCAGCAGCUUUCAAAGCGGGUACCCGCGGACAGCGCUGACCGUGUCAAAUUUGGCGAGCAUUAGCCGCAGUUGCACUCGUCCACCACCACUGAUUGCUGAAGCUCCCUACAAUACAGGGUAAGGAACAUCUAAGAUCUGAGCAAGUAAAGUCAGGAUAUUUAACUAUUUGUCAUUCUUACGGAUGGUGCUCCUUCAAAAACAACUCUAACGAAUUCCUACAUAUCUGUCAUUGAAGAAAGAAUUAGUCUAAACUUUUACCAUUUUUGCAGAUGUGGUGAGCCACGUCCUCGUGCUAGCGUGAAUUGAGCUGGCAAUGACCAUAGUGCCCCUGCCUCCCUCACCUUAGCCAUCCCCUUCCCUCUAUCCUGCCACACCUAUUGCUGCAUGGUCUUUCGUUGUUGUGCGGCUCCUCUGUGGUACAUCGCAGGGGAGGAUACCACGACUUGGAGGUGCCGGGGGGGAGGAGGAUACCGUGUUGAUGCGCAAAUCUAGGUGUCCACUCCUUCAUUGAAGGAUAUCCAAACACGGCCUAUUCACAGACAUGGCCACUUAACUUUCAGCUUACAUCUCUUGAUGUGUAAUAUGGCUCUGUUUGGCAUGGCUCCAACUCCAGGUUUUGCUGCUCAACUUCGGCUGGAGCUAGCUUUGCUUGGAGUUGGAGUUGGAGUUGUGUGGAUGGGAUGUUUGGUAGAAGGGUACCCAGCUCCAAAAAAAGAGGAUUUUCAUAGUUAAUUGCCAUUUUUGCCCCCUGGCCCCACAUGUCAUCCUCUGUAAUACCAAUUUUUUUCCUUUUUUGUGAGCUUAUAUUCUUCCUUGGGACUGAAUCAGCUCGUCUGCUCGCCCAUGGCCCGCGAGGCCUGGCUCGAUUCACCCUACCCAAGCUAGUAACCAGAUAGAGUCAGCAGCGCACCGGAUGGGGGCUAGCAGUGGCAAACAGUUCUAGGUCGGCAGCAGGCGGAUCACAGGACGUUGCCGAUGCACGGGAUAGAGCUUGCGGCGUGUAGAAUGGGCGCGGCGUAGGAUGGGGCCAGCUGGCGACGUGCAGGAUGGGGUGCGCGGGGUGGGGCCAGCGGCGUGUAGGAUGGGUGGGCGGUGCGCGGGACGGAGCCACCGCACAGGAUGGUAGUGGUGUUGGAUGGGUUUAGCGGCGCGCAUGAUGAGGUUGACAUGUAGGACAAUGGCGGUGCGCAAGGGGAACGAUGGCUCCAGCCCUCACGCGCGAUGGCGGAGGCGCAAGGUGAUGGUGACGGCGCAUAGUUGGAUGGCGGCAGCGGCAAGGAUCAAGGAGCAGCGGCACGUGGGCUGAGGGUUGGGUCCUGGGCUAGGGGCGGCACAUGGGUUGGUAGUCACGAGGGAGAUGAAGGUUGUGGGAACAGAUGAAGCGGGGGGGGGGGGAUAGAACCGAAACAUUUUCUUGUGUAACCGACGGUAGUGGUGGGUAAGUAUCUUGUAACUCCACGUCUAGAUACGUUUCGCAGUGUUUUGGAUCUGUGAAAGUGGUGUUCUACGAAAAUGAACUAGAACUCCAAUAACUCCAUGAAGUUAGACUGCUUCAUUUUUUUUUGGAGUUGGGGUGUUUGGCUGGCUUUAUUUUUUGGAGUUCGGGUAUUGUUUUAUUUACAUGGCUUUCCUAUAUAUCUACCGAAAGAUAAUUACUUAUAUAUCGCCUGAUGUUUGAGACUGGUGCAGUGCAAAUAGACCAUGAAGACUGUGGGGAGCAAGAAAUGCAUGCACUGACUACAUACGUGACCAUGGAGUUGGACAAUGACACGUGUCAUCAACUGAAAUGUUGGACGUGGUGGGACAAGUGGGUGAGAGUGGCUUGUUUGAAUUUCAAUCUUUAAAAGAACUUUAUCUCUUAAAUCACAAGUUAUUUUUAAAUCUAUUUAAUUUGAACUGUGGCAUUUCUUUGAAUCGAUUCAACAAAUAAGGUCCAAUGAAAUAUUUUAAAUGUUUUUUCAAAAAAUCAAAUAUACUAGCUCAUGUUACAUAUACUAAUUUAAUAUUUUGAAUAUACAAUUUCAACAUUGUAAUUAAAUUGAUUCAUGUUUUAUAUAACAUGUAAACAUUUUGAAAUAAAAAAUUUUGAUCUAGUUUUUCCAAAAUGUUGACUUAUGGUUUGAAAAUUGUUGAAUAUAGUUGUUUCAAAUUGUUGAUCUAGUUUUUGAAAAAUGUGAAAUCUAAUGUUUUUGAAAUGUUGAUAUAUGUAUUGCAAAAUGCUGAACAUCAUUUUUUCAAUGUUGAUCUAGGUUUCAAAAAAAAUGUUCAAUCUAGUAUUUAAAAAAUGUUGAUCUAGGUUUUGCAAAAUGUUGAAUAGAGAUUUUUAAAAUGGGGAUGUAUGUCCGGCACAAUGUUGAAAAAAAAACAGAGUUGGAAAUCAAUAUACAUGUGUGAGACCAGAUACACAGGUUAGCUCACACUUGACAAUAGCGCAGGUUUUGUGCAAGGCCAGAUGCUUGAGCACAACACACUUAUUUACCCAAAAGAAGAUUAACAAGUACAAGAAGUAACAGCAGAAGAAAGACCAAAGUAUACCGCAACACCUCAUCAGAUCACAGAUCCUUCACUUUCACUAGAGCAUAAUUCAUUCCUUCGAAAGUCACACCUUCCAGCAGCGUUCAAGUUCUAGAAACUCUUGCAGUUGCAAUAAACCAUCUGCCAACCCGAUUCCAUCUCACCAGAAUAGCAGCUGCGAAUCCGACACCAAAGCCCAACCCGGCGAAGAGAAACAAGACCACAUCAACAUGAUGAAAUGACUUGUCUACCUGUGCAACACCAGGAGUGUAAGGUGAAGCGCCAUAGGGUAACUUUGACAGCGGUGGCCCGCACAGUCCAGCAUUUCCUUCAAAUGAACUGCUGUCAAAUAUAUGUGCAGAACUGACGCGAUUGCGGUAUCUUCCCCACCAAUUUUUUUUGAAACUGUAGACCCGGCUGAGAUUAUCGGACUUGUAUUAAUUAAUAGAGAAGAGAGUCACAGGGCCUAAGCCAAAAAUAAAGGAAAAAAUAUAUAUUGAAAUUACAAAUUGGCGGUGUGAAACGGCGAUCAUUCGUCGAUUUGGCAGAUAGAGCCUAAGUGCCUUGCUCCCACUAAAAUCCAACAUCGCGCCUCCUCCUUGAUUUUGCCGAGUAGUUGGUCGAGGCUUUUGAAUUUUUGUUGAAAAACUCUAGCAUUGCGCUCCUUCCAGAUUUCUCAAGACACCAGAAUGAUCAGUGAUCUGAAACCCUUCAGCGGGGUGCCACUCAUUGACCCUAGUUGUGUCCACCAUUGGCUCACAGAUGAAAUUGUAGUCCAAUCUCCUCUAGGCGGGAUGUGUGCAGCCGUCCACUCAAAUAUUUUGUCCCAGACUCGUAGAGCAGAUGCAAUAAUAUUUCGUCGUGCGAGUGACAAAGCAUGCAUACUUUUUGAUUGGGCCAUCCUUGCGUAAUCAAGCGAUCUUCCAUCCACAGUCUGUUUUGAUAGGCGAGCCAUGAGGAGAAUUUGCACUUCGGUGGUGCCCAUGUUCUCCAGAUUAGGUGCUCCAUGUCCGAGGGUAUUGAAGAUUGGAACCGCACCAUGUAUGCCGAAGUUGUUGUGUAUUCACCGUGCUUGGUCAGAUUCUAGGUGAUGGAGUUUGGUGUUCCCGGGUUGAGCUAGAUUGAUCUUGUUCCGGCUCAAAGGAGAGUCAAUUCUGAGAGAUGUGUCGUUGAUGAUAUGAUGGCCACAUUGAUGUCCUAAAUCCACCUGUCGUUGGUUAUGGCAUCCUGACCGUUCUUCUCUUGUUUUUUGAAAUUUUAUACACCGACGGCGCAAUAUUUCUUAGCGCUUCCCCCUGCAGCCAUACCGAGUCCCAGAAUUUGGCCUUCUCCCCAUCUCCUAACGUGAUGGUCAUUGCAGACGCGAACAACUUUUUAUCCUUGUCGUUGUACGGUGUUGGCAUACCGACCCACGGUUUGCGUGGUUCCUUCCAUUCGUGCCAUAACCAUCAUAGUCUCAAUGCUCGUGUGAACUUCUUUAGAUGCAGUAUUCCUAGGCCACCAAGUUUAGUCAGUUUGCAUGCUGUGUGCCAUGCCACUUUACACUUGCCGCCGACAAUCUGAUCUGCACCAGUCCAGAGGAAACGCUUCCUUCAUUUGUCUAUUUCUUCCAGUAUCGUUGCUGGGGCGUUUAGGGCAGAGAGGUAGUAGAUCGGUUGUGAUGAGAGGACCGCCUUGACUAGUGUUCUUCUUCCCGCUGGGUGAGCAUCUUGCCAGCCCAGUUGGCUAAUCUUGCGUUCUCUUUGUCGGAUAAUGUCUCAAAGUGAGCCUUUUGUAAUCUGCCUAGUGUAGUCCUAGGUAUUUGACUAGGAAGGUUGCUCUUGCUGCUGGGAAGGGGGCUAGAAUCGAAUCCAGCUCGAGUCUAUUGCAACAUAUGGGUGCUACCGAGCUUUUCUGAUUGUUAGUGAUUAGCCCGUUGACUUUGCCAAAUUUGUCUAACAGCUCUUUGGUGUUCCGAACAUUCGCAGUUGUCAGAUUAAUGAAAAUUACCGCAUCGUCCGCGUAUAACGAUAGGCGUAAGCGGGCACCACCGCAUCUCCUCCACCUCAAACCAAACCCUAGCUCCAAGCCGCACACGCUAACAUCGACACCCGAGCCACCGCAACCCUAGCUAGCCACACGCCGUCGUCGAUCCGUGCCGUCGCUGCAUUUCCGUCGCCAAGAAGACCCCCAGGAGCUUUGCCGCAAGGUGAGGAAGCCCCUGGUGUGGCUCUUGUGCGCUCCCAUGCCUCUCUCCACGCGCACGAGCUCGCCGGAGUUCGGCAAGCUCGGUUGGGCCGCCUCAUCGAGCCUCCGGCCGCCACUAGCGCCCAAUCCUCCUCCUCAACACCCUAGAUCAACUCUUCGUGUCUGUAGCUUUCUCCAGGGCCAGAUCCUAUUGAAAAUUGUACCUGGAAACUCAAUUCUGAGCAAAGUCCAGCAUGUCGCCGCCGCGUGCCGCUCGCCUCCGCCGCCCGCGCACCGUCGAUCUCCUCUCGGUAGCUGCUAGCCGUACGAUCUGCUUUCGACAGCUCAGAUCCAAUCUAAUCCGAGUCAAACCAGCCGCGUACCGGUCAAACCCCAUGCUGCGCUGUUCGUUUUUCUAAAGAGUCCCUGGGUUUCGAGGUUUUUGCACCUGAGGUCCAGCGUAGUUCAAAGAUCAUUAGAUCUAGGUCCUUUUUCUUCUGUUCUAGCCCCUGAGCUUUUGCAAAAUAGUGCCCACCAUCCUAGAUCCUCUCUUUUGCGCGUUAAACCUUUGGUUUAUCCGCGUAUUUAUGUUUUAGCCCUCGGUUUCUCCAAGCUUAGCUUCUGAAAGUUUUAAAUCUUUGCCAACAAGCUCAUGCACCUUGUUUAGUGCAUAUCUUUAGCGUUUUAGGUCCGUUUUCAGUGCUUCCUGUGUCUAUGAGUUUGUCUUUACGCAUAGAUUAGUUUUAUGAUCUUAUUUCUCUCUAUUGUUACUGAUUGAUGUAAUGUUUUCUUAUUUUAUUCCUUUGCUUGCUUGUAUGUGAUCGUGUGAUGGGUCAGAAGGACUGCAACUCGAGGGAUUCGGAGGUCAAGACUUUGAAGACUAUGAGCAGCUGGAGCAAAUCCAAGAAGCCAAGUUGUGCCCCUGUUCACAACUAAACCUAUGAAACUUUUUACUUUCCUGUUCAAUAACAUUUAUGCCAUGCACUUUAAGUUACAAACAUAAUGGAUCCUAACUAAGGAGUGACUAGUUUUAUUCCCAGUAUAUUGAUCAACCCGGGCUUACAUAAUGUUGGGUAGUACAUGCUUAGUUUCUCAACUUGGGUAUGGUGGUAUUAGUGAACUUGAUGGUUAAACUUGUUUUAUUUAUGCUGUGCUUUUCAUUAACACAAGAUCACCAUGCUUAAAAUUGGAACAUGGAGAACCACCCGGGAAAACAAUACAACCACAAGAACUAAAUGGAUCUGGUCUUGGCUAAUUAAUUAGAGACUUUAGUCUGGGGUAAUCUUACCGAAAGGGCAAGAGGGGCGGUGGCAGAUGGGGUAUAACCCGGUCCUCUUGUGAAGUGAGCUUUGCUAAGAUACUAUGCCCACUAGGGAGGUUUAUACUCUGCAACUGAUCUGGAAACCUUAGCGGGUUACCGCUUACUAGGGGAUCUUUGUAAAGACCUCGUAGCGUCCCUAUGCAAUCACACCUCGGUAGUGUGGUAUUGUGCCUAGCCCGCACAGCAUGGUUGGGUCUAAAGUUCUUUUGAACUUUUACGCGACUUGUGGGUAAAGAUGUGCAACCUCUGCAGAGUGUAAAACUGAUCGAUCAGCAAUGCUCACGGUCAAGAGCGGCCUGGACCCUCACAUGAUUAAAUUAUCGGAAGUUGAAUUAAAUUAUUGUUAUUUAUUUCUGUUAUCUUUAUUUAUGUUCAUGCUUAAUGUGGGUGGUAUAAACUUACAUUUAGUAAAUGCUAAUAAAACUUGACCAACCAAUUAAAAUGCUGACUUGCUAAUCAACCUUAGCCUAUCCUUGAACAGCCUUACACUACACAUUCCUCACGCUUGCUGAGUACCAACCAUAAGUGUACCCACCCUUGCUAAAACCGCUACUCAAAAUAAGUCAACGAUGUGGAGCUCUUCCAAGAUUGGGAGGAGUACUAGGCGUACGUGUUUCUCCAAUCAUCUGCCUGUGAAGUCGCCGUUUUCGUUGAAGAUCCGCUACGAUAAUAAUAUUCUUUUUGCUAUUCAGUUUAAAAGACUAUCGGUCAUGUAAUAAUUGUAUACUCUCUCUACGUUAUGACAUUGUCUUUGUUACUCACUGAAGUCGUCGCAUGUGUGUAAUUUGAUCCCGGUGCACAUGUAAUUUAUGCAUUAGUUUUGCAUUUAAAAUUGGGUGUGACAGAGAGAUACAUGGCCUUUUAUAUUGCUUCUGGACAUGCUGAGAUAUCUGGUGUCCCUAAGAUAGGAAGCCCAGUUGGGUGGGACGGAAGAGAAUCUGUUGUUGGAAUAUCCCAAGAAAGAAGCUGAUGCGUUUGGCAUUGGGAUCUGCCCUAAAAGCUUAUUGAAACUAAGAUCAAGCACUAGUAGUGAUUUACUAAAAGGGAGAACAUCCGAAGCAAGUUGCAUGCCCGUAAGCACGUUAUGCGAAAGAUUCAAAUAAUAAAGGCUACUACUGCUCCAUGUCUCCCAGAUCCGAUUUGGUAUAUCCCCACUGAUUUUAUUAGAUGAAAGAUCCAAAUAUUGUAUAUUUUUAAGACGCAUCAAAGAUGUUGGGAAUCGAAUUAUAUUGCAAGACGCGAGCCCUAAAUAGUAAAGUCUGGCCAAAUAGGUAGCCAAAGGAUUAUUACCAUCUGCAUCCGUGACAUGCAACUCAUUGUAGGAAAGAUACAAACUGGUGAGAUCACUUAAUCUCCAAAAAUGGGAGAGGUUCACGGAACCUAUCAACUUGUUCGAGCUAACAUCUAUAUGUACCAAACUUGUUAGUUGAAAGAAGGCCAUGGGAAUAAAACCUGACAGAACAUUGUUGCUCAAGCGCACUUUCGCCAACCGUGAUUCUGCCUUGUCAAAGCCAUAUAUGGGGCCAGAAAGUUGGUUGUAAGAAAGAUCCAGGACACUUAAUGCAGGAAGACUGAAUAUAGAUGCUGGAAUCUCUCGUGCAAAGACAAUAGAAAACAUUAAGUUAGAAAGUCUCCUCUUCUAGAAAUAUCUGAAUUCAGAAAAUGAUGGCUCCUAUUUUGUUCAGAACAUGAUAAGUUAUGCCACUGAUACUGUACCAGCGAAAAAGCUCCCAAGCCUAGUUAUUUUAUCCUUAGAAAAUUGCAUGACAUGGACUCUAAAAGCCAACACUUUAUGUGGUUACACUUAAAGAGUGUUUUGUUUCACCACUCAGUCCAACUGCAGAACGUGCGGCUAGCGGCCUUCACGGAGGAGCAAACUGGAGCGCAAGAGGAGAAAAUCACCAGAAUCAAGAGAGCUGGGGUAGCAAAUCGCCCAUUUGUUCCUGUUUUGUUGGCGUGCUGUUUAUGGGUAGUGUUGUUUAUUUUUAGGUGUAUGCAAAAAGUAUUCUUGAUGAAAUAUGUUGCAUCACAUAUUCUAGAAUAAAAAAGUGAAAAUAUUGGUGCUCUGUUGAAUUUCAAUUAUAUUGCUGGAAUUCCUUCCUCCAUUUUUUUCUUUUUCCUUUUCUUCAAUUUUCAAUUAUGUUUGAUGGAAUUUCUUUGAUUCAAAUUCGACUAUAAUUUAUUGAGCUUCAUGCACCAAUCGGUUGCACCUAAAGUCUUAACCCGAUUUGGAAGGACGAUAGUUCUAUUAUACUUCAACAUAAUUAACACUCAAAUUCCAAGGAAAACCACUUCAAAUCCCAACAGCCAAGUGGAGCCACAUGGGUAUAGUGGGGAUUUAGGACCUCAUGUUAUACUUGUGCAUUUAACAAAGGUUAGCAACUCUAUUAUAUUUUAAGAGUUUAGGAAUCUAGAUGACUUCAAGGAAAAAGUUCAGAGAUCGAUAAUCAUUAGGAAUAGCCAGACUUUUGGUCCUACAUCGAUUCUUUUUUUCUUAAGCGGCUGGCACCAUUACACUGCCCGACAUAUAUUGAUAGGGUAGGAGGUCUUACAUCCAUUCCACUUGUACAGCAACUAGUGUAACUCAAGGGCUAAACAAUGUGCUCCAAAAAUGCUUGAACAAGUAAACACAAGCCUGAGCAUAUAUUGGGGCCGUUCGGUUGAGCUGGCUGCUGCUGUUAAGCAGCACAGCUGAUCAGCCGGCCAUGCAGCUGCUACAGCAGCGCAUCAGCUAGGCAGUGGCGCAUCAGCUGGGCAGCAGCGGCUGCAGGCAGCUACUUUUGUACCCAGCGAUCAAGUCAAGUUUUGAAAACAAACAAUGUUGUAAACUCAGUUGGAACUGGAUUAUAUAAAAGGCAAAAUUCAAUGAGCAAACAAAGGUCACUUUAAACAAUCAUUGAAAGAGCAAGUACAAAUAUUUUUUGAUUGAGGCUUCAGAAUAUAAUUGCAACAAAUUACAGUACAGAACCACAUUGAUAAUAUUCAGAUGACUAACCUAUUAAAAUAAGAUCACAAAUGCAUACCAUAUUUCAUGAUAAUGUGACCAGUGAAUCAUUAAUUCAUCUAAAAGACACAUUUUUUUUCAGCUCCUUCAGAAAAAAGAAAUACCGUGACAAGCAUUGCCGUCUCAGCUCCUUGAUUGUCUUUAAAAGUAACGUAGGCAAGCAGACAAACAGAGAAAUAGGCCCAAUAUAUUGACUAAAUAUAUGAUACAAGCACAACCACAUAUCUGCAGACAGUGAUAUGAACCAAAUCACCAGAAGCGCUAUCCAUAACUCUCAAACACCUCAUUUUAGUUUCCAAGACCUGGGCACCCUGAUAACAGUCUAGUCUAGCACAAAAUAAAUGGCAUGCAUAUUGAACUCAAGAGUACACAGGGCAUACAAUUAGAACAUUUUAGCCCUACCCUACAAUAGUUGAUCAGUGCUUUCUCAAGUCACAACAACAACAAAUUAGAAAGAAAUUGAUAGGUUAUAUUCAUAACAACAAAAUAGCAAAUUGAGAAAAUAUCUCCGUCAUGUCAACCCAUAAAGUCCCGCUGCAAUCCAAUCACGAACUUUACUAAUAUCAUCGUUGGCAGUAGCGGCAAACCAAUCUGAUGCAGGAUCAUUUUCAUCACUUGUCCUACUAAGAUAGGUCCCAUGAGCAAACAUGUCAGCACCAACCAUUCCCGGUUCGUUGUUGUCCAAUGCAAAAUUGUGUAGCGCAAAGCAUGCAACAAUAAUCUUUGAUUGCUUCUCCAUAUUAUAUAACGGUAUACCUCUUAGAAUCUGCCACUUAUUCUUUAGCACUCCAAAAGAUCGUUCCACAACAUUCCGAAGGCACGAAUGAUGGUAGUUAAAAAUUUCAUUCAAAUUCUCAGGACCUUUGGCAUUAAACUCCGAUAAAUGGUACCUGCCCUUGCGAUAUGACGCCAUAUAACCCUCACGCAGUGGGUAACCAGAAUCCACCAAAUAGUACUUUCCUACAUAUCAACAUUGUUAUACAAAUAGCAAUUUAGAUUGGCACUCCCAUAUGUUGCAUACUAUAAAACUUACAAACAACAUAAGAUCACCUUGGGGUGGGUGAGGGAAAUGCUCAGCUUGGUUUAAAGCCUCCCUCAAAAUAGCAGUGUCAUGCACAGCACCCUUCUUCCCCGUAGCGACAAAUGUGAACCUCAUGCCCAUGUCACAAACGGCUAAGACAUUCUGGCUGGUGAACCCCUUUCUAUUGAUAAAAUCAUCAUGUGCGUGCUCAGGGACUGACACCGGAAUGUGGGUUCCAUCUAUAGCUCCUAUGCACCCAUCAAAAUAUGGUGAGAAUUGAUGCAGCUUAGGAUGCACAUACCUGAACAGUGGAUCCAUUGGUCUAAUAAUAGUACGUGCAAAAGAGACCACGGCAUCUAACACUUCACCGAACUUCCGACUCACGGUGUCUAGUGACCUACGAAAUCUAUCCGACAUUUGUCUCUGGCAUUGUCUUGUGCCACAUGCCCAUAGGAACAUCCCUAAUGCCUCAACUGAAUCACAUUGUCGUGUGGAUUUUAGCCCAUGGUUGGACACUAAGAUUGAAUGCAACAACUGGAAUGCAGAUGGAUGGAGACGGAAAUUUUUGUAGCACUUCUUACUGUCAGCAAGGUUAAUAGCAACCCAUUGACGCCCAGUCAACUCCUGCAAGUGCAACGGACCAUCUUGCAUGCCACAUGCACUUGAGGUAGACGAUGCAUACGCAGCUAACACACCAAUGGUUGCACCCAUGUACCACCAUGUAGACCCCUCAUCGUUCAACCUUGCUGGUGAGGUGCUGGUGUUGCUCGAAUUUUCGGAGCUUGACUUUCCUUUCAUUUUCAGACCAUAACAGUGAUCAGUGGUCCCAGCUUCUGUAAUCAGCGAUCUGGAACAAAUCUGAUUCUUUGUUAAGCCUAGAUAUGCUAGUUUCAAGACGACAUAUAAAAAGCAUGCCAUGUUUUCUUAUCUAAGAAUCUCUAAAACAAAAUAAUAGCAUAUUCAGUACCCAUCUUUUAACAUGUUGUGCCCCUUUUCUUUUCUUUCAAAAAUCCUAAGUACUUAAAUAUGGAAAUAUGAUUUCAUUGCAUACCUUUACGAUCCAUUUGACCUUCACUUGUUGAUAGCCACCUCAUUCAUCGUGAAGACCUUCAGGCUGUAAGGUUGUAAACAAGAAUUUCCAAAAUGUUAAAAACAACAGUAGCAGCAUCAUACUCAAGUGGAACGACACAAAUUUAUAUGGAUUAGUAGCAUGAAUAAUCAAGGUCUAACACAACAUAAUUCACAUUACAAACAUGAUGCCACACCAUGCCAUAGUCACAGUACAAAUACACACAUUCCUAGGUAGAUGCAAAUACAUUGUAAUCAUGGACCGGUAUUACUUCCUCUUGACAUUAUCCCAAGUCCAUCGGAGCCAUGCAAUCCGGUUCUCUGAAGCGGUAAUGCUCCUAUAAGAUGCACGUCGGGCUGGUGAUCUAAACAGCUCAGUAGCUAUGAAGUACAACUCAGACCCAUUCGGUACACCAUCUUGUUCGACAAGGUGCAGCAUUUCCGUAACCUCCUCUUCCUCACGGCUGAUUAGAUUUCUUUCAUUCAUAGUCCUUUGAAUCAUGCUCUCAGAUAUACGCUCGACAUAGUACUCCAUGCUCUUAGUUCUCUUGGGUGAUGGGCUAUCAACAACAUGCUCCUUUCCGGACCUUUGCGACACACGACCCACACUAGACCGUCCAACAGUGUCCUCCAACCAGUCAACAUUUUCAUCCACCAUUGGGUCAGGGGUGUCUUCACUUCCACAGCUUGGUGUUCUAUCUUCAAUUCCACCAACACACAACAUUGGACCGCCUUCAAUGUCCGUUGUCCCGAAAAGAGUGGUUAACUCAUCAUAGAAUGGAAAUGUCUUGCCACGGAAAUAUUUGUUUGCCUCGUUCUCCUAGAAGUCAUAAAUAGGAAAUAUGUAAGCAUGAGGGCAAUCCGAGGUCAAAGCCGAAGGUAAAUGAUAGAAAGCCAUAAUUAUUAGGACAAAAAGUAGGUAACUCAAUUCGGGCUGCCCACCAUUCAUCAUCGCAAUCAAUGGUGCGGGUACUGUUGUUCCACCCGGUACCACUCUUGUCCUUUAGUUUCCUCCAAUCCUUGUAUUGCCUCUUAAAGGCAUUAAAUUUGUUCUGAAGCUGUUUGCAGGAAUAUUUCCUGCCCAUCUAUUGUUUGAAAUUUGUAUACAGGUUGUGCCAACCUACCUUGGUUAGGCCCCUUUUGUUGUAGUUGAGCUUGUUCUUCUCAUCAAUGCAAAGGUCUAGGAAUAUUUUUGUAGUGUUAUCAUCCCAAUUGGCACGACCUGCAUCCAUCUGUGUGCUACUUUGAAUUAUAUGCCUUCCUAAGUACAAGGUGCUACUUUGAAUUAUAUGCCUUCCUAAGUACGAGGUUUGUAUGCCACACACGCAGUAGCAAUGACAACAUGCAAGAUACGAAUCAACAUUUAUCACAAAGGGAACAAAAAAGAUGGAACUGAUGCUUGCCUCAUUGUGCUUACGUCUUGCAGGAGUUGUACACAGCAGGAACCGAGGGGCUUCAUGUGGAGACCAUGACGAUGUAGAGGAGUUUGCCAGUGCUGCUGCCUGUGGAAGUUUCUUUUUUUGGCACACAAGGAAUGCUCUCCUUAGCUAGAGUCGUAUUUACUACUGUAAAAAGAAUAUAUAAAGUGAGAAAAAUUUAAAAGUCAGCCUAAACAUUGUCAUAUUUUAAUGCAGGAAGUAAAUAGUAAUGAGCAAAAAAAAAGAAGAAUAAUAUUUACUGUCAAAAGGGAGGAGAGAAUUUACAGUCACCUAAUUUUUGCAGGCACUUCCCAAUUCCCACCCACUGAAUGUUACUGAGUGGAUUUAGUGGUUUCUAUCACUAAAACUAGCCACUAACAAGAUGAAAGCAGCAGCAGUGCAGAUGCAAAAUAGCAAUGCCCGUGGUGGUGAUGGCCGCAUUUGUGGCACUCCAGAGUAGCAGCAGUGCAGGUGCACCGUCCAGUUCAGUCAGAUAGAUGAGCGUCAGUUGAUUUCCGAGGGCAAGGCAGAUCAAGCUGGCAAUGCAACAUGCAGGCAGAGGUAGCCAACAAUGCAGCCCUUUCAAUUAGAGGUACUGGUCAGUGCAGCUGACAAAAGCACACCAGUAGUAUGCAAGUUCAGAGGUGGUCACUUGAGUUUCAGAUUUGGAACACUUUUGCCUCUUUCUAAAAAUGAGCAGUAAGUAAAAUUGGUGCAAUGGAUUGUUUGCCUGGCGUCUUACUGCCUAUUCUAGCAUAAUUGACCUGAACGCCCCUAAGGUUGAGCAUAGCUCAUGUUUGUUCUGAAUACAGGGAGUCAAUAAGUCUUAUAUAUUUUGUGUUUGCUAAAUAAAAAUUAUAUUACAAUACUACCAAAUGCAUAUAAAUAGAAAGAUAAUAAAUUAACCAAAUGAUAGAUCGGUCUAGUCCGAAACAUCUGUUGGAAACACGCCGGAGUAACUCCGAAACGUCUGUUGGAAACAUGCCGGAGUAACGACUCCCAGGUCGCCGGCGAGUCUCCUGGCCAAAGCACAGGGACACACACGCACACACAGGUAGACACUGAAUUGGUGCUUGCUAACUUGGCCCUCUUCCUUGGCCUUUAUGCCUUGUAUUUAUAGACUAUUACAAGGAAAGUAAUCAGGGCUUCAAUCAGCCCGAUGCACACAGCCACACAAUUGCUAACUGUCUAUUUGCCAGGGCUGUCAUGGAACAUUACAUUUCUGUAGAUGAUCAACAACCAUUACCAUGAGUUACCAUUACAACAAUAUGCUCCUGUCGUCCAACAUACACAAGAUGCACUUACAGUACAGAGCAGAAUAAUGGGAAGCCUUCACACUUCACACUAGUGUAGCUAACAAAAUUGAAGGCACAUGAGAUCUUACUGCCUACUCUACCAAAAUUGACUCAAUUACGCACGAUAUAAGAGGUUACUGCCUAAUGUAAGGCAAAAGAGAUCUUACCCCCAGGUUCUCUGUUGAGAUGCACAAAAUCUAGCAGCAUACAAAUGUAGAUCGAGAAUGGAGAGGAUUGGCGGAGCUGGGUGGACCGGCGAUGGUGGGACGGAGCGGCGGGGCGGAGGUCGGCGGGGGCGUGGCUGGCCGGCGCCGGGUGAGGGGCGGAGCUGGAUCGGGCGCGGACGGUGGGGCGGAGAGGAGGGGCAGAGAGGAGGGGCCGCGACGGCGGGGCGGAGGCCGGCGGGGGCGGGGCUGGCCGGCGGCAGGGGAGGGGCGGAUGUAGGUGGGGCGUCGACGGCGGGGCGAAGAGGGGCGGCGACGAUGGGGCGGAGUCUGGCGGGGGUGGAGCUNNNNNNNNNNNNNNNNNNNNNNNNNNNNNNNNNNNNNNNNNNNNNNNNNNNNNNNNNNNNNNNNNNNNNNNNNNNNNNNNNNNNNNNNNNNNNNNNNNNNCGGCAGGAGGCCCGAAAUUCAAUCUUCCCAUCGGAAUCUGGGAAAUGUAAGGCCGCGGAAAUGGGCCAGAGUCUGGCGGGGGUGGAUCUGUUUUGCGGCGGGGGAGGAUUGGAGCUGGGUGGGGCUUCGAUGGUGGGGCCGUGCCGGCGGGGGCGGGGGCGGCCGGAGGCGGACUGGGCGGCGGGCGCUGUUCGGGAGAUGCAGGACCUGGACAGGGAUUAAGUGCAGCUGUUCGGCUGCCUUGCUGGGCUGUUGCUGUUGGGCCGCAGCCGAACGGCUAGGCUGCACAGCAACAGCUGCAGCCGCCCAAGUAGCUUAAGCGAACGGGCCCAAAAAAAGACACGGGAGACAAUAUUCACUAGUAGAGAAUUCACCUUCUAUACGUCCCAUUUUGUCCCGGUUUAAAGUUGGCCCGGGACAAAAGGUUCACCAACCGGGACUAAAGCUCGAUCACUGGUGGGGGGCUCACCAACCAGGACCUUUUAUCCCAGUUGGAAAGGCUAGUGGAAAAAAAAACCCUGAGAGGCCUUUUAUCCCGGUUUGAAACAUCAACCGGGAUAAAAGGGUCCCCACGAGUUAAUACAAAAAGAUUGCAUCCCCUAUAUAGUCAGAUGUGCUGUGUAGGUGGGAUGGCAAGGAAGCUACGCGCGAGGGUGGAGGUUGCGGGUUCGAAUCCCACGCAGUGCGCACGCGCAUAUUUUGCGUGAAAAAUCGCGUGACUUGUGACUUGCGACGUGUGGGGGGCCCUCCCGGGAUUUCUUUUUUCUUUUUUGCAGCGGGGAUAAAAGGGGACCCGGGACAAAAGACCCCCCCCCUGUCUCGGUUGGUUUAUCUCCGGAUGGAUUUUCGGAAGAUUUGCAUCCUAGCAACCGGGACUAAAGGCCAAUUCUCUACCGGUGAUUAUUGUUACCUUGGAGAGAAUUAAAUGAAAGUUCCAGCAAUGUUAACCUAGUCAGAUUAGCUAUUGAACUUGGUAUGCUUCCAUAAAAAUUGCAACCUUGAAGAACUAACCAUUCCAACUCACUAAGCUGGCCGAUUGCAUAAGGUAUCAACGACCCAAAAUUCUGAUGGCCUAUUGGGCAAGGUGUCGGAGACAGAGAAUUAUAACCAAGAAUACGCAUGGAUUUCAAAUUAGUGAGGUUACCAAUUGCAUCCGGUAUUGGUCCUGAGAACCCACAAUUAUUUAUAUACAUGUUUCUCAAAUUUGUGAGUCCGCCAAUUGCAGCCGGCAUAGGCCCUGAAAACCAACAAUCAAUUAUCCACAUGAUUUUCAAUUUUUUUAGUUUGCUGAUUGCGGUCGGCAUUGGCCCUGAAAACCCAGAAUCAAUUAUACCCAUUUUCCUCAAAUUUGUGAGGUUGCCGAUAGAAGAUGGCAUGGAACCAUAUGUUGUGCAGCGAUCCAUUUCCAGUGUUUGCAAGUCCACGAGAUUCCCAAUUGCACAAAAUACUUCCCUAGGGAGGUUACAAUCAACCAUUUCCAAGCUUCUCAAGUUCUUGAAGUUGCUAACCAAGGUAGGCGUUAUCUCAGAGAAGUUACAUCCAUAGAGUGCCAAAUUCAAACUCAUUAGGUUCUUUUGCUGUCCAAUCCAUGAGAUAAUUGAUCCUAACUCAUUGAGUCCAGCGUGAGGUCCAACUGGCACAGGGACCUAAGUCUACCAAAUGAAGAGAGAAAAUCCACCGAUAAAUUCCCUCCGAGACUCAAAUGCUUCAAGGACUUGAAAUUAUUAGAAGGCAUUGAUCUGGCAUAAGAAAAGUUGGUCCAGUCUAGCCUCAAAGUCUCUAAAGAAUUUGGAUAAGAAAAGUUUGGCAAAUGCCCUCCGGAUUAUUGGACAAAUCGACAACUCUUAAUUUUUUUUUAUUGGAAGGGUUUGAUGGGGAACCGCCCCUCAAGAUAAAUACUAGAAAGUUGAAGCACAGUUAAAUUGAUAAAAUCCAUGAAGAUUUCUGGAAAUGGACCGGCAGUUAUAUCACCAUUUCUUUGGAGGUUGAUCACAACGAGAGAACGGAACCGCGAGAGAGACUCAUGAAUAGGACCACUCAGGCUGCAAGUGGCCAAGCUGAGUAUCUGAUGUCGAGGAACAUGUGUAGCAAGAGAUGUGCACCACUCUUCUCCACUGGUAGACAAAUCCACACUGUCAAGAUAGAGCUCUCUUAGAUUACUGAGGUUUGCCACUAGGGCAUCAAAAUCGGGUCCCCACAGAGAGUUAGAAGUGACAAUAUAGUAGGAGCUGUCGGAUGUGUCAUAAGCAUCAUCAUCAUCAUCUUCAAAGGACUGGAAAGAUCCAACGACACAAGGUUCACGAGUUUACCGAUGCCAAUAGGUAUCUUGCCACACAAGCCCAAAUUGGAGAGGUUAAGGUGAGUUUGUUGGAAAAAUAACGUGGUGGUCAAAAGACCGAGAGGAAAAUGGGAAGGAUAAGAUUGACGCCCGACUCCGACUCCCUCGCGCACGUCCACCCCGCGCCUCGAUCGGAGGUGCAACCGAACAAUUGGUUGCGGCCCCGAGCGACCCGGCCCCGAGCGACCCAACUCUAUAAGAGAAGGGGGCCGGUGGGUUUGGAACAUGCCAACGCACCAAACCCUACUCACACCCCCUACAUGCCUCCCGAUCACAGUGGCGUUGGAGUUGCUCGAAGGCCGUCGCCACACCACCAUUGCCGUCUGUGGACAGAAGAGGUGGAGACCUGAAGGGAGACGCAAUCUACUCCGAGCUAGUACACCUAUGGCACCCGUCAUCCCGGCCUCGUCCACGACCCUAAUGGCCGGAUCGUCACAAGCAGUGGCAGCUGGUUGUACUCUAACAUCUUCAUUGAGUGGUGUUCAUGUUCUAGAUGUGCAAAGAUCCUGUUUUAGUUAAGAUUAAGUAAUGUAGAUUCUUACAUUUGGUAUCAGUUAGUCAAUCCCAUCUAGACUUGGAUCCUAAGGCUGUGUAGAUUGAAUCUUAGUGUGCAAUUGAGUUGAAUUGUACUGGUUUUCUAUGUUCUUGAUCUACACAGUAGCUUUCUAGUACGAAUUGCUAUGCUAUUAGGCUUAAUCUUCUUCAGCUACAUGUCAAUGUUCAAGUUUUAGUUCACUGACUUGAUCUGUUAAGUCAGAUUAGACCAAAUUAGUUCUCAGUUAGCCUAAUUCCAUGCCUAAGCUACUAGAUCAGUUCUUAAUUAAGUCUAAAAUCAAGGUUAAUUAAGUCAAUUAAGUUAGUCUCUAUGUUUAAGUUCAGUUAUUUAGGUCGAGGUCUACUGUUUUCCCCAAACCCCACUGUCUAGCUCCAAUCUGUGCAAUUAAGUCCUCAAUCAGUAAAAUUGGACACGCAAAAGCAUGUAGAAGGAGAGGAAUUGGGCGAAUUUCAGGUCGAAUUAAGGAAAACCCAAAGAAAAUCCCCAUCAGAAAUCCUAACCCUAACUCAAGGAUAAGAACUUACCUCGAAUCACGACGGCCGCAUAGGGCAUGAUGGCCGCUGCGUGUGGAUGCCGGCGUGCACCUCCGCUGAGCCACACCGGCCAUAAGCACGCACAUGAACAAGUCAAGCCGCGGGCCCGGAUGCGCCUCGGUCUCCUUCCCGUGACCCAACCCGCGGCAUCAGAUCCUCCACGCACGAACCUGUCGACGCCGCGGCAAGCUUCAGGUUAGCUCGCCAUCACCGGUCUUGCGGCCGACCGCGCCUUCUGCUCAGUCACCCCCUACCAUGGAAAAGUGCUCCAGUGGAGCCCCCUGACGGCGCGCCGCGCGACUUGGUCGCAUGCACGCGCCGGUGGGAGGGCCCGCAGAGGCAUGGGCGCAGGGUGGCGGCGCAGCUCAUCGGCGGCUGCUGCUCGGGGUUGGGGCAGAAGCAGGCAGAGAAGAGGGGAGGGUUGCAGUGGAGACAGGCAAAAAUGGCCUAGGGUUCGGGAGAGGCGCAGCGCUCGCCGGUUUUGUCCCACCGAAACUCGCGCUCCGCCGUCGGAUGCAACGGAUGGCUUAGAAGAGCGCGGACAAGCGCAGCGCGCUGUUGGGCCAGAUUGGCGGCCCACCCAUUGGCUGCUGGGCUUAGAGUCUAGGCCGGCGCGAGGAACCCGGCAUGGGCUGUUAGCUGGGCUUACUCGGACCAUGAGAAGGCGCGGGCCCACUUAAACUCUGUGUGGCACGUGCUCUUUAGGGCCAUGAGGAAGGAACGCCGUGCGCCAUCGUUCUUGCACGAUUGGGCUGCCUGCGAGCAGGGCUUGCGAAGGUCGUUAGCUAGGCGCGGACUGGUUGUUUUGCGCUGGGCCGAUUUCGGCCACUAGCGGGCUGCUGCUUUUUUGGCUCGCACGGGCCGUCAGAUCGCUGGCAGGCCAGCGGGCCAUUUUGCGCUUGCAUCAGUUGGGCCGUCAGUUGAUAAGUGCGCACUUGGGCUAUUUCGGGCCAAUAAGGGGAGGUAGCUACGGGCCAAAAGUUGAGUUUGCGCUGGUUUUAAGAUUGAGCACGGUCCACUGUUUCUCCCAUUUGUUAUGCUAAUAAGUGUCUAAGUUGCACAUAGUUAAAUAAAAUAAUAUUCUGAUUAAAUUGAACCAACACGAAAUUUAUUUCACAAUUAUUUAUUAAGGCAUGCAAUUAAUUUCUGACCAAUGUUGAUAUUAAUUUGAUAUGCAUAAGUGUUUUAUUUAAGUUUUAAGUUAUUUUGCUUCCGCCCAACAGUGAUGCGAAAUUAAUUCAUGUUAUUUUAUUUAAGUUUUAAGUAUUUUGCUUCUUCCCAACGGUGAUGCAAAAUUAUUUCAUAUCAUUUUAAUUAUGUCUUUGCUUCUACCGAAUGGUGAUGCAAAGUUGUUUAUGUUUUUAAUCGAGCCAACGCAGAUUAAAUUUAUUACUUAUUAUUGUUAUCAUUACUAAUUGAAAUUCUCUCAUUUACUCAGACUUGACUCCAUCAAGCAUCAUAAGCUAUGUCAACAGUACAGAGAAGCUUGGAGGAGACAACUUCACUAAUUGGAAGAACCAGAUUGGAUUGGUCCUAUGCAUUAUGGAUCGGGACCACUUCAUGAGGGAGAAUCAUCCUGUUGCUCCGACUGCUCAAGGGGAUAAUGAUAGUACCCUUCCUGAGCGCACUGCUGCCUAUGAGAAGGAAAAAGAGCGGUAGGAGCGAUCAAACAGGGUGGCCCUAAUGAUCAUGGAGCGGACCAUAAACCUUGCAAUAAGGGAAGCUAUUGAGAAAAAUCCCAAAAGUGUCAAACAUUUUAUGGAGAAGGUUGAGGAGUACUUCAAAAGCUUCAGUAAGGCUAAUGCUAGCACCCUCCUGACUAAGUUAAUGAACACUAAGUAUGAUGGGCAAGGCAAUGAAAGGGAGCACAUCAUGAGCCCCGUUGACCUAAGGGAUAUGCUCAACGACUUGAAUUGCCCUCUUAAUGAUGAGACACUGCUUCACCACAUCAUGCUUUCGCUGCCCUCAGUGUUUGAACCCUUUAAGAUAAACUAUAAUGGCAGCAACAUGAAGUGGGAUAUUCCCACACUCAUCAUGAAGUGUUCUCGGGAGGAAGAAAGGCUCAGAUCAGAGAAAGGCAAUUUUGCCAACCUCAUCAGGCAUGAGGUAAAUAAGGGAAAAAAAUAAGCAAAUUGUCCCUUUUAAGAAAAUUAAGAAGCCUCAUCAACCUUCUCGUAAGAAUGAUGGGUCAUCCUCGUCUAAGGGUCCAAAAUGCCAUCAAUGCGUGGCCUAUGGGCACAUCAAGAAGCACUGUGAAAAGUUAAAGGAAUGGUGCAUAAAAAAUGGUAAUGAUGACUUUAUUUCUACAGUCGAUGAGUCCCUUUAUGUUGAUUUUUCAUUAAGUACAUGGUGGAUUGAUUCUAGGGCAACCAUUCAUAUUACUGAUUCCUCACGGGGAUUACAUGGCGCACAGACUAUAAGAAAGGGGACUCGCGCCGUUAAAGUUGCCAAUGGAGUUGAAGCUGAAGUUGAGGCUGUUGGAGAUCUCACUUUAGAACUUAGUAGUAUCUUUAGGCUUCAUUUAAGUAAUGUUCUUUAUGUACCAUCACUUAAGAGAAACUUGAUUUCUAUUUCAUCAUUAGAUUGUGAAGGUUAUUCCUGCAACUUUGGGAACAACAAGUAUGUAAUAAGUUUUGACAAUAAGAUUAUUGGUCAUGCCCCUUUACAUGAUAAGCUUUACUUGUUGCCUCUAAGUAUUAAUUCCUCUGUGACGAAUGUAAGCGAUGCCAACCAUAAGCGAAAGAGAAACAUUGAGACUUCGUCAAAAUUGUGGCACUUCCGCUUAGGCCACAUCACAUUUCGAAGGGGAGAAUGGAGCGUCUCAUUAGAGAAGAGAUACUUCCAAAAUUAGAUUUCUCUGACUUAGAUCAAUGCGUUGACUGUAUUAAGGGAAAAUUUGCAAAACAAAUUAAAAAGGAUGGAGCUAAGCAGAGUUCAGGAUUAUUAGAAAUAAUUCAUACUGAUAUAUGUGGUCCAUUUAAUGUAAGAUCAGUGGAUGGUUAUAAUUAUUUAAUUACCUUCACUGAUAAUUUCUCCCGCUAUGAAUACAUCUAUCCCAUACUCGAAAAGUCUGAAGCACUUGAUAAGUUUAAAAUCUUUAAAGCUGAAGUAGAAAAUCAGCAUGACUAAAAGAUCAAAGUGGUAAGAUCAGAUAGGGAAGGGGAGUAUUAUGGGAAACACUCCACAUAUGGACAAAUUUUGGGACCCUUUGUCAGAUUUCUCCGAGGUAAUGGUAUAGCAGCUCAGUAUUCCAUUCCUGGUGAGCCUCAGCAAAAUGGUGUUGCUGAGAGAAGAAAUCGCACCGUUAUGAACAUGGUGCAUAUUAUGCUAUGUAACUCUACGCUGCCAGUGAGUUUGUGCAUGCAAGCUUUAAAGACUGCCGCACACAUUAAUAAUUGUGUUCCUAGUAAGUCAGUCCCUAAGACUCCUUAUGAGCUUUGGACUAGUAGGAAGCCUAUAUGAAUUAUUUACAUGUAUGGGGCUGCGCAGCUGAAGUAAAGAUUUUUAAUCCACAACUUGGGAAAUUAGAUCCAAGACUGAAAGCUGUUAUUUUAUUAGAUAUCCAGAAAAGUCAAAGGGGUACCUCUUUUAUUGUCCUAAGCAUACCACUAAGUUUGUGGAGACAAGGCAUGUUGUUUUCUUAGAGGAAACUGGAUGCACUGAGGCUAGGAAAAUUGAUCUUGAGGAGAUUCGAACUUAUGAGCCGUUACCCAUAAGAUAGGAUUAUCAUACUCCUAUGCCAUAUACCACAGUUACAUCUCAGGUGGUGGAACUUCUAGUAGAAAAUGUGGGAGUAACAUCUACCUUAAGUGAUAAUGUAGAUGCACCUUUGAUAAGUGAGCAUCAAGGUGAGGAUGUGGUAGAACCUGCUGGUGGAUUGCAAGGGGAGGCAACUGAUGAGCCCGAGGUGAUUCAGCAGGAACCUGCUCAAGUAGAAGCACCACAGGAAGUAACACCACAACAUCUGAGAAGGUCAACAUGUGAGAGGAAGUACACCCGUUUCGAUGAGUAUGUGUACAUAAGUGAAGAAGGGCACAACAUGGGGAAGGUGGAUGGUCCAAACUCAUUUAAGGAGGCUAUAAUUAGUGAACACUUGCAUAAGUGGAGCGAGGACAUGGAAGAAGAGUUGAAGUCCAUGGAAGCAAAUAGAGUAUGGGACUUAGUAGAAAUUCCUGAAGGAGCCAAAACAAUAGGCUGUAAAUGGGUCUACAAAAUGAAAUAUGACUCUAAAGGGAAGAUCAAAAGGUUCAAAGCAAGACUCGUGGCUAAGGGCUUCACUCAAGUAGAAGGAGUCGAUUAUAAUAAAACCUUAUCGGCUAUCUCAAAGAAAGAUUCAUUUAGAAUCGUUAUGUCUUUAGUAGCUCAUUAUGAUCUUGAGCUACAUCAAAUCGAUGUUAAGAGUGCGUUCCCUAAUGGUGACUUGCAUGAGAAUGUAUACAUGAAGCAACCUGAAGGUUUUGUCGUGGAAGGCAAGGAAUAUUUGGGAUGCAAACUAUGAAAAUCCAUUUAUGGAUUGAAACAAGCAUGCAAAAAAUGGUACCUUAAGUUUGAUGAAGUAAUUAAGAGAAUUGGCUUCAUUGAAAAUAAGAAAGACAACUGCAUAUAUGUUAAGACUAAGGGGAGCUCUAUAAUCAUCCUAGUGCUUUAUGUGGAUGACAUCCUAUUAGCAAGCAGCGAUAAGAACUUGCUGCAUGAGACAAAGGGCUUUCUCUCAUUGAACUUUGAUAUGAAGCACCUUGGUGAUGCCGCUUAUGUCUUAGGCAUUGAGAUUCACUGAGAUAGGUCCAAGGGUGUAUUAGGACUCUCUCAAAGAGCUUACAUAGAGAAGGUCCUUGAAAGAUAUAAUAUGCACCAAUGUUUAGGCACAACUGCUCCAAUUGUCAAGGGCGAUAAGUUUGGGUCAUUCCGAAGUCCUAGGAAUCAAUUAGAAAUUGAUCAAACAAGAACGAUUCCUUAUGGUUCAGAUGUCGGAAAUAUAAUGUAUGCACAAGUGUGUACACGCCCUAACUUGGCCUUUAUAAGCAGGAUGCUUUGAAGCUAUCAGUCUAAUCCAGGAAUAGGCCAUUGGGAAGGAGUUAAGAAAGCUUUGCGUUACAUGCAAGCACUAAGAAUUACAUGCUAACGUAUAGGAGAACUGAGAAAUUAGAGAUAAUCAGCUAUUUCAGAUACUGAUUUUGAGGGUUGUGUUGGCACAAAGAGAUCCACAUCAGGUUAUGUCUUCACACUUGCAAAUGGCGUUAUAUCGUGGAAAAGCUCCAAACAAACAUUAACAGCUGCAUCGAUGAUGCAAGCUGAGUUUGUGGCAUGUUAUGAAGCUAUGGGACAAGCUGUAUGGCUUAAGAGUUUCAUCCUAGAAUUAAGAGUGGUAGACAGCAUAAGUAGGCCACUAAAAUUAUACUGCAAUAAUAAGUCAGUAGUUUUCUAUUCGAAUAACAACAAGUCAAGUGAUGCUGCAAAGCACAUUGAGAUUAAGUAUCUUGAUGUGAAAGAUAGAAUCCAAGAUCACACCAUUGAGUUAGAGCAUAUAAGUACUAAGAAGAUGCUUGUGGAUCCAUUAACAAAAGGCUUAUCUCCCAUUAUAUUCAGUGAACAUGUUGCCAGCAUGGGAUUAUCGGAUAGCUUGUGAUCUUGGAGGGUCAUAAGACAACUGCCUCCCAUCAUGAUAGGUAGUUUUAUACAUUGUGGACAACUGUGUCAUAGUGGGAUUUUAAUCAUCAUUGUCACACAUUAUCUCCCUGCAUAAUGCUGCUUUAAGAAUGGCAUAAAUUAUAGGCCUUUAGACCAAAGGGGAGAACGUUGGAAAAAUAACGUGGUGGUCAAAAGGCUGAGACGAAAACGGGAAGGAUAAGAUUGACGCCUCCCGAUCACGGUGGCAUUGGAGUUGGCCAAAGGCCGUCGCCGCACCACCAUCACUAUCCAUGGACAGACGAGGUGGAGACCUAAAGGGAGAUGCGAUCUACUCCGAGCUAGUACACCUACAACAUCUGUCAUCCCGGCCUCGUCCACAACCCUAAUGGCCGGAUCUUCACAAGCCGUGGCAGCUGGUUGUACUCUAACAUCUUCAUUGAGUGGUGUUCACAUUCUAGAUGUGCAAAGAUCCUGUUUUAGUUAAGAUUAAGUAAUGUAGAUUCCUACAGAGUUAACGAAGCCAACCUCUCGAUUCCAGUAGUAGGGAUGUUUUCUUAUGGCAUAUCUUGUGCCCCACUAACAUCACUCAUGCUAAGGUCAAGGCUAUUAGGCAAUGUAUAGCCGUAUAUAGCUGAUUUAUAGCUUUCCAUGUAUACUGAUUGUAUUCCUUGUAUACCAAACCAUAUUGGCUAUAUAAUAGAGGUCACCCCCCUCAUUAGGGUUCGUGGUGUUUUCCCAAACUCUAUCUAUCUACAUGGUAUCACAAGACCAGGAUCAAUCUGACAGGGACUUUCCUUCCGCUCCACCUCUCCCUGACGCGCCUAACCCUAGGUGCAGCUCCUGUGCGGUGGCGCUUCUCCCCUAGGCUGGCGCCCCUCCCCACCUCCCUUCCUCCCAUGGCCAAUGAUUCCUCUAUCGAGUCCUCCCUGUCCGGUGGUGGCCUUCUGUCCACUGGUGGCCCCAGGCCGGUGCCUGGCGAUGGCUCCCUGCCCAUCUCCGGUGACACCCCCCCCACUGGACUUGAACCACUGGGCGGCUAUGGCACCCUCCUUGGCACCGACGAUGGCCCUGCGUUGCCCCUUGGUGGCGGUCUUCUCCUCCACCAGGCGCCGUCGGCCAUCAUCCACCUGUGGCGGAACCGCCCAGAUUUACUUAGCUAAAGCACCAUUAAGUCACCUGACAUGCGAUCUUAUGCUUUAACCAAGAUAACUCGGCAGUCCGUUUAAUUUCGUCCGAUAAACCACUACACAGGACCGAGAAGCAGAGCUCACACGAAGGUGAGUGGUUCCAGAGAUUUCAAUAGAUCACCCAACUUAAACAAGUACCUUAAUUUUACAAACUCGGGUUCGAAAUUCCACAAAGUUUUACGGAGUUCUCAAGCAGCGGGAAAAUAUAAACCAACGGAAGCUAGCGUCAGGGGUCGGAUGUCACGAUGAGGCCGACCAUGACAUCAAUGGUCCCUAUCCUCACCGUCCGAGAAGGGAUCCCACUCGAUCGUCCACUCAGGAGGAAGCUGGGGAGGCCAAGUGCCAACAGCAGCAAACUCAGGAGCUUCAACAUCACCUGAAAAGAUUGUCACAACAAGGCUGAGCGACUACGCUCAACAAGACUUAACCGACCGUUGGGAACUACUCCACCAACUUCUAGACAUGCACGGCUCUUUGGCUGAGGGGUUGGUUUUGCCAACGCGACUAUAGUAGGUCCUUACUUUCAAGAUUUUAGACACAGGUUCUACUGUUGUUUAUCAUUCUAAGUUAGUAGCUAUACUAAUCAGGCAAAAGUUUCCAAGCAAUUUAUGACAAGCAUACAGGUUAACAUCACCAUCAAGUUCCAUUCUUACUUAGUGUAGCAUAGUGAUCAAGCAGUCCCAAACUGUGAGAGGCAGACGAAUUGAUUCGAAUAUCUUAACCAUGCAUGGUGAACCUAAUCUCACGAUAUCCGCACACCACAAAGGGUCGCUUCCUCUGUCGGUCGCACCCAUCAAUCCCUUGACCCGUGUCGAGCCCACUUCUCUUGGUACAAGGCUCCACAGACCCGGCCUCUGCCGUUCUGUGACCGCACUUGUCACCACAUGCGGCCGGAAGGGAAACUCUAUUCCAGAGACAGUGGAUCGAACCGCUCAUGUCCUGGUUCAAUCAGGUACUAGGCUUCCCCAUCCCAUACUAGAUAUGAGAUUAGUACUUUCAAACACUUGAUCGCGAACACCAUCACCUUUCGACCUUAAACCAAUUUCAUGUAGACAGACGGGGCAAUCCACCAACCACCAAAAUAGUUCACAGAGCCCUGCCCCCUCCAUCGUCCUUAUAGUUGUAACAAAAAGGAGAGCAAGCAACUCCUAUAACUCGCGAGUGACAGGGAAUCACUCGACUUUUACCGAGUCAUGUUAAGCAUUGCAACUACUCGGCCUAUCAUACUAGUGUUCAUAUCAAAGGGAACUAAGUCAUGCAUCUAUGGUUUCAAACAACUCCUGAAACGUAAAUGCACUUACAUACAACAGAAGGCAUGCGCAAGUUUAGAAAGACUGGGUGAUGCUCGGGGGCUUGCCUUCAAGUGGGGCGGAAGCAAACUAAUCUUCAACACUCUCGGGCUCAGCUCCUGCAGGCAGCUUAGCUACAACUUCAUCUUCGGGCACCGGGUGCAGCUCGUACGUGCCGUCGGCGAGGUUCAGCUCUACACGGAAUGCAAUGCAAGGGUGAGACACAGACGGUGAUUUCAACAACACUUGCAAAGAUUUAGCCCAAAAACUGUAGCAAAACUACAGGAAAAGUGUGAAACCCACGUCAUUGGAUUUUACUCAGAAAGAGGAUUCCAACCCAAGUGAUCUCACAUUUUUCUGAUUGUUCCCCGAUUUAAGAUGGAAUUUCCAAGCCUCUGCCGAUUUAGAACAAGAUAAAAGAGUCGGGUCAGGAAAAACUUGCAAUCUGACCCUUAGACCUAAGGAAUAACUGUACCGGGAUCCUUAGAUUUAACACAGAGAAGUCCUCAAAAUUUUACACAGAUGCCCUUGGUCAAAAGAAAAAGACAUAGCCGAGCCCUCGGGCGAGGCAGACAGGGGUCGGGCGAGACGGACAGGGGUUGGCAGCUCACCUUUGGUCCUACUGAUGAAGUCUUAGGGUUGGCAAGAAGCAAGCUCAGGCGGAACGACAAAAGGCGUUAAGUUUCGGGCGGCGGCGACGUCUGGCGGUGCUCCGGCAGUGGUGGUGCUUCUUGCGGACAACAAGCAAGUUUUAGCGCUGCACGAAGGAAAGCGAAGCGGUUGGCGGGGUCGGCAAGGCAGGGUGUUGGACGGAAGGGGGAGCUCCACAGAGAGCUCAGGCGGCGGUGCGUGAGCACGAAACAGAGGAGUGUGUGGUGGAGAGUGCGCUAGAGGAGAAACCAAGCAAGCAGUGCGGCAAGGGCAAUGGUGGCGAAGAGAACUCCCGUAAGAGGCUCUGGUACCCAUUUUAUAGCUGUGCGGAAGUGAACGAGAUCGAGCAGUGUGAGGAUAAGAUCGAGGGAGAAGAGGAGUGCUCUACCGUGGCGGCGAUUGGUCGGUGUCUCCAUUGGCCGGAGAAGCGGAGCUCCAGGGAUAGGAUCCUAUGGCAUUGGGCAAGGAAGACAGUGCUAGGCAAGCGCGGUUUUGCUGAGCAGAAGGAUUGGUGAGGUCGAGCGCGUGCUUGGUCGCGUGAAGCGCCGGAUUGGGUGCGGCGACUCGGUAUUGGCGGACAGGAGAGAGCGAGGUGCACUUCAGGCAAGGGCGCCGUAGGCGAGGUGACAGGGCGAGCGAUGCGAUGCGAGCAUGCGUGGAUUAGCGACUCUGCCGGGGCACACUACUGGCGAGGCGGGGGAAAGGAGUUGUCACUGCCUGCGCGGCGAUUGGCGAAGACGGCAGCGUCGCGGGGCGCACGUGGGCAGCGCGAUUGAGGUUGACGGGAGGGCCGGAAGGUGUUGGGGCGCGCGGCUGGGGGUCCAGGUGAGGCGAUGCGCACGGGAGGCGAGGCGGUACUGGCGCGGCAGCGGCCAAUCUUUGGUCACAGCGGCGGGUAGUGUGCCUGGCGCGACUGGCGAGGUCUCAGGCGAGACGAGACGGGGCGGAGAGGUCUGCAGGGUGCUUCUGCGCGCGAUUGGGAAGGAGGUGCUGAUCCAUCUUGUCGCGGCCGGCGACUGGGUGAGGCGGCGCUUGCCGGUGAGGUCACGCCAUGCGGCGGCAGUGCUCCGAAACAGGGCGCACGCGCGCUCUGGCGCUCUUUGUCCGAUGGAUCCGCGGGAUUCCUUGCCGGGCCCAUCUUCCAGCCUCUUGAUCUUCCGAUUUCCAAACUGCACCACAUUGACUCCCUUCACAAGGGUUGUAGAACACAGGCUAAGGUCCAACUUUUGUAAUUGGACUGAGUUAAAAAACGCGGUGGAUUUGGAGAUCCAAAGCUCCAAAGUUUGGAGGAACAUUGGUUUCAGGACUUAGAGAAAAGCGGCGGUUUGGCUGGUUUUCAAGGGUCAGGACUGAUUUGAGCUGCAGAUUUGGGAAUCUUCUGAGGCGAAUUGGACCAAUGUCCAAUUAACAAAGUUGUGGUAGGAACUUUGUUCUCCAACUUCUAUAAAGGGUUUUCUUGAUGUUCAGUUCAACUUUCCAAAGAUAAACCUUCCUUAAGGCGCUAGGUCAGGCUGAUUUUCCAGACUUAGCCAGAAUGGCUGAAGGAAGUCUGAGUUGACCAGACUAGGGGGCUUGUCUUAAGAUUAAACUCGGCUGAUUUAAAUCUAGGUCGUUACACCACCCCUACGCCACGAUCUCCGUCAAGGCUCACAUCCCCAUGAUGUUGACGAUGAAGACCUCCAGCUACUCCAAGUGGGUUUCCUUCUUCAAAUCCAUGUGUGGCAAGUUCGGCCUCAAGUCGCACAUCGACAGCACCGUGACGCCCCGUCCUGAUGACCCCGAUUGGGAUCAAGCGGAUUGCUGCGUCCUCUUCUGGAUCUUUGGCUCUAUCGUGGACCUCGCCAUGGAGGAUGAUGAGCAGACCGCCAGGGCCCUCUGGCUCACCAUUUAAGGCCUCUUCCAUGCCAACAAGCAAUCCCGGGCGAUCUUCCUCAGCUACGACUUCCACUCCAUGACCCAGGAGGACUCCUCCAUCUCGUAGUACUGCCAGCGCAUGAAGAACCUCGCUGACACCCUCCGUGACAUUGGGCAUCCCAUUCAAAACUCCCAGUUGGUCCUGAAUCUUCUCCACGGCCUCAACCCGCACUACUCCAACACCACCGACGACAUCGGCAACUCCCCCGCCGGCUUCCAGUCCUUUGCCCAGGCUCGUGACAUGCUCACCUUGAAGGAGCUUCGCCUCGUCAACUUGCUGCUCUACGUCGAUGACAUCAUCCUCACCGCCUCAUGUUCGACGCUCCUCCACCACAUCAUGGCUAGUUUUCAGUCCGAGUUCGCCAUGACGGAUCUUGGUGAUCUUCAUCACUUUCUUGGCAUCUCCGUGACGCGCUCCCCUGAUGGCUUGUUCCUGUCCUAAUGACAGUACACCCUGGACCUCCUCCAGCAUGCCAGCAUGGCUGAGUGUCACUCUACGACGAGUCCUGCUGACACUCAUGCCAAGCUCUCGGCGACCGACGGCAACAAGCUCAAGGAUGGCUCUAAGAAACCGCUGGAAGUUAAAUUCAACAAAAGUUCAAUUCGAGAAAAGUUCAAUUCAAGAAAAGUUAAAUUGUAUCACCUCCCCAGGACUUUGUUCUUUUGUUUUUGGUUCCCAAAGCACAAUUUCAUUAUCAGCACUCUGCAAAUCCAAGCUAGCAUAGAUCAGAUUCCUCAUUAUACAGGAACCAAAACUGGCACUGGGAAAAAAAAGGUUGAAAGACUGAACCCAUGCACAGUACAAGAAUACAGGAUCCAGAUACAGUGGUAUUUUGAAGCAUCAAAAGAAUGACGACUGUACUACUACUAUAGCAGCAAUUUGUAUCCAUUUAAGGGAAGGAAUUUCACCUCUGACAGGAUGAAGUCACCAAGCCAUCUUGUACAAUCAACAUAGUUAGAGUGUACUGCAGCAAUCAACACCUGCAAGGAAAGAAACAGGUUGGUUUGAUGGCAUGAGGAUUAAACACCAACAGUAGUUUGCAAAGGAAUAGAUCUAAGAUGAUUAUAGAUGCUAAACAUACCGGAAACUGGACAUAUUUUGUUGGAAACUUUGAUGGAAGGUCAGUCCAGGAAUAUGAUUUGUCAACAUAUUGCCAAAAUUCUGUGACAACAUUGGGAAACUCUAUCAAUGAUAUGCAGCAUGCAAAUGUAAACAUGAUGCUACUUUGAAGUAGUUUUCCAACCUUUCAUUGACCAGAUUUUCACAGUGUUGUCCAUGCCACAACUUGCAAAACGCUCAAUAUCACUAGGGUGGAAGUCCUUCAGCCAAAAUAAUGUAUUUUGGUCAGUACAUUUAUGCCUAACGUAAUGGAAGUACAAAAGCCGUAGUAGUCACCAGGACUAUAUUUAUCCCUGAUGUAAUGCUCAAUAACAAAUAGUAACAUCAGAAGCUGAAAGAGUGGUAGCUUCAGGGCACUUUGAGCAAGUAAUAUUCUGAAACAAUACCAUAAGAGGAGGCAGGAGCUACUUACAACACUCAACACUUCAUUGCGAUGACCUCAAGCUCCAGCAAAUACCAAGAUGCAGAUCCCUGUAUGGACAUUCCAUAGCCUAACAGAUUCAUCCUAUUCAAUAAUGAAUAAUGCCAUAUGAAACAGUGUCAGAACAAUUAUAACAAAGUACAUUCAGCCUAAGAACAGGUUAUCUGCUAACCUUGCUUGCAGAAAUGAUGAGCGAAGGCUUCAACGCUUGAGUCCUUAUCUCAUUUAUUGAGUCACCAUGGCCAGCAAAGCUCUGUAGAAUUCCAUAAACAGAAAUAACAAAUAAACACGUGCACAGUCUAAUUCAUAGGAUAGGAUAGUAUUUAUUGGCAUGCCCUGUCUCGUGACUAUAUGUAUAACGCCAAAAUAGAUACACUAGGUUGAACGUGUCUUGACUAUAACGGACAUGCUGAAGUAUCCAAAAACCAGAAUCUUCUGUGAGCAAAAGUUACAGUUUGCUAGUGGUAUUAAUGCAUAGCAAACAGACAAUUCCUUAAUCAAACCAAAUUCAAAUGACCUUCUGGAUCGGAUAUCAUAGAUGGUAUCUGUCAGGUAAGCAACUGAUGUACAGAUUUGUGCAAAUGAAGCUUCAUUCAAGUUUGACGUAGUAACAAAGACAAGGCUAGGGGUACUAUACCUUAGCUAACUUCUCCGUAGCACAGUUGAUGACCCGAAUGAUCCCAUUGCCUCCUGCUGCUCAAUGACUCCAUUCUUGGUGACCAGUGUGGCAUCCAAUGUAUCAAUCAGCUCUUCCUUCUUCUUGAGCAAGGCGUUCUUCUCCUCUAUCACCCUGUCCCUAGCCUUCAGUGCCUCCUCCAUCCGAACAACUCUCACCUCCAGCGUGACAAUCCUCAGCGAGUCCCUCUUGUCGUAGGUGUCCGGUGCAGUGUCCACCUCGUGCUACAGGCGACGGUUCAUCCGGUCCAGGUCAGUCAAAUAGUGCUCAAGUCCCAUUAUCUUGCCCUCAAGUAUGGCGUUGGUACCGAUGCAGUUGUCCCAACCAUUGUGAAGUACCUCCACCUCUCUGUCAUUCCAGAACAGCGCCAAGUCCUGAGCGUGAAUACAGCGGGAGGCCACGCAAAACUUCUCGUUGGGCUCUGCAUAUGCGUCCUCGUAGUACUGAUGGACUAAACUCUCGAAAUCCCUCAGCCCACGGCAAGCCCUGGUUAGGCAACGGUAGGGAGUCUGAGCCAACCUGUCACGGAGCUGCGCAUGCACCUCACACACAGCCCUUCUGGCGGCAGUCCGGUGAGCCGUUGACACUGACAGCUCAAACCCAAGUAGAAGAAUAAGCAAAGUCUAGUCAGAAAUAGCGGUAGUCAACAGAACUGUCCAUAACCAGUGGACACGGAUUAUAGCUACAGCUUUAUACACUCUGCAGAGGAUGUACAACUAUACCCACACGGAUGGAGUCUAAACGGUGGCGAUCCGUCGAAACCCCACCUAACAGCCGGAGCCCUAGUAGGUGGAUAGCUCUGUCAUAUUUCCUCGAGUCUGGAAUCAUCCUUAGCUGCAGGGCACGCCGUCACCAGUGAGCACCUCGAAGCUAUGAAACCUACCCAUGCCGGGGUGUAGUCUGGUCAAAGCAAGCCAACGCCUUGAACUCAUUACAUGAUCCUCCAAUCUGCCUAGAGGCUGAGCACUAUCCACCACUAGUCUCGAACCGAACUCUGCCCAUAACGUAAGCGAGCGGUAUCUACGUAAAAUAGUUGCUGUGACUAGUGGUAAACUGACUCAGUGCUUAAGCGGCUGAGAGCGAGCACUCUACUCCACAAGUAUGUGCCGAAACACAUGCAACAUAUAAGUACGCUACCUGCUCCUCAGUAACAAACAAGGUACCCACCACAGGUACGGGGUAUAGAGAGAGUCCAGAAUGCUCUCUCCUAGCAAGGCACUCCUUAGUACCAACCAUGGCGCUCCCGCCAAAACAUAUCAAGGAGUCACACUCACCCAAAACUCAAGCGAGAGUGUUCAAUGAAUCCUAUCACCGAAACUGUGGCAUAUGCCCAUCCAUAACUCAAAAGCAUGUAUAUGGAUAUAUGAGCGGUGGACUAGCUAGGGGUCUGUAGCUAGUCCACAAAAGUAGGUAACAAGGAAAACAGAAUACAAAAUUAUCAAGGCAUGGCUAAAAAUAUUGGCUAUGCAAUCCAACAUCAUCAAGCAUCAUAAAUAAAGCACCAGCAACUAAGCAUGCAUAUGAUCUAUGUGAUUGGGAGUGGCAUGACACCUUGUCCGUAGUUGUUUGGAUCUUCCUCGGCAUAGUCGGAGUCUUGAGGGUCUUCUGGGUCGUAGCUCGAGUCUGAACAGACCAAGAUAUGACAUAAAGUAAAUUAAAUGGCAUUACAACUAGGAAGAAACUCCAAGAAAGCCAAAUUUAGUAGAUCCAAAUAACACCAAACUAGUUACAAACAACACGGGCUCCAUUUUACGAAUUUAAUGCAACUGGUUCCAUAUUUUUCGCAGUUAAAAUGAAUUAGUUAUGAAUUUUUUAAGAUUAAAGGAUUCAUUUAAUUAUUUAAAUAAUUUUAGAAAAUAUUUAUUAUUACAGUGACAUGUGCCAGCGCUUGGUUGUGCCAUGUGGGAGCAUAAGAGUGCGCCACGUGUCUCCUAACGCCAAGCUAACGUCAGCGUUGACCGGUCAACAGGGCCCCACCAGUGGGCCCGAGCCUCGGACAUGUCAACGCCUCGUGGCUCCACGUGGCAGCCACGUGGCACUGCCACAUGGCGCACACGUGGUCGUCCCCAGCUGGCCGGGAUCCGCGCGCCACCCGCGUGUGGCCAUGGGUGUGGUGCAGGCCUGAUUGGCUGCGACACAGCGGUGACUGUGCCCACGACGUCAUGGUGUGGCGCGACGUCACGGCGCGGCUGCUGCACGUGUGCGCGGGCAGGAGGUAGUCCCGGCCGCGGCACGACCGCGGCGGCGUGCGGGGUCCCGGGCCCGCGGUGGCUGGCAGCGAGGCGAGCGGCGGCACUACAACCGUGGCUCGAAGGCUGGGCAUACGACAAGCAAACAAGAGGAAAGAGAGGGGCAACGAGGUUCACUGCAGGGAGACGGUGAAAUUGGGCGGCGUCGGGCGGUGGUCGACAGCUCAGGCUCCUCCCUCAGACGGCCCCUCUUCUUCUUCUUCUCUUCUACUUCCCCUCCUUCUCUUUCCUCCUCAUCUCCUACUCCUCCCUCCUCCUCUACUCCUUCCCCCUUCUCUCACUCGGGUGGUCGAUGGCGCAAGGGCGAAGCCCCGAGUGGAUGGCGAAGAGAGGCCCCGAGCGGCUCUACUUAUAGCGGAGAGGCGGCUGUGUUCCAGAGGGAGGUUGCGGCAGCACUUUAGGGUUUGGGGGCGUGGCGUCGGUGAUGUGGAUGGCUAGGAUGUGGUGUUGCAUGGUGCGGGUGACGUGGCGGCCAUCCGAGGCUCCCAGCACAAAAGCAAGGGUGCGGGCGAGGUCAUGGGUGCGCACGCGAGGCGCGCGUGAGCGGUACGGCCGGAGGAAGAAGGAAGAGGAACAGGGGCACCUCACAGGUGGGUCCGGUGCAGCAGCAAGAGAGAAAGAGAGGGAGAGCGGGGCGCGGGUGGCGACUGCGGGCUGGGCCAGCUGGCCGGUUAUGAGGCCUGCUGGGCUGGUCACUGAGCUGCGCGGGCGAGGCAGCUGAGCGGCGCGGGCGAGGUGGCUGAGCAGGCCAGGCCGGCUGUCUGGCUAGGCCGGGGUGAAGGUAGGUGAGGGUGAGGCGCGAGCGGGCCAGGCCGGUGGGCUGCGGCUAGCCUGGUUGGUUAGGAGGGUUAGAUAGGUUUUGUUUUUAUUUAGAUUUAGAUUUAGUUGGAGUGUUGAAUCAAAUUCAAAAUUCAAACACACACUCAAACAUGAGAUCCAAAUAAAAUCUAAAAAGAUCCAAAUCAUUCCACACAAGUUUUGAAAUGGAAUUUUGGGACGAGAAGAGAAUUUGACUACCAUUUUCAAACAAGCACACAAUUCAAACAAAAGUUUUAAAUUUUUGGAAAUUUUACUUAAAUAAAUAUUACAAAAUUCUGGAAUAUUACAAACAUAACCACUUCACCUCGUACCCCGAGAAAAGCGAUACGAAGCUUAACACUCCUCGACAUCUGGGAAAUUUGGUCAGAACGAAACUCUAGAUUUUUCGGACUGUGUGAGUCAUCCUUGAUUUCCUUGGUGGCAAAAAUUAAAAAGGAAGCUUAAGUUUUGUAGGUCUUUUGGAUUAAACCAACUUGGUAAGCUAUCACCCCAAAAGCCAUGGACAUUCAAUUCUCUCAUGAGGGCACAAGCCAUCGAUCACUUCAUUCUCACGUGGUGUCGGCUCGAAAACUCUGGGAUUAGUUCGCCAGUUCAGCUCUAUUUCCUUGAGGUAUUUCUUGUCAACGAGUCUAGCCUCAGCAGCCUGUUCCUUGCUCCUCACAGUAUGAAUAGAAUUAAUGCAUAGCAUUCCGCUAAGCUGAUUCAUGCCCUUCAGCUCACCAAUUGCCCCCCUCCGUGCUUCGACUGUGAAAUAUCUCAAGUUCCUUUAAUAAGUCAAUAGAGGCUUUUACUGGAAGUGCUAGUUGACGCAAGUUGAUUAGCUUUGUUACAUCCUGACGAAUUGUUCUCAGACAUGAACCAAAUGCAACAACAACUUGUAGGCUGUUAAGGCACCAGAAUUUCGAUGGCACUUCAUUUAUAUUGCUGUAGGAUAUAUCAAGAUAUCGGAGGCUAUUCAACCCACAUAUGCUUUGGGGUAGACUUUUCAGCUUGCAACCUUUUAGGCUCAAAAACAGGAUGUUAGAAAGCUGACUGAACCAGGUGAUCUCAACAUCCAAUUCGGUACCAAACCUAAGUGAACGCAGUUUGUUCAAAUUUUGAAUGUUUGUCAUUGUGCCCAAGGACUUACGUACCAUCCACCUCGAUUGACAUGUGGCGAGGUUUAUUUGUCAUUCCGCUCAAAUCUUUCAUCGAGAAACAUUCAUGGAUAGAAACAUACUGCGCAGUAUCAUGGAUCAGGUCAUGCAUUACGUAUUUAUCUUGAUUAGGGAACUUUGGAUCAGUUUGGAAAAGACACCUGCCUCUCAAAUCAUCCAAAUACUUCAUCCCGACAUCUUCAAGACGCUUGCUCACUUGUGGUGAAACAAAGCCCUCUGCCACCCAAAUGUCAACGAUCUCAUGUCUUUUGAAGCUAUAAUCUUUCGGAAAUAUGGAGCAAAAUGCAAAGCAUCUCCUAAGUUCAGUUGGGAGGUACAAGUAGCUCAGUCGAAGUGCUGGUAAUAUGUCGCUAUGUUUUUGUUCUUGCUCCCAUAAUUCACUGUCCUUGAUAGUCCUCCAAUGUUGCUCAGUCAGAUUACUAUUCAACAAGCGUCCGAGAGUUUUGGCAGCCAAAGGAGUACCAUGCAACUUAGAGGAAAUGCUCUGACCAAUCUCUUGUAAGCGAGGAUAUGACUCUGGGCACUCUUUACCAAACGCACAUUUCUUGAAAAAUUCCCAAAAUACACCAGCGGGCAAUCCUUCGAGCUGGAGAGGCUUACAACUGCAUUUGGACCAUGCGGUGACAUUCUGAGCAAUGUUUUUGUGUCUUGUAGUCACUAAGAUCAUGCUACCUUCAAGUCCAUUCUUCAACGGUGCAUAAAAAGACUCCCAUUGUGGUAAUUUCCCAAAUAUCAUCCAGCACCAAAAGGAACUUUUGGAUCUUCAGCAUGUGCCACAGAUCUGCUUCAAGAACACCCAAACCACAAGACAAGUCGAAGUUUGGCUGGAUGAUGAUCUCCUUUUUCAUCCUUUCAAUGUCAAACAGGUCCGAAACACAGACCCGUAUCCUUACAGUAAAGUGGCCUUCACUCUUUCAUCACUGUCGAUGAGCUGAGCCAGGGUGGUCUUCCCCAUCCCGCCAAUGCCAAAAAUUGGCAAGACAGAAACAUUGCCACAGUUAGCAGUCUCAGCAAGCCCUGCACUGCUGUUACUGUCAAAGUUAAGUCGCUUGGCUUUGGAUGUAGAUGCGAUGGCGUCAUGACUUGCUGCUUCUGUGCCUUUUCCUUUAGACCCUGCAGAUGUACUGCCCAUAGUGAGUGGCAUGCCCAUUUGUGAGAUCACCUGAUUAAUUUCGGCAGCACGAUCAAUCGUCAGAGUCACACCCAGCAUCUCCAUCACUUGAUCCCUUUCCGUGUCACGCGGUGAUGAGUUCAUUCGUUGUUGGCAUGCAUGACCUGCACUGGCUGAACACGAUCAAGACCAAUCAAGCAUAGCACUUCUUUAACUUCAGCCAUAACCUUGUGGAGCUGAUCUUUGGUGUCCCUUAUCCUUUUUACUGCUAGCAUGGACGAGAUGUUUGGCAAUAUUCAGAGAGGAUGAUGACACGAGUUGACCUGCCCUGCUCCGGCUGGCGUCCUCAAUCUUGUGCCGCAGCGCCUGGUCCUCGAACUCUCGGUGGAGGUCCUCGGCGUCGUAGGUGGUGUACUUGUGCUGCAAGAGAUGGGCCUCCACCAUGCCCCACUCGCUGCGACUGAUGAGCAGCUUGGUCUUGAGUUGGUCCAGCUCGUUUUCCAGCUGGGUCGGCGCUUGGCUCAUGCUCAUCCCGAAUGACAGGAUGCCUUGCACGGUGUCCAUGGUCGCGCGCGCUCCUAGAUCUUGGUGCGUUGGUGGAGCUGCUCGUGAAGUCGUGAUGAUGGUGCUCCUCCUCCUCUUCCUCCUGCUUGGCACAGGGGCAGAAGGGAGCGAUUACCUGAUGAUGGUGCCACCGAUUACUGGCCUUCGCCCUCCCAACACCGGACUGGUGAUUUUCACCGGAGGGAUCGUAAGAGAGAUCGGGCAGAGAGGUGUAGGAUCAAAUUGCGUGUGCACCCAACGUGGAAUGGCGCUGGAUAUAUCUAGCUACAUGGUUGCAUGCCCUGCCGAUCUGGGCAAUCGGUAUUGCAUUUGCAGAUUUGCUUCGGUUUCAUCGAUGAUCCCUCCGGCGUUGGUUUCUUCGAUCGGUCCUGUCUUGGGUUCCAUCGAACUUGAUCGAGCUGUCUUGAGGCCGGCGGAGUAACUAAGAGAUCCAUUAUUCAUCGGGAUAAGCUAGGAUCGCAGGGGCUCGUUGCGGCUGCGGGCGUGGACCACCAUCUCUUCCUGCCUGCCGCCGGCGGCCGGCGAGUGCAAGACUGGUAGGUUUAGGAGAGGAAAGGCCAAAAGGCGUGAGCUGUGAAGGAAUGGACCUGGCAACCGGGUGCGGCUUGUGUUGUAUCUUGGGCCGGUUGGGCCGAGUGCAAGUUCCGGGGCCUCCUCGGUGGUGGUUUUGUUGGCUGCAAACUGAUGAGGCCUCGUGCCUUGGCUGCGAAGAAGACGGCUACUCAAAAGCAUUUCUCCCCCAGCAGCUUGAAACGGUCGCCCGCGGACAGCAAGCAAGCGUUCGCGAGCCUGACCGUGCACUGUACAGCACAGGACAGGGAUCCAUGCUUUCCGGCAACACCCAUCGGCGCCAGGCUUACCCACCAGUACACCUGGCACCUGCUGGCUGUCCAGCUCCAAACCUCUCCAUCACAAGACAGAGGUCGUCAAUGGCUUCUUCGGUUUGCAACAGCACAGUGGACAAGAAAAGCAGGGGCAAAGCUACAUUGGGCUAGCCGAGUGAUUAGUAACUAAUUUUUACCACUUGUGCACUCCCUAACCUCCAAUUUCGUGCACCACUGUCUGGCCCACCAACAACCUGCAGCCCAGCAGUUAGCAUAGGCCAGCUUUCAGCAACCCAUCAAGCCCACGAUGCACUAUAGGUGCAUGCAGCUGCGGGCCUGCCGCAUCCGCCCGCGUGCGUUGCACGUGACAAGUCCUCACGGAGAACACGAAACAAUCGUCCGCGAAGCCCGCUCGCUCGCCCAAACGUGAGAACUCAUCGUAGAAAGGCGGCGGAAGAGAGGGAGGCGGCACUCGCGCGUCGCCGUGUCGCACCAUCUCCAGUCGCUGCGGUACGUCUCCUCGCCGGAAUCAGCACCCCCAACCUUAAGCGAUCAUCAUCAACUCCUAUUUUUUUGUUUCUCUCCAUUGUUGCACUGCACAUUCUUCUAGCCUCCCCUUUUGCUCAAGCCCACUCCACUCGAAUGGUACACAAUUAUUUUUCUCACAUGUGCUUUUGUGCCAAUCAGCUUCUUUGAAGUAAUCCGUUAGUGUUUCAAUUUCAUGGUUACUUAUUCUCCUAUAUUCAAUUGAAUUGUAGGGUUAGGGUUUGCAAUUGGGGUUUUACUUCUACAAAUUGCAAUGAAAGGGCAAAGGAGAAGGAACUUAGGAAGGAUUCAUUGAGAUUUGAGACUCAAGAAAUAAACAAAAAUCAUGUCAAGUAAGUUUAUGGGUGUUUGGUCAAUUAAUCAUUUAUUUUUCUUCCCUUGAUUCUUGAACAGAUGAACAUGAGAAGCAUUAAUGUAACUGACAUUUUAAAAAAAUGUGUUAUAUGUGUGUUUAUGGAAAGAUGGUUAAAAAGAAAAGCGCCAGAUGAUGCUAACAAUUUUUGGUAAUUCUCAUCAGCAAAACAACAAUAUUAAUGUUAAUCCAAUACCACCAGCUCCAGAAGAUAUCGAUUGGGAGGAGGAGAUCCAACUUCAUCCUGGUAAAAGAGAAGAAAUACGUUCUUGUCACCCUAAUCUUAGAGAAUCGGUAAGAAGAAUGUACUUGGCAAAUGAGCCUUGUCAGCUCGCACUCUUAAUUUUUCAUCUACUCGGAUUGGGGAUAAAAAUUGAAGGUUUAAUCUUGAAUGGUUUGAUGAAUUUGGAAACUGGCUUGAGUACAGUGAGUCUACCGAUAGAGCCUACUGUUUUACCUGUUUCUUGUUUAGAGACCCCACUAAGAAGGAGGCUGGGUACAAGUCAUUUAUUUUAGAUGGUUGGAAUAAUUGGUAUAAUAAAGAAAGAUUAAAGGAGCAUGUUGGCAGUGUUGACAGCUAUCACAAUGUAGCAACGAAAAAAAUGUGAUGAUAUGUUGAAAAGAGAAUAGCACAUUGAUGUUAAGUUACAUGAACAGCUUGAGAGUUCUAAGAAUGCAUAUUUUGUUCGACUUAAUGAUGCAAUUGAUACUAUCAGAUUGCUACUCAAGCAAGGACUACCUUUCCGGGGGCAUGAUGAAUCAAAGACAUCCUUAAACAAAGGGAACUACAGGGAAGUUUAUGAUUGCUUAGCUCAACAUGAUGCAGCUUUAGCCAAGGCAUUGACAAUUGAUGCUGCAUAUAAUAGUAUUUUGGUAUCUGCUGACAUACGGAAAGACAUCAUCAACUGUUUUGCAGAUGAUAUUUUACAUUCUAUCCUUGGAGACAUUGGGAAAGAUGUAUUUUGCUUGCUAGUUGAUGAGUCUAGAGAUGUCUCUUUCAAAGAGCAAUUGGCAGUGGUGUUAAGAUAUGUUGAUAAAUGUGGAUUUGUGAACGAGAGCUUUGUUGGUGCUAGCAAUACGCAAGGUGAGUUCAAUGGCUUAAAAUCUUUGAUCAUGAGAGAAAAUAGUAGUGCAUAUUAUCUCCGUUGCUUUGCCCAUUAACUUCAAUUAGUGGUUGUAGCUGUUGCUAGAAAGCAUACAGGCAUUGCUGAAUUUUUUAACAAUAUCUCUAUCUUAUUGAAUGUGGUUGGUGGAUCUUCAAAGAGAAGGGACAUGAUUUGAGAUAUCAAUCUCAAAGAAGUUAGUAAGGCCUUAGGCUGUGGGUUACUUAGUAUCGGGACAGGAUUGAAUCAAGAACAAUGUCUUCAAAGACCUAGAGUCUCACUAUAAAUCUCUUAGAAGUUUAGUUAAAUUCCAAAUAAUUAUCAAAGUGCUUGAAUUUGUGGAAAAGGAAGGCAGGGAGGGAAAGGCAAGGGUGUUCUUAGAAAAGUACACUCAUGAACGGGAUGAAUGAUACACGAGUUCAGCGUCACCUAGUCAAGCCGGAUUCCAGAUUCCAUCGUACUGACACUUGCUGCGCUGCUUUGCUAUCUAUUAAUUCUCCUCAAUCUAUAGUAACAGAUAACAACUCUGUCCGCAGCAUGAUAUGGAAAUUUUCUCACACUGGCGGGUACACGAUGGCUUCAGCCUAUAGAGUGCAAUUCAUUAACUUCACCAAAAAAACACAAAUCUGCGCAAUCUGGACUUCUUGCCCCUCUCCUAAAUGCAAAUUCUUCGUGUGAUUAAUCCUUCAUAACCAUGCUUGGACUUUGGAUCGGCUUGCUCAAAGAGGAUGGCCUCAUAGCCCAGCUUGCCCCCUCUAUAAACAGAUAAUGGAAUUCUCUCUUCACCUGCUGGCCAAGUGCAGAUUCACUAGGAAAAUUUGGAGUCCUCGUGGCUAUUUAGACAAAGCAGCCAGUACUACACCCACUGGAAUGGGAACAAAGCUACAAUACCUUGGAAUGGUGGACCAACAUUGAAAUGGACCUGAAUUUUCAUUUCUGAGAAUUCAAGCCUACGCACCUCCGUGAUAGUUCUAGGAGGCUAUCACGUGCGAAUCCAUGUCUCAGAUAGUACAAAUUCAUACCAACAUAGAAAUAUAAAGCAACAACAUAGUACCAUAUCAUAAAUAUCAUAAGUAACAAGUACAUCUCUUCGGUACAUGCCAGAACAUGUCCAUCAGGAUUGAAUCAGAAAGGUAAAAUAUCUAUGCAGCGAAAGCGUAAGCUACGGCGAACUCCAUCUCCAGAGGCGACUCGAGCGAAGGACCAUCCCUAGUCUUCCUAUCCAUCAUUGUCGAAGUCGUAGUCGGGCUCCGACCCUAAAAAGCCACCAUCUACUCGAGAAGCGGGUAGGCCAUGUCAACUCCCAAAAGGAGCAAGCUAAGGAAAUGGGGGAAUUAUACUAUAUGCAUGAGUAAAACCUAUAUAUGGUUGUAGAGGUGUAUGCAACAGCAGCAUCAAUCAAGGAAGCAGCAAAGCAUUACCAUCUUCGAGGUCAACACCUCAAAUAAGGAAGUUGGCACAAAUCACCAGAUCCUUCGCCCAUGGGUCCAGCAUCCAACACACUAGUCGAUGUGAGAGCUCCCUUCCCUCACAUCUCAAUGGCAAACUCCAGCCUAUCUCAAAAAGGGGAGGUAGAAGAAUAAGCAAAGUCUAGUCAGAGGUAGCGGUAGUCAAUAGCACUGUCCAUAACUAGUGGAUAUGGACUUUAGCUAUAGCUUUAUACACUCUGCAGAGGUUGUACAACUGUACCUGCAUGGAUGGAGCUUGAACGGUAGUGAUCCGUCCAAACCCCACCUAACAGCCGGAGCUCUAGUAGGUGGAUAGCUCUCUCUUGUUUCCUCAAGUCUGGAACCUUCCUCAGCUGCAGGGCAUGCCGUCACCAGUGAGGACCUCGAAGCUGUGAAAUCUACCCACGCCGGGGUGCAGUCUGGUCAGAGCAGGCCAACACCUCGAACUCCUUACACGAUCCUCCAAUCCGCCUACAGGCUAAGCACUAUCCACCAAUAGUCUCAGACCGAACCUCGCCCAUAACGUAAGUGAGCGGUAUGUACGUAAAAUAGCAGUUGUGGCUGGUGGUAAAUGACUCGAUCCUUAAGCGGCUGAGAGCGAGCACUCUACUCCACAAGUAUGUGCUGAAGCACCUGCAACGUACAAGUAUGCCACCUGCUCCUCAGUAACAAACAAGGUACCCGCCACAAGUAUGGGGUAGAGAGAGAGUCCAUAAUGCUCUCUCUCGGCAAGGCACUCCUCAGUACCAACCAUGGCUCGCUCCUACCAAAAUACAUCAAGGAGUCACACUUACCCAAAACUCACAUGAGAGUGUUUAAGAAAUCCUAUCACCAAAACCAUGGCACGCCCAUCCAUAACUCAAAAGCAUGUAUAUGGAUAUAUGAGCGGUGGACUAGCUAGGGGUCUGUAGCUAGUCCACAAAAGUAGGUAAGAAGGAAAACAUGAUAAAAAAUUAUCAAGGCAUGGCUAAAAACAUUAGCUAUACAAUCCAACAUCAUUAAGCAUCAUAAAUAAAGCGCUAACAACUAAGCAUGCACAGGAUCUAUAUGAUUGGAAGUGAUAUAAAGCACUAGCAACUAUACAUUGGCUUGCCCGUAGUCGUUUGGAUCUUCCUCAACGUAGUCGGAGUCUUGAGGGUCUUUCGGGUCGUAGCUCGGGUCUGAACAGAACGAGAUACGAUGUAAAGUAAAUUAAACGGCAUUACAUCUAGGCAAAAAUUCCAAGAAUGCUAAAUUUAGAAGAUCCAAAUAAUACCAAACUAGUUACAAACAACACGGGCUUGAUUUUAUGAAUUUAAUGCAAAUGGUUUCAUAUUUUUCAGAGUAAAAAUGAAUUAGUUAUGAAUUCUUAAAUAUUAAAGGAUUUAUUUAAUCGUUUAAAUAAUUUCAGAAAAAAAUUAUUAUUAUGGUGACACGUGUCAGUGCCUGGUUUUGCCACAUGGCAGCACGAGAGUGUGCCACAUGUCUGCUAAUGUCAGACCGGUAACGGUCAACGUUGACCCGGUCAGUCAACGAUGACCUGGUCAACGUUGACUGUCAACUGGGUCCCACCGAUCAGCAGUGGCCCCACAGGUCAGUGGGCCCUGCCAAUGGGCCACCAGUGGGCUUGGGCCUCGGACACGUCAUCGCCUCGUGACUCCACGUGGCAGCCACGUGGCCAUCUAGUCGACAUGGCACUGCCACGUGGCCGUCCCCAGCUGGUCAGGAUCCGGUGUGUCAACUGGAUCCUGUGUGCCACCCGCAUGUGGCCACGGGUGUGGCGUAGGCCUGAUUUGUGGCGACGUGGCGUGGCGGGGCGUGGCGGUGACUGCGCCUAUGACGUCGUGGUGCAGCGCGCCAGCUGUGCGUGCGCAUGGGCAUGGGGCAGUCCCCGACCACGGCACGACCGCGGUGACAUGCAGGGUCCCGGUGUCCUAGGCCCACAGUGGCUAGCGGCGAGGUGAGCAGUGGCGCUCCUAUGGCGGCUCGAAGGUCAUAUGACAAGGAAACAAGAGGAAAGAGAGGGGUAGCGAGGCUCACUGCGGGGAGAUGGCGAAGGCGGGCACUGUCGGGCGGCGGUCGACAGCUCUGGCUCCUCCCUCAGAUGGCCCCUCUUCUUCUUCUUCUCCUCUACUUCACCUCCUUCUUCCCUUUCCUCCUCUUCUCCUCCUCCUCCCUCCUCUUCUGCUCCUUCCCCCUUCUCUCACUCGGGUGGCUGGCGGCGCAAGGGUGAAGCCCUGGGUGGAUGGCAACAAGAGGCCCCGGGUGCCUCUACUUAUAGCGGAGAGGCGGCUAGGGUUCCGAAGGGAGGGUGCGGCGGCGCGCUUGGGUUUGGGGGCGUGGCGCUGGCGACGUGGACAGCCGGGAUGCGGCAGCGCACGGUACGGGUGGUGUGGCGGCCAUUCGAGGUCGCUAGCGCAAAAGCAAGGGCGCGGGCGAGGUCACGGGUGCGCGCUCCCAUGUGGGAGUGUGUGCCAGCACGGACGGGGAGGCGCGCGUGAGCGGUACGGCUGGAGGAAGAAGGAAGAGGAACAAGGGCACCUGAUGGGCGGGUCCAGCGCGGCGGCGAGAGAGAAAGAGAGGGAGAGCGGGGCGCGGGCAGCAAUGUGCGGGCUGGGCCAGCUGGCCGGUUAGGAGGCCUGCUGGGCUGAUCACCAGGCUGCGCAGGCGAGGCGGCGGAGCAGGCCAGGCUGGCUGGGUCGGGGCGAAGGCGGGUGAGGGUGAGGCGUGAGAGGAUCACGCCGGUUGGCUGCGGCCAGCCUGGUUGGGUAGAGGGUUAGACGAGAUCCAAAUAAAAUCUAAAAAGAUCCAAAUCAUUCCACACAAGUUUUGAAAUGGAAUUUUGGGAUGAGAAGAGAAUUUGACUACCAUUUUCAAACAAGCACAAAAUUCAAACAAAAGUUUUGAAUUUUUGGAAAUUUCACUUAAAUAAAUAUUACAAAAUUAUGGAAUAUUACAAACAUAACUGCUCCACCUCGUACCCCGAGAAAUGCGAUACGAAGCCUCAACGUCUGGGAAAUUUGGUUAAAACGAAACUCUACAUUUUUCUCGGACUGUGUGAGUCCUCCUUGAUUUCCUUGAUGGCAAAAAUUAAAAAGGAAGCGGCUGCUUGGGUGGGGGCAGGGAAUACUUGUGUCCCACCUUACAUUGAACAACAGAGCACAAUACUUGUGUCAGUAUAAAAAAAAACUUGUGUAAGGCCAGCUACACAAGUUAGCUCGCAUUUCAUAAUUAAGUUUCAGAUUUCGUGCAAGGCCAGAUACUUUAGCACUGCACUCUUGAUGUACCGAAAGGAAGAUUAACAUAUAAGUACAAUACCGAAGUAAUGACUAUGGAAAUAGGCUUAGAAAUACAACAGAAGCUAGGUACAGUGCAAUAAACCUUAGUGCCUCAUCAUAGCUCCCUUAGCUUCCAGGAAAGUAUAAUGCUGUAUUUGCAGAGAAAAAAAAUAUCACCUUCUAGUGGUGAUCAAGUACGCGAGACUCUUGCACUUGCAAUAGAAAGAUCUGCCAAACCGGUCCCAUUUGACCACAAUAGCAGCUGCAAAGCCAACGCCGAAGCCAAGCCCAACGAAGAGAAACAAAACCACAUCAAUAUGACGAGAUGACUUGUCCCCAUGUGCCACACCUGGAGAGUGAGGUGAACUACCACAAGGAAAUUUUGGCAAUUGCAGCCCACACAAUCCAGCAUUCCCUUCAAAUGAGCUGCUGUCAAAUGUAGAGAACUGACGUGACUGCGGUAUCUUCCCCACCAAGUGAUUGUAUGACAAGUUUAGGGAGCCAAGAAAGGUGAGAUCAGUUAGCUCUUGUGGAAUGUCCCCUGAGAGUUGGUUGCAGGACAGGUCUAGUGACUCCAAAUCAGUCAUGCUUCCAAGUUGGGCUGGAAUUUUUCCAGUGAAGGCAUUGUGUGACAGACUCAGUACGCGUAGUGAUACAAGGCUUCCAAAUGUUUCAGGAAUAGUACCCUCCAAACUAUUUUUUGAGAAGUCAAUUGCUGUUACGGUAGUCAGCAUCCUUCCAAAUGGCAUAUCUGCCCCCUUGUACAUGAUCUCAACAGAAUAUUGAUAUAAAUGUUCUCCGUUAUUGAUAGUUAUAGUGUCUAGAGUUCCGAGAGGUUUCCCAGAACUAUUAAACUCUGCCAUCAUUGACUUUAACUGCUCGAACCAUUGUGGCCUCAAAGUACCAGAGAAGUUGUUUGAGGCAAGAUCGAUAAUUUGCAAGCUAGGGAAACAUUCCUCACAUUUUGUGUCCCCAACAAUAUCACCUAUGGUGCCAUACAUUUGGUUUGAUCUCAGGACGAGUACAGAAAGAUUGGGAAGCCCCCUCAACCAAGAAGGAAAAGCAUCAGCUAUUUUGUUGCUUCCAAAGUCUAUAACCUCCAAGUCUGUACAGUUAGAAAGGCCCCUAGGAAGCCUCCCUUCGAUCUUAUUGCCAUGUAAAUCUAUCGUCUGUAAAUUACAUCUUGUUGUUAUAUUGGAAGGCAGCAUCCCUUUCAAGUGAUUCUCCCUCAAAUUUAAAAAACUUAAGGGGGUAUUUUCUAUAAAACAAGGUGGAAUCGGGCCAUUAAAGUAGUUAUAUGAUAGAUCAAGGACAUCCAGCUCUGUGGCAUUGCAAAUUGAGGGAGAUACAUGGCCGUGUAUAUUAUUUUUGGACAUGCUGAGAUAAAUGGUGUCCCGAAGAUAGGUGGUCCAGUUUGGCAGAAGGGAAGAGAACAUGUUGUUGGAAUAAUCCAAGACUUGUCCUGAUAAUUUUGGCAUAGGGAUCAUCCCUGAAAGUCUAUUGAAACUAAGAUCAAGCACUUCCAUUGGUGUAUUGAAGGGGACAGCAUCCGAAUUAAGUUGCAUGCCCGUGAACAUGUUAUGUGAAAGAUUCAAAUGAGAUCCCCUCGUCUCCCAGAUCCAAUUUGGUAUAUCCCCACUGAUUUUAUUACAUGAAAGAUCCAAAUACCAUAUACGGUCAACAUGCCUCAAAAAUCUUGGAAGUUGAGUUAUCUUGCAAGAUGCGAGCCCUAAUUCAUGUAGUCCAUCCAAAUAGCUGGUUUCCACUGGAUUAUUAUCUUCUGAGGCCAUGACAUGCAACUUAUUGUAGGAAAGAUGCAAAACAGUGAGGUAAUUUAAUCUCCGAAAAUGUGCAAGGUCCACGGAACCUAUCAAGUUGUUUGAGCUAACAUCUAUACAUACUAAACUUGUUAGUUGAAAGAUGGCUUUGGGAAUAAAACCUGACAAUUCAUUGUUCUUGAACCUCACGGUCUCCAACUGUGGACCUGCCUUGUCAAAGCCUUGUAUAGGGCCAGAAAGCUGGUUGAAAGAGAGAUCAAGGCGAUUUAAUAUAGGAAGACUGAAAAUAGAUGGUGGAAUCUCCCCUGGAAGGACAAUAGAAAACAUUAAGUUAGAAAGUGUUUCCCCUUCUACAAAUUGAAAUUAGAAGAUGCUACCUCCUAUUUUGUUCAGAACAUGAAUACUUGACCCUUUCUCGAGAAAAGUAAAAGAUGAUAUCGUACCAUAGAAAUAUAUAUCCCAAGUUUAUUUAUUUUAUUUUGAGAAAAUUGCAUUAGUAGUCUCAAAAUAAAUGGCCAAAACUUGUGUGGUAACCUCGCCGACCCUUGCACUUGUUGCAAAUUACUUUCCCCAGCCCCCUCGUCUUUGUUGUGCCACGUGUUAGGCAAUGGUUUCAUGCUGGUUCAACACAUUAAUUUGCUAAUAGUGGGAUGGGUGAGAUUAGUGUGUGCAAGUUUAAGGACUACCGGAAGAAUUUAGUGCACCUACGGGCCAUAGAAUUUCAUAAUCCUAGGACCCAUGAAGCUGAAAUGAUCCGGACCCAUCAUGGAUCAUAAUUUUAUGGUAUUAUGAUUUAUGAUACCCGGUGUAUAGUCCUGUACCAUCAAAAAGAAUUGGUAAGAUCACUUAUAUAGAAUCCCAAUCCUAACAUCAAAAUUUGUUAAUAUCUGAAAUUAAAUCCAUGAGUAAUUAUAUAUGUUUCUUCAGUUUAAUUCGACAUCUUUUACUCUUUGCAUGACAUCUGACCAUUAAAUUAUUUUAAAUUAUGAUUAGAUAAUGUUUGGAGUUAAGUUGAAAUGUCGAAUUGACAUUGACACGAAUAAGUAGACUCGAGUUUACAAGAAUUAAUAAAUUUAUAAAAAUAGCAUUGUAGAUUUCUUUUCAAGAACUUGUUUAACUUUUUAAUACAUGCAUAUUUUUACUCAUUACGCUGCAAAAUCCUCCCCCAAAGUUCUUGACACAGUGUCAAACUCAUUUGUUGUGUUUAAGCUCUUGCAAUGAUCUAUAUAAGCUGCCAGCUUUUGUAUAAGAGGGCCGGGUUAGAGAAGUAUAUCGUGUCAACUACGCCAAUGAAAUUCUUUUAGAGUAAACUAGAGCAAAUGAGAAGCUUUAUGAGCCCUAAUACCAUUUAAGAUUUCCAUUGUCCUUCCUACCCUGUCAAAUGAACACUCAAGCUCAUAUAGAAGUGACAUGUGUGGUUGUUGCAUCAAGAAGGAACCUUAAGGGAGGAUUUUGCAACAGGGUUAGGCUUGUGGGUUCGUUAGGCCCUUCACACAACGUGUGCUUGGAGUAUUGCUUGAAAUGGAGAGAGGAGGUUUGGGCAUCAAUCACUCCCCCAAGUGGCCAAGUUGAAACCAGGAGCAGCACUGUGACAGAAUAAAACAGAUACCAACUUUUCUCACAUGGGCCUCGACUUUUUUUCCUAGAGUCACUCGACAUAGUAGAGGCCUUAAUGCAACUAUAUUUCUUUUAGGGGAUAAUUGCAACUCAAGAUGACUACUAGGAGCAUGAGACGUGCACACAUGCGUCAGUGGCAAGCUUGCACCUACUCUGAGCAGAGGAGGGCGCAGUUGGAGCUUGCAAGGCCCACGGUGUGGAGCACUGACGCUUAGGGAUGCAAACAGGCUAACCCAGAUAUAGGGCUGAAUCAUGUUGGCAACUGUAGCAUAGACUAUAAGUGGGUUCGCAGGCUAGCCUGCUUGAUUUGCAGCAAUAUAUUAUGGUGGAGGGAUGCCCUUGACCUGUUACAUGCCUUUACAAAUUAAGAGCAUGUUAGGAGAUCCUUACUCCUCAAUCCAACUACCAUAUUGGGAGGGUUAACAAAAAAUAGUGUUCCAGCAGAUUUUUUUUACUUUUUUCCAUUUCACAAUAGUUAUUAGGAAAAACUAAUAAUCCACCCUAACUUAUCCUAAAAAAAGAGUAUCUCAAUAUGGUAGUUUGGAUUGUGAUUAUUGGGGAACUGCAAAAACAACUUUUCCAAUAACCAUAAAAGAAAUAUUGGGACAUUUCCAUUACCUUGUUAUUAGGAAAAAUUGAUUGGAAAACUGGUGAAGAUGCUCUAAGGGAUCCUCAAGUUGGCGUGCGACUGCGCACGCGGUGGGGGGAGCACAAGCAGCCCAAUAUGACUUAAUUUUAGCCCAAGUUAGGUUUAGUUGUGACCAAACUAACAUCCAUGUUCUAUUUUUUUCCCUUUCUUCAUUCUUUUGGGUUUUACAUUCUCUUGUCCUUUUCUUUAAUUAUUUCCUUUUAUAUUAUUCUGCAUAUUAUUUUAUUUCCUUUAUAUUUAUUAUUUGUUUCUAUUAUUUGUUUCGUUUUCUUUUCUGUUUUCCUUUUCUACUAGGAAAUUCUAACUUUUCAUUUAUUUUAUUGUUUCCGUUUUUAUUAUCUUUUAUGCUUCUUUUAUUUUUUAUUUUUAGUAACAAUUUUUUGUAUAUUUUGUUUGCUAGUAAGAAUAAUUUAUUCAAUUAGUUUUCUUUAUUGUUUCACUCUAGCACUACUUUAAAAAUCAUUUGUGCAUACGAUCAUUCUAUUUUUUUUUACAACGGUGCUUAAUAACAACCGUCUCUAGCAAGGGUUCCAAAAAUACAAGUAUUUAUAGAGGUGGGCCACAUAAUUAAGUAACUGUCUGAAAAUCAAUUUGGAAGGCACACCACCUAAGCUGCUACUACUAGAAAUUGACUUCUAGAGGCAGGCCUAAUAAGCAACUGCCUCUAAAAUUGUAAACAACCAAUUUUAAAGAAAAAUAAUAUUCUUUUUUAAAUGAAGAAGAAUGAAGACAAAUUUACUAGCAUAACUAUAGAGCUCGAUGACAUCUAAAAUUUCAUAGUUCAUAACCUUUUCAUGUAAGACUAUUUACAAGCCCAAAUAAAAUUCAUCACCAUUUCUUAUAUUUAUUUUUAAAAAUAAAUUAUGAUUUCCAAAAUGGCCUUGGAAGGAGAUGUGCUCUUCAAAAAAGUUGUAGUGCAUGACGAGAUCUAAAAAUUUGUAAUUGAUAUUUUUUUUCAAAUUUAUGAUCGUUAGAGUGUCAAAUGCAUAGUACAAUAUUCAGAGAAGUGAAAUCAAAAGAAUCCCUUAUAUAGUUAAUAUGUGUUUCGUAAAGAGAAAACUACGCGUGAAGAGACGUGUCGUACCAUGAAUUUUUUGGAUUUCAGGAUAUGACUAGAAAUAAUAAUUAAACAAUAAUUUUCAAUAAUUUUAAUUUUUUUCAACAUUUAUUUUCUUGAGAGGAAAUUUAGUAUAGGAAAAUGAUUGGUUAUUUUUUCUAAAUUAAAUAAAUUAGUUCUUUGUGUGUUGCAUUCAUGCCGAGGCAUCUUGGUGUUUCAUGAGUGCAGACAUUUUAAAAAUGUGUUUCUAUAACAUUUAGGUUCUUCUAAGAAUUUUCCAAAUUUUUCUAGGAUCUAUUGUCAUUUUCGUAGAGCUAAAUAUUUUUAUUAUAAGGCCCUAGAAUCCCUUUCUUGAGUUCCAAGUAUUUUAUUUGGAUUCAUCGUGUCCCAAACUAUCUCUAUAAAUUUUCCUAGGAUUUUAGCUUUUUAGAGUACUUUUUGUGGUUUCAUUGAUUUAUCUAGAAUUUUCUAGAUUUAUCUUUGCACGGGAAACAUCUCUAAAAAUGAAAUAGAAAGAAAUCCCCUUUUCUUGAGGUUGGGCUCAUGGGACCGACCUGCUCUAGCCCAGCAGCCGGCCUGCCAGGCCCAUCUGAGCCCUGCAGCUCUUGGUGUCCAUGCCGGACACAGUAUGGCACCACCGCCUCCCCAACUAACUUGGGUGUGCAUGCCACGGCUCCACCCCUGCCCCCAUAAAUAGCGAAGCCGCAUCCCCUGCUUGCCAUGCUGCCCCAACUCGUGCAUGUGCUGCGCCUCGCCCUUGCUCGCGCAAGCGCUGCCAACCGCCGGAGCCGAGCUGCGCCGCCACCUCGAUCUGCCAGACCCCGGCGUCCCAAGACCAAGCCGCCACCUCCCAGAGUUGCGCCACGACAGGCCGCCUCCAACCAAGGCAUCCACUACACCAAAAAGGCCACUGGAGCAACACUGCCUCGCCUCGCAACGCCAAUCCGGCCGCCGUCUGUUGUCCGCUGCCAGCCAAAAUUCCAACUGGAAUCUGUCCACCCCGCCGCUGGUGAGCACCUCCAUAGAGUCCCCUCGACCUCCUCUUCCAAUCCCCGUCCUCGCGACCGGACUGCCCCCAAUCCCGCUGGUCAGAAGCCAGCCACCAUGGCCAUUAGAAGCUCUUUGAGCUUUUGUGAUUAGGCCCCUUGGAGAUCUUGUAAUGUUUACAAGUUUUCCUAUGUCUUGCUCCUUGUACCGUGAACCCCAUGGACUUUAUCUGAUCCUUGCAAUCAAACCAAGUUGUAAUCUUUAUCAGAUCUAACCUCGAGCCUUAUCAAUUUCGCGAGCACUCUUUGAUGUGUCUUGCAAAUCUUCUCUGCUAGCCCCUAUUGUCUAGGGUUAAUCACGAUUAGACCCCUGCAGCUUGUUUCAUCGAUCCUUUGUUUUAGCUCCGUUUAACCUCGUUCUUAUUGUGUUAGGUUGAUGAUAACAUAAAUUACACGUUAGUAAUGAUGGUUUCCAUCAUGCAUGUUUUUGAAAAUAAAUUUAAUAUUAAUUUAUUGAUGCCUGUUAAACAUGUCUUCCUUAAUUAAAAUCUACAUAGAGUUAUACACCUCUUUUUAUAAUCAAUGUUAAUUCGAUUAAUGCUUACUUCAUAUAUUUUUCUAAAUAAAAGCAAAGUAGAGCUACACCUCGGUUUUUCAUAAACUAAUGUUAAUUAUUUUAAUAUUCAACAUUGAGUCAACUUUUCCAAAUAAAAGUUGAUUAGGCUUUUACACUGGCUUUUAUAAAUAAAUAUUAGCUUGAUUAAUACCAACAUGAUUAUGUUUUCAAUAACAAUUUGAUCCACUUGAAUCAUAAAGUAUACGUUUAGAUGUUUCACAUAGUUUGGCUUUUCUAAACGUUAAAUGUUUAAAUGAUUGAUAAAAUGACCAAUGUCAAUAUGAAUGUGUUUUCUAAAUAAACUUUGUUUAGCCCAACAUGACAGAUGUAUUAAUUUGAUUAGAUGUGUUCAUCUUUCUAAAGUUUAGUGUGUAACGGGUAUAAUUUAUACAUGAACAUUUAUGAAUAAAUCUUGAUUAGGUUUUACCUCUGUUUUUUAAAUAAAGUAUAAUUUGCAUUAAUUCCAACAUAGGUUAUUUUUGUUUCUAAAGUAUCCUUUACAUAUAUUUUGUUAAUUAAAAUAAACCGGGUGUGACAAGAGCAAUCUUGGUUCAAAUCCUAUAUACUGCACAUUUGCAUAUUUUGUGUGAGAAAUUGUAUGAUGUGUGACAGCUAGAAAUUUGCUAGCUACAUAUACCUAACUUUUUUAUGCGCGGGUACGGCUGACUAGCUUCUCCAGAGCAAGCAGACUCAUGCCCCUCCAGCAGGUGUAGUUUGGUCAAGGAGGGAGCAGAGGCGCCGGCCACCUCACACAUCUGUCACGGUUUAACUUGUCACUAGUGGCAUGUCGGGCGUAGGGCUAUGUUUUUUUUUAACUAAAUAGCACAGAAUGGAUAAUACAGCAUUUUGCAAUCGCAAAUAUGUGUGUGUGUGGGUAGGGGUAUUGUUACGUACCGUUGAGAGAAUUAAAAGAAAGAUCCAGCAUUGUUAGCUGGGUCAAAUUAACUAUUGAGCUUGGUAUGCUUCCGGAAAAAUUGCAAUCUUGAAGAACUAACCAUCUCAACUUAUUGAGCUGCCCAAUUGCAUUAGGUAUCAACCCAGAAAUCUGACGACCACUAAUUUCCAUGGCUUCCAAGUUAGUGAGGUUGCCAAUUGGAGCCGGCAUUGAACCUGAAAACCCAGAAUGCUGGAGGUACAUGUUUCUCAAAUUUGUGAGUUCACCAAUUGCAGCUGGCAUUGGUCCUGAAAAAUCAGCACCCUCGAUAUACAAGUUUCUCAAAUUUGUGAGUUCACCAAUUGCAGCUGGCAUUGGUCCUGAAAACCCAGGAUUGUUCAUAUACAAGUUUCUCAAAUUUGUGAGUUCACCAAUUGCAGCUGGCAUUGGUCCUGAAAACCUAGCACCCUCGAUAUACAAGUUUCUCAAAUUUGUGAGUUCACCAAUUGCAGCUGGCAUUGGUCCUGAAAACCUAGAUGAUAUAUACAAGUUUCUCAAAUUUGUGAGGUUGCCGAUAGAAGAUGGCAUGGAGCCAUAUGUGUUGCAAUCAUGCAUUUCAAGUGUUUGCAAGCCCGUGAGGUUUCCAACUGCCCCAGAGAAGUUACAUCCAAAGAGUCCCAAACUUGUUAGGUUUUUGUGCUGGCCAAUCCAUGAGAAAAUUGGACCUAAGUCGCUUCCUGAGUCCAAAUCGUGGUCCAACUCAUUAUCCAAAAAACAAUCAAGGUCCAACUGGUGUAGAGACUCAAGUCUACCAAAUGCAGAGAGAAAAUCCAUAGAAAUUAAAUUCCUGUUAAGGCCCAACUCCUUCAACGACGUGAAAUUACUAGAAGGCGUUGGUAUGGCAUAUACAAAGUUGGUCCUAUCAAGUCUCAAAGUCUCUAAAGAGCUGGCAUUAGAAAAGUUUGGCACAUGGCCUGAGAGAUUCAUAUUAUAGGACAAAUCGAGGACCCUUAGAUUUUUCGAUUGAAAGGGUCUAGAGGGUAACCGCCCCUCAAGAUUUAUCCCAGAAAGUUGAAGCACGGUUAAAUUGGGAAAAUCCAUGAAGAACUCUGGAAAUGGACCAGCACUUGCAUAAAUGGAGGUUUCUUGGAGGUUGAUCACAACAAGAGAAUGGAGUCUCGAGAACGCUUUAUGAAUAGGACCACUCAGGUGACAAUCAGCCAAACUAAGUACCUGAAGUUGAGGAACAUAUGCAGCAAGAGAUGUGCCCCACUCUUCUCCACUAUUAGACAAAUCCACUGAGUCAAGGUAGAGCUCUCUUAAGUUGCUGAGGUUUGCCACAAAGGUAUCAAAACUUGAUUCCCAUAAAUUGUUAUAAUAAUCAUAAGAGUUUGAACCAUAAAAACCGCCAGAAUAAUAAUCAGUAUUGUAUGUUGAAAGAUCCAAUGAGAGAAGGUUCACUAGUUUACUGAUGCUAGGAGGUAUCUGACCAUAUAAUCCUGAAUUGGAAAGGUUUAGGUGGGUUAAAAAAGUGAACCUCUCAAAACCAGCAGAACGGAUGUUGUCUCCAUUGAUGUCAUUCAUGCUAAGGUCGAGUCGCUGAAGUGAUAUGAGGCUGAAGAGUGCAGGGUCCAAGCCAUGAGUUGACAAGCGACGGUUGUUGAGGUCGAGAAUGGUGACAUGGCCAGAGGAAGGGUCGCAGCCAACACCCUCCCAGAGACAACAGUCGGUACCAUUUCGCCAUGACGAAAGCCUGGUGGUGGAUCUGCUGAAGGAGAAGGACUUCUUCAGCUGGAGGAGCGCCUUAGCUUGGUUUGGAUGGCACAAAAAUGAGACAGGGAGGUGAGUGAGGUUACCACCAUCAGCACGGUGGGCAAUAGAGGUGGAGAGUAGUGUGUGGAGCUGAGCAAGAAAGAGCAAUAACACCCAGCCGAUGGAAGCCAUAGCAACUCAGUAUGAGCCGAUAAUAGGCUUACAAAGAGGCACAAGGCAGAUACAUAAAGGAUUGUCUAGUCUAGUAAUGCGUGACAGAUUGUUAUGCAGCUUCCAGCUGCUGUCAAGUCUUCAUCCAUUAAUAAAUUAAUUAAUUAUUUAUUUUUUUGGCUGCAAUAUGAAAAAUCCUAGUCUUUGCUCCAGCAAAGAGGUCAAUCAUAUGGACUUCGUUGUCAAAAAAGAAAAUUAUGUAGACAGUGACCGGUAAUUGGAAGUCUCACUAUAGCAAGACCUCCUAAUAAUUCAUCUAUCAUUGGAUGGUCCUCUCAUAGAUUUUUUCUGACUUCGCCCGGACAGGCUAAUAUGCAAAUUUAAUUGUGACAAAUAAUUAUCAUUCACACAAUCACUUCCAUUUUCUUUUUCAUUCGUUACCUCCAACCUAAAAGCCAUGUCCAUAGUAUGUUGCUCCCUUACUGUAUUGUACAUGUUCUUCCCUGCUAGCUUGAGACCCUGUUCCCCGGCAGUCAUGGGUGUAAUCAUCCUCGCCCUGGUGGCCUCCCUUCUUGCACCAUGGGAUACAGCUGAGCCAUGGAAAAUAUGUGUUAAGGAGAAUGCCUUGUUCCUCAGGGGUGGAGGCAACCACUGUAAAAGAAAAAAAAUUAUACAAAACUUUGUAUGAUGCCAACGCUAUUAUACUCCACCUGACCGGGAGAAGAAAUGUUGUAGAUGCAUGAUAUCUGGGAUUUUUUUUUUCGUUUUAAAAAAAUAGAGCGCAUCAAGCAGUGAUGCAUUCUUCUGUACGUAGCUGGUUUGUCCUUUCGUGAGCCGAUGAUAGGCUUACAAAGAGGCACAAGGCAGAUACAUAAAGGAUUGUUAUGCAGCUUCCAGCUGCUGUCAAGUCUUCAUCCAUUAAUAAAUCAAUUAAUUUACGAGUACCAUGGCUAAGCUGUUCGCAAUUGCGACACCUGAGGAGACUUGACUGUACCAUGGGCUAGCUGUACGCAAUUGCUACACCUGAGGAGACUUGACUAGGCUUUCGUCAAAUGCUGUUGGUAUCAUCCACUGCUACAACAGUGACCGGUAAUUGAAAGUCUCACUAUAGCAAGACUUCCAAGUCAACUAAGCCGGCCGCUACAUUCUGAGGAAGGUGGAAUUGAAGAUCAAAUCAAGUUGGGUGUUGGGAUGAAUUAGUCCGCACUCCGCAGAUAGCAACAUCGAAUAUACUGAUCUGAUGAUGUGCUUCAUUUUUUUUUGGUUGGAGUGGAGCGGCAUCAAGAUCCUACUGCUGUGGAAAACACUGACUUGACUCGUUUUAUCUCGCACAAAACGUGGCUGAAGAUGAUAGUGGUGCUUAAAGAAUCAGCGAGAAGGAGCAAGUAAAAUGCAGUUGAGCCGCAGCUAAAACUUGUCGCGAAUCGCAAUAUUCCGACCACUGUAGUUCUCGUCGUCUCGAAGGAGACGUUGCAGUGUUCACGUCUAGAGCUCAUCACCACAUGCUAGCGUGAAUUGAGCAUAGCAAUGACCAUAGUGGCCCUGCCUUCCUCACCUUAGCCAUCCCCUUUCCUCUAUCCUCCCACACCUAUUGCUGCAUGGUCUUUGGCUGUUGUGCGGCUCCUCUGCGGUACAUCAUGGGGGAGGAUACCACGACUUGGAGGUGCCGGGGGGGAUAGCGUGCUGAUGCGCAAAUCUAGGUGUCCACUCCUCCAUCGAAGGAAAUCCAAACACGGCCUAUUCACAGACAUAGCCACUUAACUUUCAGCUUACAUCUUUUGAUGUGUAAUAUGGCUCUGUUUGGCAUGGCUCCAACUUCUGGUUUUGAUGCUCCACUCCUCAACUUCAGCUGGAGCUAGCUUUGUUUAGAGUUGGAGUUGUGUGGAUGGGAUGUUUGGUAGUGUAACACCCAAAAUUUUGAAUAAUUCAAACUCAUUAAAACUUGCUCAAAUUAAGGUGUCAUUUAAAUUUUAGGCAUUUAAUUUCAUUUUCCUUAACUUAAUUAAAUUCAUCAUAGGAAUUAUUUGUGCAUUCAUGCUGGUGCAUUUAUUUUGAUUGCUUGAGUUUGAAUCAAAGUUUGAAUUUCCAAAUUUGAAUUCAAAUUCCAAAACCCUUUUCUUUUUCUCUUUCAUUUUCUUUCUCCUUCUUCUCCUCCUGGGCCGAAACUUCCUUCCCCUUCCCUUUCUUUUUCUUCUUGCGGCCCAGCAUCACCCGCGCCCCCUUCCUCUUUCGGCCUGGCCGCCCCAUCCUCACCGGCCCGCAACUGCUCCGCCGGCCCUCCUCCUUUUCUUUUCCUUGCGGCCCAGCUGCACCACAGCCUUGCGGCCCAGUCCUCUGCCUCCGCCUUUCGCCCGCUCGCCGCUUCCUCAGCCGCGGCCCACACGCGCGCGCCGGCCCGCGUAGCCACCCCGGCCUGCCGCUCACCCGAUGCCGCGCAGCCCGCGAACGCGCGCCGGCCCACGAAGUCGCGCCGGCCCGCCACCCGCCUUCUCCUUCCUCCGGCCGGACUCCGCUCCGUCCCGCAACCGCCGCUCCGCCAUCUCCGGAGUCCCGCCGGCCCCCGCUCCGAUUUCUUCGGGGAUUCAAACCCGGGGCUCUAUCUCCAAGCCCCUAUAAAAGCCGCCGCCUCCUCCCGGUCUCCUCCGCCAAACACCAGCGCCGCAGCUCACCCGAAACCCUAGCCGCCCGAGCUCCUAGCGCCGCCGCUGCUUCCCCGCCGUCGUUCGCCGCCUCCGGUGAGCCCCCGUCGUCAAAGACAUCCAAAUCGGGAUCGCCGUGUUCCCCUCUUUCUUCUGGUGCCUUCCGCGUGUUAAACCGUGCACCGUGGCGUUAUUUCGCCCAACUCCGGCGACCCGCCGCUCGCCGUCGCGCGCCGCCGCUCGCCGCCGUCGCCGCUCUGGUUUCCGCCGCCGUCGCGAGUCGUCGUCGACCGUAGCCGUCGGAUCAAGAUCCGACGGUCAAUCGCGGGUCAAUCCGGCCGCGUACCGGUCAACCGAGCCGCGCCGCGCCGCUUUUGCACUUGAGCCCCUAUCUUUUCCGCAAAUCAACCCGCGGUCCAGAUCGCGUUGAAAAUAUUUACAGAUCUGCCCCUGCAUUUUUCGGUUUAGCCCUUGAGCUUUCCAAAAAUCAACCCGCCGUCCGGGUUUGAUGUUUUUACGCGUCAGACCCUCGGUUUAUACGCAUAAUUACGUAUAAGCCCUCGGUUUUCGCGGAUAGGCCCUGAAAGUUUUGUUUUUCUCAUAGAAAAGUCCCUGGAUCUUGUUUUAAUCAUAUCUUUUGCAUCUUAACUUCGUUUUUCGUGUUCUUUAUAUCCACGUGUUCGUUUUAAAGCGUAGAUCAUCUUUUCAAGCUUGUUUUCUCUGUUUGACUAUGUUUGGUGUACUGUUUUCUUACUUUUUGCCCAUGUUUGCUUGUAUGUGCUCGUGUGACGCGUGUAGACGCCCCGCAGUUCGAGGGAGUUGCAGAUCAAGCCUUCGAGUUGUACGAACAGCAGGAGCAAGGCCAAGAAGGCAAGUCGUGUCCUUGAUCACUACCUUUUUGUCCUAUACACCUUUACUUUCUCGUACUCAACAUUUAUGCUAUGCACAUGUUAAGAUUAAAUUGAUGGGUCCCAAUUAAGGUUCGCCUAGAUUGAUUUACCUUUGCCUUGACCAACCAGUUUACUUUAUGUUGGGUAGCUCGUGCUUAGUGCUUACUUGGUACAUGGUGGUUUAACUACACACAAUGCUUAAUCUUGAUUUACUUCUGUUAUACCUUUCAUUAAGACAAGAUCAAUAUUUGUUAAUCGGAACAUGGAGCGACCACCCAGGAAAAUAGUGCUACCACAAGACUAAAUGGCUCUGGUCUUGGCUGAUUAAUUAGAAACCUUAGUCUGGGGUGACCUUACUCGGGAUGAGGCAAGAGGGGGGACUGAGUCGUUGCAUUUUACCUGGGAUGGGUGGUGCACGCCAGACACCGAAACCUUAGCGGGUUACCACUGACUAAUGAAUCUUUGUAAAGGCCUCGUAGCGUCCCUAUGCAAUCACACCUCGGAAGUGUGGUAUGGUGCCUUGCAAACACCGCAUGGUUGGGUCCAAAGUUCUUAUGAACUUUUACGCGACUUGUGGGUAAAGAUGUGCCACCUCUGCAGAGUGUUAAACUGAUCGAUCAGCCGUGCUCACGGUUAAGAGCGGCCUGGACCCUCACAUGAUAAUAUUAUCGGAAGAUGGACUUAACUUGUUAUCAUUUCAUGCAUUUGUUGCUUACUUUAUGUUCAUGUUUAAUUUCGGGUGGUAUGAACUUAUACUUAGUUAAUUGCUAAUAAAACUUGACCAACUUAAUUAAAAGCGAAUGCUAUUUAUGCCUUAGCCAUACCUUGAAUUAGCCUUACACUACACUACUUCCCACGACUUAUUGAGUACCAACCAUAAGUGUACUCACCCUUGCAAAACCGCUGUUCAGACCAAGUUAAUUGGGAAGAGGAGUACUUCCACGACUUCGAGGAGUUCUAGGCGUACGUUUCUUCAGUCAGCUGCCUGUGGAGUCGUCGUCAUCUUUGGAGUUCCGCUGCGUAAUAAUUAGACUUUGUGGUUUAUGUGAGACUUUCGGUCAUGUAAUAAUGGUUAAUACUCUCUUUAUUCGAUUUAGCACUGUCUUUGUUAUUCACUAUUGUCGUACAUGUGUGUAACUUGAUCCUGGCGCACAUGUAUUUAAUGCACUCGAUUUUGUCCUUAAAAUCGGGUGUGACAGGUAGAAGGGUACCUAGCUCCAAAAAAAGAGGAUUUUCAUAGUUAAUUGUCAUUUUUGCCCCCCAUAGCCUCACAUGUCAUCCUCUAUAUACCUAUUUUUUUCCUUUUUUCUGAGCUUAUCUUCUUCCUCGGGACUGAAUCAGCUCAUCCGCUCACCCGUGGCCCGCGAGACCUUGCUCCAUUCAUCCUACCCAAGCUAGUAACCAAAUAGAGUCUGCAGCGCACUGGAUGGGGACUAGCAGUGGCAAACAGUUCUAGGUCGGCAGCAGGCGGAUCGCAGGAUGUUACUGAUGCACGGGAUAGAGCUUGCGGCGUGUAGAAUGGGCAUGGCAUAGGAUGGGGCCAGCUAGCGACGUGCAGGAUGGGGCGCGCGGGGUGGGGCCAGCGGCGUGUAGGAUGGGUAGGCGGUACGUGGGAUGGAGCCACCGCACAGGAUGGUAGUGGUGCUGGAUGGGGUUGGCGCCUCACUGAGGCUGGCGUGUAGGACAAUGGCAGUGUGCAAGGGGAACGAUGGCUCCAGCCCUCACGAGUGAUGGUGCAGGCGCAAGGCAAUAGCGAUGGCGCAUAGUUGGAUGGCGGCGACGGCAAGGAUCAAGGAGCAGCGGCGUGUGGGCUGGGGGGCGGUCCUGGGCUAGGGGCGGCGCAUGGGUUGGUAGUCGCGAGGGAGAUGAAGGUUGUGGGAACGGAUGAAGCUAGGGGAAAAAAUAGAACUGAAACAUUUUCUUGUGUAACCGACGAUAGUGGUGGGUAAGUAUCUUCUAACUCCACGUCUAGGUUCGUUUCGUAGUGUUUUGGAUCUGUUAAAGAGGUGCUCUAAGGAAAUGAAGUAGAACUCCAGUAACUCCAUGAAGUUAGACUGCUUCAUUAUUUUUUAGAGUUAGGAUGUUUGGCUGGCUUCACUCAGCUCUGGGCUGGAGUUUGGAGUUGGAACCAUUGCAAAUAGACCCUAGGAGCUUGGUACUAAAACUGUAUAGUUCCUCCGUAGGUUUGCAAAAAGAUAGAGGAGAAGCAAGCACAAAAUUCACAAGACUUCCCUUAUGCAAGGGUACUUCGAUACUACAUGUGGCGGAACCCCUCAGAUUAACUCAACUAAAGCACGGUUAAAUCGCUUAACACGCGAAUCUCAUGCUUUAAUCAAGUCAACUCGACGGUCCGUCGGAUUUCAUCCGAUUUUACCACUUAACAAAACUGAGUUAUCAUAGCUCACAUGAAGGUGAGUGGUUCCAAAGAAUACAACGGGUCCACAAUUAGUUUAACAAUUCAUUACACAUUGGUUUCAAAAUAGAGUUUUACAAGGUUCGAAAGAAACAACGGAAGGCAAAAACAUAGCGUCUAGCAUCGGGGUCGGAUGUCCCUGGUGAGGCCAAUCAGGACAUCAGUGUCCCAUUUCCUACCGUCCGAGGAAGGAUCCCACUCGACCGUCCACCCAGGAGGGGGCUGGGGCGGCCAAGUGCCAGCAGCAAGCUUAGAAGGCUCAACUUCACCUGAAAAGAGAAGCCACAAACAAGGCUGAGCUUCUAAGCUCAACAAGACUUAAUCGACCGGUGGGAAAAACUACUCCACCACUUCUAGACAUGUGAGGCUCUUUGGCUGAGGGGUUUUGUUUGCCAAAAGCAACUAUGUUUGGUCCUUACUUUCAAUAUUUUAGCUCAGAUUCUAAGUUCAUUAACCGGUCUGCAUUGGCAACCUAUACUAAGCAAGCAUAGAUCCAACAUUAUGUAUAUAAGCUCAACAUCAAGACCAUGUCAUCAUCAGACUCCUUCUUUACUCAGUGUAGCAUAGCGAUCAAGCAGUCUCAAACUGUGAGAGGCAGACGAAUCAAUUCGAGUUCUUUAACCAUGCAUGGCGCGCAACACCGGGGUUCGCUUCCUGUGUCGGCCUUCCCCAUCAAUUCCCUGACCCGUGUCGGGCCCACUUCCCUUGGUGCAAGGUUCCACAGAUCCGGCCUCUGCCAUUCCGUGACCACACUUGCCACCACAUGCAGCCGCAGGGGAACUCCGUUCCAGGGACAGUGGAUCGAACCGCUCACGUCCAGGUUCAAUCAGGUACUAGGCUUUCCCAUCCCAUAAUGGGUAUGAUAUUAGUACUUUCAAACACUUGAUCACGAACACCACCACUGUCGGGCCUUAAACAAAUUCAAUAAACAGAUGGGGCGAUCAGCCGACCACCAAAAGAGUUAACCAACACCCUGCCCCGUCCAUCGUCCUUAUAGUUGUAACCAGAAAGAACAGCCAACUCCUAUAACUCGCGAGUGACAGGGAAUCACUCGACUUUUACCGAGUCCUAUUAAGCAUUGCAACUACUCGACCCAACAGACUAGUGUUCAGAUCAAAGGGACUAAGUCACGCAUCUAUGGUUUCAAACAACUCCUAUACGUAAAUGCACAUUCAUAAGAAGGAAGGCAUGUGCAAGUUUAGAAAAUUGGGUUCAUGCUCCUGGGGCUUGCCUUCAAGUGGGGUGGAGGUGAACUGGUCCUCACCGGGUUCUGCUUCGGCUUCUGCGAUCGGUGGAUCCGCUACGGCUCCGUCUUCAGGCGCCGGAUGUAGCUCGUAGGUGCCAUCGGCGAGAUGUAAAUCUACAUGAAUGCAAUGCAGGAGUUAGCACUUAGACGGUUAUUUCAACAAUACUUGCAAGUUUAAGCUCAGACACUUGUAGCAAAGCUACAGGAAAGGUGGGGGAGUCCAACUUCAGUUGGUGGAGAACAGGAUAAAAGGGUCGGAUGGGGAUAAACUUAUGAUCUAACCCUUAAACUUAAGGAAUAACUGCACCGGGGUCCUCAGACUUGUGGUGGAACCACCUCGGAUUAGCUUGAUCAAAGCACGGUUAAGUCGCCUAACACGCGACACUCAUGCCUUAAUCAAGUUAACUCGAAGUGCCGUUGGAUUUCGUCCAAUUUAACCACUUAACAGGACCGAGUUAGCAAAACUCACACGAAGGUGAGUGGUUUCCAGAGAAUACAACAGGUCCAACAGUAGAUUUACAAGUUGCUACACACUUGGUUGAAAAUCAGAGCUUAACCAGUUCUGAAGAAAACAACAGAGGAUAAAAACAAGCGGAAGCUACUCGUCGGGGUCGGACGUCCCUGGUGAGGCCAGCCAGGACAUUAGUGAUCCCAUUCCCCACCGUCUGAGGAGGGAUCCCAUUCGACCGUCCAACCCGGAGGGAGUUGGGGCAGCCAAGAGCCAACAACAAACUCGGAAGCUGCGACUUUACCUGAAAAGAGAAGCCACAAACAAGGCUGAGCUUCUAAGCUCAACAAGACUUAACCGACCGGUGGGAAAAAAAACUACUCCACCACUUCUAGACAUGCAAGGCUCUUUGGCUGAGGGGUUUGUUUGCCAAAAGCACUAUGUAGAUCCUUAUUUUCAAAGUUUUAGCUCAGAUUCUAAGUUCAUUAACCGGUCUAAGUUGGCAACUUACUCUAAGCAAACAUAGAUCCAACCUUAGGUAUAUAAAACAUCAUCAAGACCAUAUCAUCAUCAGAUUCCUUUAUUACUCAGUGUAGCAUAGGGAUCAAGUAGUCUCAAACUGUGAGAGGCAGACGAAUCGAUUCGAGUUCUUUAACCAUGCAUGGUGAACCUAACCUCCCGACAUCCGCGCACCACCGAGGGUUGCUUCCUGUGUCGGCCUUCCCCAUCAAUUUCCUAACCCAUGUCGGGCCUAUUUCCUUUGGUGCAAGGUUCCACAGACCCGGCCUCUGCCGUUCUGUGACCACACUUGCCACCACGUGCGGCCACAAGGGAACUCCGUUCCAAGGACAAUGGGGCGACCGCUCACGUCUAGGUUCAAUCAGGUACUAGGCUUCCCCAUCCCAUACUGAGUAUGAGGUUAGUACUUUCAAACACUUGAUCACGAACACCACCACUGUCGGGCCUUAACAUAUUCCAUAGACAGAUAGGGCGAUCAGCCGACCACAAAAAGUUAACCAAAAGUUAACCCGAUUUUUUUACACAUAUACCCUCGGGUCAAGGAAAAGGAUACAGCCGAGUCCUCGGGCGAGGCGGAAAAGGGUCGGCGAAACAGACAGGGUCGGGCGAGAUGGAGAAGGGGUCGGGCGAAACAGACAGGGUCGGGCGAGAUGGAAAAAGGGGUCGGGCAAGACCGAAAAAGGGGUCGGGUGACAUGAGAAGGGGGUCGGCAGCUUACCUUCAGUUUAUAGGUGAAGUUUUGGGAUCAGGAAGGAGUAGACUUGGGCAAAAGGACUAAAGCACUAAGACUUGGGCAGCGGCGAUGUCCGGCGGUGCUCCGGCGGCGGCGGAGCUUCUUGUGAGCAGCAAAGAAGCUCUAGCACUGCGCGGAGGAGCAGGCGGCUGGGUGGAUUGGGAGGUGCGGGUGUUGAGCGGGGAUGGGAGUUCCUCAAGAACUUAGGUGGCAGCGCUGAAGCACGAAACAGAGGAAAAGGCGGUAAGGCAACGACGGCGAAGGGAAUCUCCGGUAGGACUCGGGCAUUCCCUUUUAUAGCCGCGCGGGAGAGAGAGGGUUGGAGCAGCACGAAGACCGGGAAGAAAAAGAUGGAGUACGCUGCUAUGGCGGCGAUUGAGCGGCGAUGGGCAGCGGAACAGGACUUCGGAGAUGACGCCUUCGGCCAUUGGGCACUGGAGACAGGGCGACGCAGGCGCGGUUUUGCCGGUGGUUGAGGUUUGGCGGAGGUGGGCGUCGCCGUGCGGCGGAUCUGAUGGGUGUGACAGGGGGAACGACGCUAUAAGCGAGGUUGCACAGGUGAUAAGAUAGGCAGGCUGCGGCUACGCGGUCGAGCGCGAAGUAGCGGUUUGCCGGGCACAGUUCUGGCAAGGCGGAAAAGAACUGUUGCGGCCGAAGUCGGGGUUGGCGAUGGAGGAAUCGUCGCGUAGCGAGUCCGGAGCGGCGUGACUGUGGAGAGGCGUCGGAAAAGCCGGAAGGCAUCGGGCCUUGCAGCAGGAGAUCCGGUGAGGUGAUGAUGGGCGCGAGCAGCGAGGUAGUUUGGACGCAGCAGGCGGCAAGCUCUGCCACAGCGGCGUCGGAGCACCAAGGCGCGGCCGGCGAGGACGCGAGCGAGACAAGACGCUGCAGAAAGGAUUGCAGAGGGGCUUCCGCUGCGAUUGGGGAGGAGGGCGCGGGAAUCCAUCCGGUCGCGGCCGGCGACUAGGCGGAGCGGCGGGCGUCGGAGGAGUUGAGCCACGCGGCGGAGAAGCUCUGAAGCGGGCAUGCUACUCGAGUGUAUGGCCGAAAGCUGUUUAGGAAGUUGGAUCCGGUAAGCAACGGGUCCACAAAUUUCCACAAUCUCAUAAGGGCCAAUGUAGCGGGGAGCCAAUUUUCCUUUUACUCCAAACCGUUGCACUCCUUUGGUCGGGGAGACUCAAAGAUACACACAAUCACCAAUAUCAAACUGCAGGGGUCUUCUUCUCCGGUCGGAGUAACUCUUCUGUCGAGACUAGGCGGGCUUUGAGAUUCGCUUGAAUUAUCUUCACUUGUUCUUCUGCUUCUAUUACUAAGUCAGGGCCAUAGGUUUGUCUUUCUCGAGCUUGUGACCAAUUCAACGGUGUCCGACAUCUCCGGCCAUAUAAGGCUUCAAACGGUGCCGUCUUCAAGCUAGUCUGGUAGCUAUUGUUAUAGGAGAACUCUGCCAAUGGUAAGCACUUAUCCCAAUUUUUAUCAUAAUGGAUGACACAAGCUCUCAACAUGUCUUCAAGGAUCUGAUUUACUCUUUCGGUCUGACCAUCGGUUUGAGGGUGAUAGGUAGAGCUACGAAUGAGCUUGGUGCCCAUUGAUGCUUGUAGCUGUUCCCAAAAACGUGCUACAAACUGAGCUCCUCGAUCAGAGAUGAUCGUCCCAGGUACACCGUGUAGGGAAACAAUGCGGUCAAGAUACAACUCCACAUAUUUCUUGGCCAUGUAGGUGGUGUGAACAGGGAUAAAGUGGGCAGUCUUGGUAAGACGAUCCACAAUCACCCAAAUGGAAUUAUGUCGCUGCGAUGUAAGGGGUAAUCCAACAAUGAAGUCCAUGCUAAUGUCCUCCCACUUCCAAGAGGGAAUAGGUAGGGGCUGCAGGGUACCUGCUACCUUUAAAUGGCUGGCUUUGACAUGUUGGCAGGUGUCACAUUCUGAAACAUACCGCGCAAUCUCUGGCUUCAUUCCACUCCACCAGAAGAUUUGACGGAGAUCAUGAUACAUCUUAUUGCUGCCAGGAUGGAUUGAGAACUUGGAGAGAUGAGCUUCAUCUAGGAUUUGCUUUCUCAGAUUGGGGUCGGAUGGUACAACCAGUCGAUUUCCAUAGUACACUCUCCCAUUCUCAUCCUGUCGGAAUUGCUUAUACCCUUCAUCUUUCAAUGAAAUCUUCCUUUUGAUCCACCUUACUUCCUCAUCCUCUAACUGUGCUGACCUAAUUUGGUCUUCCAGGACAGACUCAAAAGAUAUGUGGCCAAGGGUUCCAUGGGAAAUAAUUUCCAAACUGAGCUUUCCCAUCUCCUGGCACACGGUCUCUGUGAAGUUGGUUGCCAUCAAGCAAUUGCAAUGAGUCUUGCGACUAAGUGCAUCGGCCACCACGUUGGCCUUGCCGGGGUGAUAGUGCACUUCCAAAUCAUAUUCUUUAAUCAACUCCAACCAUCUUCUCUGUCGCAUGUUAAGGUCGGCCUGAGUGAAGAUGUACUUGAGGCUCUUGUGGUCGGUGUAGAUGUUACAGUGGGUGCCCAUCAGAUAGUGUCUCCAUAUCUUUAAGGCAUGAAUCACUGCUGCCAACUCAAGAUCAUGGGUCGGGUAGUUCAGCUCAUGAGGUCGUAACGCCCACGAGGCAUAGGCAAUGACUCAGUGGUUUUGCAUGAGAACACAACCAAGUCCAGUGCCAGAGGCGUCACAAUAUAUGUCAAACGGCUUAGAAGGGUCGGGUUGAGCCAAAACUGGGGCUGAGGUUAGCAAGUGUUUCAAAGUGUUGAAGGCUUCUUCACACUUGUUGCUCCACACAAAUUUGACUUCUUUCUUCAGCAGCUCAGUCAUCGGCUUUGCUAUCUUGGAGAAAUCCGAAAUGAAGCGCCGAUAGUAGCCUGCUAGUCCAAGGAAACUUCGGAUCUGGUGAACUGAGGUGGGCGGCUUCCAGUCCAUGACUUCCUGUACCUUGCUGGGGUCAACUGCUAUGCCAUCCCGAGAAAUGGUGUGUCCCAAGAACUUGACACUCUCUAACCAAAAUUCACACUUGGAGAAUUUGGCAUAGAGCUGAUGAUCUCUUAACCGUUGGAGAACCACAUGAAGAUGUUCGGCAUGUUCUUCUUCACUCUUGGAGUACACCAGAAUAUCAUCAAUGAACACCACCACGAACUUGUCCAGUUCGGGCAUGAACACCGAAUUCAUGAGAUACAUGAAAUAGGCGGGUGCAUUGGUGAGUCCAAAAGACAUGACCAGGUACUCGUAGAGUCCAUAUCUUGUGGAGAAGGCAGUUUUGGGAAUGUCACAGGGUCAGAUCUUGAUUUGGUGAUAACCGGAACGAAGAUCGAUCUUGGAGAAUACUCUUGCUCCAGCUAAUUGAUCAAACAAGACAUCGAUGUGGGGAAGUGGAUAUUUGUUCUUGACAGUCAUCGCAUUGAGAGGUCGGUAGUCCACACACAUGCGUAGACUUUCAUCCUUCUUCUUCACAAACAAGGCUGGGCAACCCCAGGGUGAAGUACUCGAUCGGAUGAAGCCUUUCUCCAACAGAUCAUGCAACUGGGUUUUUAACUCGGCCAGCUCAGCCGGUGGCAUCCGAUAGGGUCUCUUGGAUAUCGGAGCGGUGCCAGGCUGCAGUUCAAUGGCGAACUCGAUAUCUCUGUCUGGCGGCAUGCCAGGCAAGUCAUCUGGAAACACAUCCGGGUACUCACAGACAACAGGAAGGCUUUCUAUCUAGGCUUCCGAUAUAGGGUAUGCACAAGGAAUUGCGUACUUAGGGGGGGUCAAGGGUAGGGUAGAACUGCCAUGAAAGGGUGAGUUGAUGUGGAGAGCUCGGGCAGCUGCAUCUAGAACCACUUGGUGUCUGGUCAUCCAAUCCAUCCCAAGGAUGAUAUCUAUUCCUUCCAGGUCAAGGAUGAUGAGAUUUUCCUUAAAAAGAGUUUGGCCUAGCUGGAUAGGUACAAGGGUAACUAUCUUGUCUGAGGCUAUCUUCCUUCCCGGAGUGGAGAUCACAUAUAAUCCUUUAGUGUGAUCGACACUCAGCUCACAUCUUUCUCUAGUCUUACUCCCGAUGAAGCUAUGGGAGGCUCCCGAAUCAAACAAAACAACAACAGUUUGAUUUAGGACAAGGAAGGUACCCGUCAUCACUGGCGCACCUUCGGGGAGCUCAGUCAAGCUGGUGUAGUUGAGCCGUCCUUGGCGAACUUGCACCUUGGGCCUUCUUCCUCUGUUCGCCAUGGGGUUCUGGCCAGGCUGCUGAUUCUUGUUCCUGGGGCAGUCCUUAGCAAAAUGCCCUUCAUUCCCGCAGGUGAAACAGUGGUUGCUAUUCACAGGGCGCGGCGUCAGUAAGGUCGGCCGGGGCGCCUGUGGUUGGAAACCAGGAAAACAAGGUGCCGCUGGUGGUGGUCGGGCAACCCAUCUUCCUGACUCCUGGGGUCAGCUGGGUGCCUGUAGGGGAACCACCCUGAACCUUCGAGCGGGCGGGCUCGGUAAUGCCACUGAGGCCUUUCUCUGCUGGUCGGCUUUGAGAGCCUGCAUGCAAUUCUCUUGGGAGAUGGCCAGAUUCACCAACUCGUUGUAGGUAUCCACUUAAUGGGGUUCAACCUCUCCUUGAGCUCCAGAUUUAAUCCUCUGUGGAACCUGUCCCUUUUCUUCUCGUCGGUGUCCACGUGAUAGCCGGCAUAACGGCACAGGUCGUUGAAGGCUUGUGCGUAGUGUAGGACAUCACGGCUUCCUUGGGUAAGGGCCAAGAACUCAUUGAGUUUGCGUUCUAGAAGACCUUCUAGAAUGUGAUGCCCUCUGAAAGCGGUCUUGAACUCGUUCCAGCUGAUAGCAUGGUCGGCCGGCAACAUAGCAUGGUAGUGAUCCCACCAAAGCCGGGCGGAACCACGCAGCUGUUGAGCCGCAAACCGGGCUUUGUUAUGGUCGGGGCACGGGGUGGUAAGGAGCUUGAACUUGGAUUCGAUCGUACGAACCCAUGCAUCUGCAUCGAGCGGGUCUUCCAUCUUGUGGAAGGUCGGGGGCUGCGUGCUCAAGAAGUCUUCAUAACGAGCAUCUUGAGGUUGUUGAUGAGCCGUCCUUCCAUGGGGCUACUGUUGUUGUCCUUGUACAAUGUGCCUUAGCAGCUUUGUCUGAGCCGCUAGGAUGGCUUCCAACGAAGGUGGGGGCAGAGGCGGAGGAAGAUCCUGCCUCUGCUCGCUACCACUGGGCACAGAGCCAGAUCGGGUGCGGUGCACCAUCUACAAGAGCCAACGUUCCAUAAAUUCCAUAACCUCAGAAGUAUUCCAAUCAUGCAGGAACGUAUACUUUAAGUCCUCAAAAUGCGACUCUUGCCAAUAGUGCAACGCAACAACAUCUCUUAUUAAGGAUAUACACACUUCCUCUUGCCAUCUUAGUUAGCCACUCGCUUGGUUCUGCACACAACCUCGGGCAAACCAAAACCGUAUCCCAGGAGUUCCACUAUAUCCGACCUUAGGCCAAGGGGUCGGGCUAAGCAAAACAGUGCAACAAGGGGUCUGGUGAAGCGAACCGCACAAGAAGGGGUCGGGCGAGAUGGAGAAUUGCCUCGAGGGGUCGAGCGUGUCCGACCUUGCGGCUCGGGGUCGGCCAAGUUUUGGACAGACCCACCGAAAAUGGGUGUGUGGUCACAGCACGAAACUCCCACAACUUGGCAUCCACGGCGUGUCGCAAAAAGGGGUCAAGGGUCAAGUUCAGAUCUGAUUUCACUAAGAUCAUUACAUUGUGGUUCCCCAAAACACAGGAGGAAUACUCAACUCAAGGCUAACUCAUUACACCACUAUCCAAAACUCAGGUUGCCGAGAAGUACAACAAAAGAUUAGCUCCCUACAGCUCUCAAAGUAUGAGGGUACACUGUUAGUCGGAGAAAGGGCGUCGCCAUCCUCAAUGUCCAUGCUGGAUGCUCCCAUGACUUCCUCGGGAUCUUCUUGCUCGUCCAAUUGCAUCUCAAGGGCAUGUAUAGCAUCAAACUCGGCGUGGUGCUCGUCCAGAUGAGCAUUAGCAACUGCUAGCUCCAUCUCGACCUCCAUCUUUUCUUCGGAAAGCUCGAUCAUGCCAUCCACCAGGUCCGUUACUUCUCCCUCGAGUUCGGAGAAUCGGUCUUGCAUGUCAUGGAUCUGUAUGCCUCUCUGGAUGAGUUGAUAUGUUUGUCCCACCAAGUCUCUCUUGGCGGCGUUGAAGAGCCCUUGGGUGUCUAUGGCUAUCCAAGCCAAGACAGCCAUUGCUCGGCCUUGAAGCUCGAUCAGCCGAUAUAAGGCUGACAUGCAUCUGGUGGUGGUAGAGAUAGUGACCAGUGAAUGGGAGGUUGCCAACACCUCUAUGUUGUUGAUGCGAUCAAGCUAAGCCGGGUCCAUCCGGUCCCUGGCAGGAAACAGGCCGAUUGGGUCCAAGGUGACCUUAAGCGGGUGUAACCGACAGAAAUGGGUGAGGAUUUGUAGAGCAGCCGACUCCCAGGUGUCUUCCAGAGCGUGUUCGCAAGUCAAGACUUCGAGCUGGGGCCACUCGGGCUGCAUAGGGGGUGGAGGUACAACCACCUGUAGGUUGCACCUCUCCACUCUGUGCUCCUGGUACAUCCGUCCCACGUACAAAGGCGGGGACUGGUACCCAAACCACCUUAAGGUAUCCUACAAAAUAGCAGGAAAACCCUCAAAGUGUAGGCAUGUAGAGUGGGAAAUGCCAUCAGCGCCGUACAACAUGUGUCCGGGGGCGGCCAUUUGGAACCAAGAACCGAAACAUCAUGAGAUAGAAAUCCCAAGAAGAACAGAUCGGGUAGGAGAAGAACUUGGAAAUCAACCAGAGCGUAAGCUGGAAAGGAGGCUAGAAAUCCUUAAAGCGAAGAAGAGCUUUUCCAAGGCAAGGUUGUUUUAGGGAGGUGGUUUCACAGAUUCUAGUUGAUGAUGCAUGCACAGCCUACCUCGUCCUCUCAACCAAAACAACUGCCAAAACUUUGGUCUUACGCAGUUAGUGCCGGUGGCAAGGCAACCAGUACGUCUCUCCCUAUAAUAGCUAGUCGGGUUCUAGUAGCGUCUCCUAAGCGAACGCGGUUAGUGCACCUGCAGAAAAACACAACCACUUGAACCUUUCAUGCCAGCACCCACGAAAGCAUCCCCAAGCAUUACCGUUCACUAUUGAAACGACACCCAUGCGUUUAAGGCUGCAUGGACAGCACAACAACCGUGGAAAUAGGUCCCCUUUGAAUGGAACCGUAUAACCCUUCGCAUACUCGUGAUGCGGAAUCAACGCACGUAUAAUAGACGUGGGCGAACAACCGUGAUGAUAGGCUCGUUGGAAUCGAACCAUACCACCCUUCGUAUGAAUCAACACACGGAACCUGCGCACGUGUGAUAGACGUGGGCGAAACAACCGUGAUGAUAGGGUCCUUUGAAUAGAACUCCCUAUCAACCCUCGCAUACUCGUGAUGCGGAACUCGGCACACGUAUGAUACACGUGGCGAAGUGCUGGGGGUUAGCAAAAUAACCAAUAAGUAGUAGCCACCUGAAACAACCCAAAAUCCCCUAGGGCCUCUCGUGCUAAAGUCAUCCUUAACGACCGUACGAGAUUUUUUUUUUCAACAGUUUUCUUUUUGCAAAAUUUUAUUCAAAAGAAGUGUUUAGGGCUUAUUGUGUUCUCUGUAUUGCUAAACCAGCUCUGGUACCAGCUGUGGCGGAACCACCUCGGAUUAGCUUGAUCAAAGCACGGUUAAGUCGUCUGACACGCGACACUCAUGCCUUAAUCAAGUUAACUCGAAGUGCCAUCGGAUUUCGUCCGAUUUAACCACUUAACAGGACCGAGUUAGCAAAACUCACACGAAGGUGAGUGGUUUCCAGAGAAUACAACAGGUCCAACAGUAGAUUUACAAGUUGCUACACACUUGGUUGAAAAUCAGAGCUUAACCAGUUCUGAAGAAAACAACAGAGGAUAAAAACAAGCGGAAGCUACUCGUCGAGGUCGGACGUCCCUGGUGAGGCCAGCCAAGACAUUAGUGAUCCCAUUCCCCACCGUCUAAGGAGGGAUCCCAUUCGACUGUCCAACCCGGAGGGAGUUGGGGCAGCCAAGAGCCAACAACAAACUCGGAAGCUGCGACUUUACCUGAAAAGAGAAGCCACAAACAAGGCUGAGCUUCUAAGCUCAACAAGACUUGACCGACCGGUGGGAAAAAAAACUACUCCACCACUUCUAGACAUGCAAGGCUCUUUGGCUGAGGGGUUUGUUUGCCAAAAGCACUAUGUAGAUCCUUAUUUUCAAAGUUUUAGCUCAGAUUCUAAGUUCAUUAACCGGUCUAAGUUGGCAACUUACUCUAAGCAAACAUAGAUCAAACCUUAGGUAUAUAAAACAUCAUCAAGACCAUGCCAUCAUCAGAUUCCUUUAUUACUCAGUGUAGCAUAGCGAUCAAGUAGUCUCAAACUGUGAGAGGCAGACGAAUCAAUUCGAGUUCUUUAACCAUGCAUGGUGAACCUAACCUCACGACAUCCGCGCACCACCGAGGGUCGCUUCCUGUGUCAGCCUUCCCCAUCAAUUCCCUAACCCAUGUCGGGCCCAUUUCCUUUGGUGCAAGGUUCCACAGACCCGGCCUCUGCCGUUCUGUGACCACACUUGCCACCACGUGCGGCCGCAGGGGAACUCCAUUCCAAGGACAAUGGGGCGACCGCUCACGUCUAGGUUGAAUCAGGUACUAGGCUUCCCCAUCCCAUACUGAGUAUGAGGUUAGUACUUUCAAACACUUGAUCACGAACACCACCACUGUUGGGCCUUAACAGAUUCCAUAGACAGACGGGGCGAUCAGCCGACCACCAAAAGUUAACCAAAACCCUGCCCCGUCCAUCGUCCUUAUAGUUGUAACAGAAGGAGAAACAACCAACUCCUAUAACUCGUGAGUGACAGGAAAUCACUCGACUUUUACCAAUUCCUAUUUAAGCAUAGCAACUACUCGGUCCAACAAACUAGUGUUCAGAUCAAAGGAACUAUGUCAUGCAUCUAUGGUUGCAAACAACUCCUAUACGUAAAUGCACAAACAUGAUGAAGAAGGCAUGUGCAAGUUUAGGAAUUUGGGGUUCAUGCUCUAGGGCUUGCCUUCAAGCGAGGAGGAAGGGAACUGGUCUUCUGCUGGGGCGGCUUCGGCUUCUGGGAGCGGUAGCUCGGCUACAGCUCCGUCUUUGGACGCCGGGUACAGCUCAUAGACACCGUCAGUGAGAUGCAACUCUACACGAAUGCAAUGCAGGAGUUAGUGUUUUAGACGGUUAAUUCAACAACACUUGCAGUUAAAGCUCGGACACUGGUAGCAAGGCUACAGAAAAGGUGGGGAGAGAUUACUUUAGUUGGUGGAGAGCAAGAUCAAAGGGUCAGAUAGGGUAAACUUAUGAUCUGACCCCUAAACUUUAGGAGAUAACUAUGUUCGAGGUCCUCAGACUUAGCGCAGAGAAGUCCCCGAUUUUUUUUACACAUAUACCCUCGGGUCAAGGAAAAGGAUACAGCCGAGUCCUCAGGCGAGGCGGAAAAGGGUCGGCGAAACAGACAGGGUCGGGCGAGACGGAUAAGGGGUCGGGCGAAACAGACAGGGUCGGGCGAGACGGAAAAAGGAGUCGGGUGAAACAGACAGGGUCGGGCGAGACCGAAAAAGGGGUCGGGUGACAUGAGAAGGGGGUCGGCAGCUUACCUUCAGUUUAUAGGUGAAGUUUUGGGAUCGGGAAGGAGUAGACUUGGGCGGAAGGACUGAAGCACUAAGACUUGGGCAGCGGCGAUGUCCGACGGUGCUCCGGCGGCGGCGGAGCUUCUUGUGAGCAGCAAGGAAGCUCUAGCACUGCGCGGAGGAGCAGGCGGCUGGGUGGAUUGGGAGGUGCGGGUGUUGAGCGGGGAUGGGAGUUCCUCAAGAACUUAGGUGGCAUCACUGAAGCACGAAACAGAGGAAAAGACGGUAAGGCAACGACGGCGAAGGGAAUCUCUGGUAGGACUCGGGCAUUCCCUUUUAUAGCCGCGCAGGAGAGAGAGGGUUGGAGCAGCACGAAGACCGGAAAGAAAAAGAUGGAGUGCGCUGCUAUGGCGGCGAUUGAGCGGCGAUGGGCGGCGGAACAGGACUUCGGAGAUGACGCCUUCGGCCAUUGGGCACUGGAGACAGGGCGACGCAGGCGCGGUUUUGCCAGUGGUUGAGGUUUGGCGGAGGUGGGCGUCGCCGUGCGGCGGAUCUGAUGGGUGUGACAGGGGGAACGACGCUAUAAGCGAGGUUGCACAGGUGAUAAGAUAGGCAGGCUGCGGCUGCGCGGGCGAGCGCGAAGUAGCGGUUUGCCGGGCACAGUUCUGGCAAGGCGGAAAAGAACUGUUGCGGCCGAAGUCGGGGUUGGCGAUGGAGGAAUUGUCGCGUAGCGAGUCCGGAGCGGCGUGACUGUGGAGAGGCGCCGGAAAAGCCGGAAGGCAUCGGGCCUUGCAGCAGGAGAUCCGGUGAGGUGAUGAUGGGCGCGAGCAGCGAGGCAGUUUGGACGCAGCAGGUGGCAAGCUCUGCCACAGCGGCGUCGGAGCACCAAGGCGCGGCCGGCGAGGACGCGAGCGAGACAAGACGCUGCAGAAAGGGUUGCAGAGGGGCUUCCGCUGCAAUUGGGGAGGAGGGCGCGGGAAUCCAUCCGGUCGUGGCUGGCGACUGGGCGGAGCGGCGGGCGUCGGAGGAGUUGAGCCACGCGGCGGAGAAGCUCUGAAGCGGGCAUGCUACUCGAGUGUGUCUGCAUCGGGAGAUCCGGGGAAAAGAUUUGCGGGUCCACGGUUAGUCUCCGUUGUUACCCAGCUCCAAGAUUGAAAAGGGGCACUGCCUUGGGGAACUCAGAAGGGACUGACGGGAUGGGUCGAGUUCUCAGGGGUCGGGACCGGAACUGGAGGUUGAGCACUUAAGCUCAGGGGAGCUGAGUCAGUGGGAUUAGGGACUCGGAUCAAGAUCAACUCAGAUGAUUUGACCACGGUCGUUACAAGACUUAACACAGAGAAGUCCUCGAUAUUUUACACAGAUACCCUCGGGUCAAGGAAAGAGAUACAGCCAAGCCCUCGGGCGAGGUGGAUAAGGGUGGGCGAACAGACAGAGUCGGGCGAGACGGAAAAGGGGUCGGGCGAACCGGAAAGGGGUCGGCAGCUUACCUUCAGGUCUACUGGUGAAGUUUUGGGGUCGGGAAGGAACAGACUUGGGCGGAGAGACUAAAGCACUAAGGCUUGGGCGGCGGCGAUGUUCAACGGUGCUCCGGCGGUGGCGGUGCUUCUUGUGGAUAAUAAGAAAGCUCUAGCACAGUGCGGAGGAAUAGGCGGCUAGUGGGUUCGGGAGAAGCGGGUUUGAGCGGAGAGGGGAACUUCUUCAAGAGCUCAAGCAGCAGGGCUCAAGUGGGAGCAGAGUAUGGGGCGGUGAAAUAGCGAUGGCGAAGGAAACUCCGGUGGGGGCUCUGGUACUUCUUUUUUAUAGCUGCGCGGAAGAGAGAGAAUUUGAGUAGCACGAAGACCGGGAAGAAAAGGAUGGAGUGCGCUACCCUGGCGGCGAUUGAGCGGCGAUGGGUGGCGGAACAGAGCUUUGGAGACAGGGUCUUUGGUCCUUGGGCACGGCAGACAAGACCGGCGCAGGCGCGGUUUGGCCGGGAUUUAGAUUUGGCAGAGGCGAGCAUGGUCUGGUCGCGUCAAGCGGUGGAUUGUGGCGGCGACUUGACUGGCGUGACCGGAAGAAAGGCGCUACAAGCGAGAUCGCAGCAGGCGAGGUGACAGGGCGAGCGGCAGCGCGAGCAAGCGCAAAACAGCGGCUUGCCGGGGCAUAUCACUGGCGAAGCGGAAAAGGAGCUGUCUCUGCCGGAGUCAUGGUUGGUGGGGGCGGUAUCAUCGUGGAGCGAGCUCGUGGGCGGCGCGACUGUGGAGAGGUGGAAAAGCCGAAAAGCAUUGGGGCUUGCAGCCGGGGAUCCGGGCGAGGUGAUGGGUGCGGGGUGCGAGGCGGUCUGACGCAGCAGCGGCAAAAACUCUGCCACGGCGGUGACGGGGCACCUUGGCACGGCCAGCGAGGAUGCGAGCGAGACGAGGCGAGGCAGAAAGGGCUGCAGGGGCGUCCGCUGUGAUUGGGAGGGAGGCGCGUUGAUCCAUCCUGUCGCGACCGGCGACUGGGCGAGGCGGCGCACGUCGGAGAGAUCGAGCCACGCGGCGGGGAAGCUCUAAAGCGGGCGCACGCUGCUCUGGCGCGUUUGUCUCGAGAGAACCGGGAAAACUGGUUGUGGGUCCACCAGUCAGUCUCUGGUUCUCUUUCAGCUCCAAGAUUAGAAGGAACACUGCCUUUGGGACUAGAGAAGAACCGGCGGUUUGGUUUGGGCUUCAGGGGUCGGGGUCGAGAACCGGACCGUAAGCGCUCGUGCUCAGGAAGAGCAGAGUCAGCUGGAUUAGGGACUCGGUUGAAGAUUAACUCGGCUGAUUCACCAAGGUCGUUACACUACACACACGAUUUCACCAUGUAAAUUUAGGAAACAAAAAAAAUUUACCCUCCUAAUAAUUCAUCUAUUAUUGGAUGGUCCUCUCAUUGAUUUUUUCUGACUUCGCCCGGACAGGCUAAUAUGCAAAUUUACUUGUGACAAAUAAUUAUCAUUCACACAAUCACUUCCAUUUUCUUUUUCAUUCGUUACCUCCAACCUAAAAGCCAUGUCCAUAGUAUGUUGCUCCCUUACUGUAUUGUACAUGUUCUUCCCUGCUAGCUUGAGACCCUGUUCCCCGGCAGUCAUGGGUGUAAUCAUCCUCGCCCUGGUGGCCUCCCUUCUUGCACCAUGGGAUACAGCUGAGCCAUGGAAAAUAUGUGUUAAGGAGAAUGCCUUGUUCCUCAGGGGUGGAGGCAGGAUUUUGGUAUAGGGGGGCAACCACUGUAAAAGAAAAAAAAUUAUACAAAACUUUGUAUGAUGCCAACGCUAUUAUACUCCACCUGACCGGGAGAAGAAAUGUUGUAGAUGCAUGAUAUCUGGGAUUUUUUUUUUCGUUUUAAAAAAAUAGAGCGCAUCAAGCAGUGAUGCAUUCUUCUGUACGUAGCUGGUUUGUCCUUUCGUGAGCCGAUGAUAGGCUUACAAAGAGGCACAGGCAGAUACAUAAUGGAUUGUCUAUUCUAGUAAUGCGUGACAGAUUGUUAUGCAGCUUCCAGCUGCUGUCAAGUCUUCAUCCAUUAAUAAAUCAAUUAAUUAAUUUUUUUGGCUGCAAUAUGAAAAAUCCUAGUCUUUGCUCCAGCAAACAGGUCAAUUAUAUGGACUUCGUUGUCAAAAAAGAAAGUUAUGUAGACAUGAAGGCAACGAAGACAUUAUUAAUGAUGUACCCGAGAGAAUCAUAAACAAUUUGGAUGAAAAUCCUAUCAGGUAAGGAUCCAUAAGGACUUAGGUUAAAUGAUCUACAAUGUGAAAGCACAUUAACAUACUCUAUAAAUAUGUGGAGCGACUCGCUCCAACAUGCUAGAAACUCUAGCCGCCACUGCGACUAUAGUAGGCUAACUGCAUUUACGAGUAUCAUGGGCUAGCUGUACGCAAUUGCGACCUGAGGAGACUUGACUAGUAUAGCCUUUCAUCAAAUGCUGUUGGUAUCAUCCACUGCUACAACAGUGACCGGUAAUUGGCCCUGAAAAUCCAGAAUCAAUUAUACCCAUUUUCCUCAAAUUUGUGAGGUUGCCGAUAGAAGAUGGCACGGAACCAUACACUGGUAGAGAAUUGACCUUUAGUCCCGGUUGGUAGGGUGCAUAUCUCUCGGAUAUCCAUCCGGGAUAAACCAACCGGGACAAAAGGGGGGGGUCUUUAGUCCCGGGUAUUUUAACCGGGAGUAAAGGACCCCCUUUAGUCCCGGUUGGUGUCACCAACCGGGACUAAAGGGCCUGCCACGCCAGGCACGGGACAGGCCCUUUAGUCCCGGUUGGAUUUCCCAACCGGGACUAAAGGGGUCCCCUUUAGUCCCGGCUCAAUUCCAACCGGGACUAAAUUGCGCUUGCAUGGCACUGGUGACGCCUGAAUUUUUCAUGCAUGCAUCACGUAUACGUAUAGUAGUACCGCGGCCCUUUUAAUUUGUUAACCUUGUAGUUGAGAUUUUUUUAGAACGAAAUCAACUAGUAUUUAAACGAAUGGGAUUUGUAAUUAUACAACUACUAUAUAUAUACACAAUCCUUAUACACAAUUCAUAUACACAAUUCAACUAGCUUAAUUAGUACAAAUCGAUCAUAUAUACAAAUAAAUCAAAGUAUCUUCCUACGAUCUUCCCGUCGUGGUGUUGCUGAGAGGAGUGUCUAAUUGUCGUCCAUCGUAAUAAAAUUCUCCUCUUGGAUCUACCACCUCGUCCAUUAUGAAUCCAAUGAGACCUUCACAUAUUGCCGCUACUCUUUCUUCCUUCAAGAGUCCUUGUUGAAUAUUUAACAUCUAUAAUUUGGAAAUUUGUGAAUGUUACAUGAACAAAUACAUAUAAGGAGCUAGAAAAUAAUUAACUAGUAAUAUAUUUAUUUUACGUACUUUAAAGUUGUGCGGCGUCAUCUUCGGUCCCUUGGGUCCCAAAAAACUGUGCAUGUGCUCACAGAUGUAGUAGCCACAUAGAUUAUUCCCGGGUUCCUGUCUUAAGCACUUCAGUGCGGAAAAAAUAAGUUAUGAACUAUUCGUGUUAUACAAUGUAAUAAAUGUGCAGACUUCAUACGUACCGGGAAGUCUGUGUUCCAUGUAAGAUUUUCUUUGAAUGGACCUUUGUGUGUCCUUAUGAAUUGUUUCCAUGCAUUGCGGAUUAGAAUAAUGAAUGACAUAGUGUAACAGGGAUAAAAUUUAGGAAAUAAAUUUUUGCAUAGAGAUAAAGGUCCAGAAUUAUUACAAGCCUAGCAUGUCUUGCAAUUCUUGGUAGUCCACCGGAUCUUUCCUUAACGAAUCAAAGACAGUGACGUGGCUUCUUUCAGGCUCAAUUAUAAUAAGGAUCCAGUGGAAGCUGCGUGCGUAAAAUGUUCAUGCAUAUUAGAGCUAACUAACAUGUAGAGAUAAGGAAAAAGACAUCGAAAGUAGACGGUAUACACACACUUACUUGAAGUUGUAUGGAAGUAGUAUGAAAUCCUUGAAUGUUUGUUUGUGUAGGAAAUUGUAUAUUUCGGCAAAGGUUUUUUCCGGCGCUAAUUGUAUCUGUUGUUGGUUAACUACAGAUGGAUCCAUGAAGCCUACAUGUAGGUACGCCUCUCGGCGGCAUGUCUGAAUUAGCAUCCUACAUGAAAUGGAAGAUGAAGUUAGUACGGUGACGCACGCCAAAAUUUACAUGUAGAGAUAAUAAACGGACACUUACAGAAUCCAAGCGCUGAUCAGAGAGACGUCCAGGGCAUCAUGAUGGUACACUUCGUAUAUAUCCUUGAAGUCUAGCCACAGCACUUUCUCCCCUUCACCGUGAAAAUCUAUCGGUUUUACCUUCAUGCCGAUCAUCUCCCUCGAGUUGGCGGAUGCCGUCAUGUACCAUUGAUGGAAUUCGUACAUCUUUGUUGACAGCUUCCGUAGCAUUGAAGGCUUCACUAGAGGUUUGCCUAGCUCAUAAGGCCAUCUCGGCUCAGGGGGCGGUGCAGUUGGCGUCUCGACUUGCCCUAUGCAUUCAUCAAGUCCCAGACCUGUUUCUUCCAUGAAUUUCAAUAUAUUUGCUUGUUGAUCCAAGGGCAUUGCUUUUACCCGUUGAGCAUCUUUUUUCGAUAAAUGGCUGAGGUCGGGGACUGGACCUUUGGAGGAUGAUUUUCCUUUUCUUUUAUCCUUUUCAUCAGCCUUUACUAGAGCCCGUUCAUAGUUUGACAAGAGUGGUAUCCUUUUCUUGGCUCCUUCCUCCAUCCUGAUAAAAAAGUUUAAAUCCCGCCGACUUACUGGCGGUGGCUCCAUCUCCCUUGCCUUUUUUAAUUCGGCUUGUUUCUUGAACCACUCACUGGCCUCUCGUUGGAUUUCUGCCCACUGUUCCGCAUGAGACAUUGCCUCAAAGCGUUCCUUGCGAGCCACUUCAGGGUCGACCUUUGUUUUCUUCUUUCGAGGCUGUCUUUGCUUGGGAGGCGGUGCUCGUGACUUCUUGAGUGGUGCUGCAGGUUCCUUCGAGGGGGCCGCUCUUGGUGCCGGCGACGGUGAUCGGGGAGGGGUGUUGUUAUUGUCGUCGUCGCUCCCAGCACCAGGAUGUGGUGGAGAUGGAGACCUUGAUAUAGAUGGAAGCGACGGUCCUGGAGCAGGAGAUGCCGGUCUCGAGGUAUGAGGAGAAGGUCGCUGCUCGGGAUCUACGGGGAGCGGUCUUGAGGUCUGAGGAGAUGGCUCCGUGCGGGAAAUAAUGAUGUAGCGUUUCUUCCAUAGAAUGAUCCCAUGAAGCGCAUCUGCCAAUGUCUUUUCCCCGUCGCCUCCCGGGAAGUCGAGCUCUAGACCUUCAUACUGGGCAUCUACUAUUUGCUCGACGCAGACGCUGGCGUAGCCUGUUGGAAUGUCCAUGCCAUGACUGCUCUGCCCUGCCAGCGUUGGUAACGCACUCCCGUACGCUACCUGUACAUAUAGCAGAAGUAAACAAGUUGAACUCCGAUCUCGAGGCCUGGAUCAAUUGACAAGAUUGCAUAAAUAUUAUGUAUAAGUAUACCUUAAUAGUGAGGUUGCCGACCGGUGCAUGCAGCUCACAUGAGGUCCGUUGCGUGAUGGCAUCCACGGGGAACCGUUGCUCCUCCACGGGUAACCUGGGCGUCUGCGCAUCGGGGACCCCUGUAGAAGCACAACUGCUCCCGAGGCGUUGAGAAGGGCUGGCGGUGUGAGGAUUCGGCAUUGCUCCAGAUUGCGCCAACUCCGCAACUGCAUCGGCCACCCGCCGAUUGAUUUCAUCCAUCAUUCGUUGUUCUAGCAUCUGCCGCCAGCUCUCCUCCAUCUGUUCCUUUCUUCGCUUCCGGCUGUCGCCUCGGAAAGCGAACUUCCACGGAACCACCCCGAACCCCCGGCAACGUCCUGGGUGCUCUGGAUUACCGAGGGCCAAUGUGAGCUCAUCAUUUUCUCGGUCCACCCUCAACCUCCCAGCCUUGGAAUCUUCAAUGUUCUUCAUGAGAUGUUCGGCCUUCUCACGUAUUCUGUCAUUGAAAAUCAGCGUCCCAUCCUCUUGGCUUAGGGAGCCUCCAUGAGCGUAGUACCAGUUCUUUGAUCGUUCGGGCCAUUCAAUAGUUGCAGGUAUGAUUCCCCGUUCGAUCAGAUCUUGUUCCAUCUUUCUCCACUUGGGAAUUGCUGAGCCAUACCCACCUCGCCCCAAAUGAUGGUGGUAGCCCUUCUGACUAGCAUUUGCAACGUUGGUCGUGAUCUUUUUCACACCUUCUUCACUCCUCUUGUAUUCAACAAAUGCAUCCCAGUGGUCCCUCAACUUGGGCCACGCGUUGAAGUCUGGAGUUUUGCCCUUCUUGAUGUAGUGGGUGUCCAGCAUCUUCUUGAAUGUCUGGAAUUGAGUAGCCAUCUUCUUAAGUGUCCACGCUUUGACAUCCUUCUCGCUAUAUCCUUCGGGGAAUGUGAAAUGUCUCUUCACGUCUUCCCACAGCAUAUUCUUUUCUGUCUCUGGAAGGGCGUACGGAUUAUCGCUUCUGCCCUUCCAUUCUCUGAUGCUGAUAGGCACGUUGUCCCGGACGAUUGCCCCGAUUUGACUAACGUACUUCUUUGCGACUUUCUCGGGAGCAACCGGCCUGCCCUCAUCUGUAAAUUCGGUGAUGACAAGCCUCCCUUCCAUCACCUUUGUACGACCUCGGGUCUUCUGCCCUUGUGUCGAUCCGGAGGGCUAACAGUUCAAGAUUCGUUAAUUAGUACGUAGUAGUAGCGGUGGCGUGAAACAAUACAAGAAUGGUUGUAUAUACCUCGCCGGAACCUUCCGCCACGGCAAGUUGUUGCUGCGGCUGUUGCUCUUCAUUCCCAUCGGCAGACAUGUUGAGGAACAUGUCCGCCUGGGUGCCCUCUUCAUCCGUGUAUGAUAGUGGAACGUUGUCGCCACUACCAUCACCAGCGAUUAUCUGCUCCAUGAUAUACCUUGCGGUCUCAUCGUCUGCCAUUUCAACUAUUGCUGGAAACAUACAUGGAAUCAUACAUGACAGUCAUAGAAAUCGUCUUAAUACAAAUUUGUAUAUAAUGACAGUCCGGAAUCAUACAUGUAUAUAAUGAAAUCAUAAAAUAACAUGAAUCGUACAAAGUCCGGAAUCUUUAUACAAAUUUCUAUGAAUUUAUACAAAUUUCUAUGAAUUUCUAUGAAUUUCUACAAAUUUCUACAAAUUUCUAUGAUUUUCUAUGAAUUUCUAUGAAUUUCUACAAAUUUCUAUGAAUUUCUAUGAAUUCUAUGAAGGNNNNNNNNNNNNNNNNNNNNNNNNNNNNNNNNNNNNNNNNNNNNNNNNNNNNNNNNNNNNNNNNNNNNNNNNNNNNNNNNNNNNNNNNNNNNNNNNNNNNNNNNNNNNNNNNNNNNNNNNNNNNNNNNNNNNNNNNNNNNNNNNNNNNNNNNNNNNNNNNNNNNNNNNNNNNNNNNNNNNNNNNNNNNNNNNNNNNNNNNNNNNNNNNNNNNNNNNNNNNNNNNNNNNNNNNNNNNNNNNNNNNNNNNNNNNNNNNNNNNNNNNNNNNNNNNNNNNNNNNNNNNNNNNNNNNNNNNNNNNNNNNNNNNNNNNNNNNNNNNNNNNNNNNNNNNNNNNNNNNNNNNNNNNNNNNNNNNNNNNNNNNNNNNNNNNNNNNNNNNNNNNNNNNNNNNNNNNNNNNNNNNNNNNNNNNNNNNNNNNNNNNNNNNNNNNNNNNNNNNNNNNNNNNNNNNNNNNNNNNNNNNNNNNNNNNNNNNNNNNNNNNNNNNNNNNNNNNNNNNNNNNNNNNNNNNNNNNNNNNNNNNNNNNNNNNNNNNNNNNNNNNNNNNNNNNNNNNNNNNNNNNNNNNNNNNNNNNNNNNNNNNNNNNNNNNNNNNNNNNNNNNNNNNNNNNNNNNNNNNNNNNNNNNNNNNNNNNNNNNNNNNNNNNNNNNNNNNNNNNNNNNNNNNNNNNNNNNNNNNNNNNNNNNNNNNNNNNNNNNNNNNNNNNNNNNNNNNNNNNNNNNNNNNNNNNNNNNNNNNNNNNNNNNNNNNNNNNNNNNNNNNNNNNNNNNNNNNNNNNNNNNNNNNNNNNNNNNNNNNNNNNNNNNNNNNNNNNNNNNNNNNNNNNNNNNNNNNNNNNNNNNNNNNNNNNNNNNNNNNNNNNNNNNNNNNNNNNNNNNNNNNNNNNNNNNNNNNNNNNNNNNNNNNNNNNNNNNNNNNNNNNNNNNNNNNNNNNNNNNNNNNNNNNNNNNNNNNNNNNNNNNNNNNNNNNNNNNNNNNNNNNNNNNNNNNNNNNNNNNNNNNNNNNNNNNNNNNNNNNNNNNNNNNNNNNNNNNNNNNNNNNNNNNNNNNNNNNNNNNNNNNNNNNNNNNNNNNNNNNNNNNNNNNNNNNNNNNNNNNNNNNNNNNNNNNNNNNNNNNNNNNNNNNNNNNNNNNNNNNNNNNNNNNNNNNNNNNNNNNNNNNNNNNNNNNNNNNNNNNNNNNNNNNNNNNNNNNNNNNNNNNNNNNNNNNNNNNNNNNNNNNNNNNNNNNNNNNNNNNNNNNNNNNNNNNNNNNNNNNNNNNNNNNNNNNNNNNNNNNNNNNNNNNNNNNNNNNNNNNNNNNNNNNNNNNNNNNNNNNNNNNNNNNNNNNNNNNNNNNNNNNNNNNNNNNNNNNNNNNNNNNNNNNNNNNNNNNNNNNNNNNNNNNNNNNNNNNNNNNNNNNNNNNNNNNNNNNNNNNNNNNNNNNNNNNNNNNNNNNNNNNNNNNNNNNNNNNNNNNNNNNNNNNNNNNNNNNNNNNNNNNNNNNNNNNNNNNNNNNNNNNNNNNNNNNNNNNNNNNNNNNNNNNNNNNNNNNNNNNNNNNNNNNNNNNNNNNNNNNNNNNNNNNNNNNNNNNNNNNNNNNNNNNNNNNNNNNNNNNNNNNNNNNNNNNNNNNNNNNNNNNNNNNNNNNNNNNNNNNNNNNNNNNNNNNNNNNNNNNNNNNNNNNNNNNNNNNNNNNNNNNNNNNNNNNNNNNNNNNNNNNNNNNNNNNNNNNNNNNNNNNNNNNNNNNNNNNNNNNNNNNNNNNNNNNNNNNNNNNNNNNNNNNNNNNNNNNNNNNNNNNNNNNNNNNNNNNNNNNNNNNNNNNNNNNNNNNNNNNNNNNNNNNNNNNNNNNNNNNNNNNNNNNNNNNNNNNNNNNNNNNNNNNNNNNNNNNNNNNNNNNNNNNNNNNNNNNNNNNNNNNNNNNNNNNNNNNNNNNNNNNNNNNNNNNNNNNNNNNNNNNNNNNNNNNNNNNNNNNNNNNNNNNNNNNNNNNNNNNNNNNNNNNNNNNNNNNNNNNNNNNNNNNNNNNNNNNNNNNNNNNNNNNNNNNNNNNNNNNNNNNNNNNNNNNNNNNNNNNNNNNNNNNNNNNNNNNNNNNNNNNNNNNNNNNNNNNNNNNNNNNNNNNNNNNNNNNNNNNNNNNNNNNNNNNNNNNNNNNNNNNNNNNNNNNNNNNNNNNNNNNNNNNNNNNNNNNNNNNNNNNNNNNNNNNNNNNNNNNNNNNNNNNNNNNNNNNNNNNNNNNNNNNNNNNNNNNNNNNNNNNNNNNNNNNNNNNNNNNNNNNNNNNNNNNNNNNNNNNNNNNNNNNNNNNNNNNNNNNNNNNNNNNNNNNNNNNNNNNNNNNNNNNNNNNNNNNNNNNNNNNNNNNNNNNNNNNNNNNNNNNNNNNNNNNNNNNNNNNNNNNNNNNNNNNNNNNNNNNNNNNNNNNNNNNNNNNNNNNNNNNNNNNNNNNNNNNNNNNNNNNNNNNNNNNNNNNNNNNNNNNNNNNNNNNNNNNNNNNNNNNNNNNNNNNNNNNNNNNNNNNNNNNNNNNNNNNNNNNNNNNNNNNNNNNNNNNNNNNNNNNNNNNNNNNNNNNNNNNNNNNNNNNNNNNNNNNNNNNNNNNNNNNNNNNNNNNNNNNNNNNNNNNNNNNNNNUGCCCCUCAACAUCACCAGGAUCAUCUCGCCUGAUCUUAUACCGCAAGGCUUCCCAGACGGGACAAGCAUCCAAUUCCUCGUAUUCAUCACCACGAUAGAGGAUACAGUCAUUAGGGCAUGCAUGUAUCUUCUGAACAUCCAAUCCGAGAGGGCAAAUAAUCUGUUUAGCUUCAUAUGUUGUGGACGGUAAUUCAUUAUUCUCGGGGAGAAUCUUCUUGACAAUGUUCAACAUCCCCUGAAAUGCCUUAUCGGACACACCAUUUUUUGCCUUCCAUUGCACAAAUUCUAGUGUCGUACCUAGUUUUUUAUGGCCCUGCUGGCAACCUGGGUACAAUAAUUUUUGGUGAUCAUCUAUCAUGCGCUGCAACUUUGCUGCUUCGUUCUCAGUUUCGCAAUCUCUAUGUGCAUCUCGUAUCACCUGACCAAGGUCAUCAGUAGGGUCAUUUUCUGCAAACUCAUCUUCAUCAGCCUCGCCCAUUGUAGUACCUGCAAAAGCUUGGCCUGCAACCCAGUCCGGAAUGGUGUCAUCUUCCUCCUCCUCCUCGCCAUCUUCCAUUACAACCCCUAGUUCACCGUGCUUGGUCCAAACCAAAUAGUUAGGCAUGAAACCGUAUUUAAACAAGUGGCUGUGAAUAGUCCCCCAGGAAUCCUUUGAAUACUCCUUCCUGUUAUUGCAUUGGAAGCAUGGACAACAUACGAACCCAUUCUCUGGCUUGUUCGCUUUUGCCACUUCGAGAAAAUAAUGCAAGCCAUCAAUAAACACCUUGCUCCGCCUGUCUGCAUUAUACAUCCAUUGCCGGUCCAUCUGCAUCGUAUUACGCAUGAAAAUGGAUUACACUUGACAAUGGAUUACGCGUGAAAAUCAAUUAAAGAUCCAAACAACAUGUUACAAUACAACAACAUGAAGAUCCAAAUACACAUAUUUAAAUUAAAGUCCCAAACAACAUUAUACAAUACAACAAGCCAUCCACUGGUUAUUAUCAAGGAGAGGACUUUAAGCAUCCUUGGACGGUGAAGAUGAAGGUUCCGCUGACCCAACCUCAUCCUUAGGUUUAUUUGUGCCGCCUGAAACGGUAGUACUAAGUGGACGUGAAACACCCGUGAUCAUCUCGCGAGGAUGUCCUCAACUGGGCGGCACCGCACUUCGUCAUUAAAGAGGUUAGAUGCUACGGAAAAGGGGACACGGUCACGAUGUCCGUAUCCACUCUUUCUCGUAGAAUCGAACCUCCUUCUUGACAUACGUUGCUGCUCGGCGGAGAACAUCCUCAGCGAGAUGAACACGGUAUGCAAGUUCAACAAGUAGCAGAAGUCAUCUAUGUACAAAAAUUCUUUCCUUACCACUACAGAAGUUGUUGAACUUGAAGACCGUGUUCAUUUCGCGAGGAUGUCCUCAGCUGGGCGGCACCGCACUUCGUCAUGAAAGAGGUUAGAUGCUACAGAAAAGGGGACACGGUCACGAUGUCCGUAUCCACUCUUUCUCGUAGAAUCGAACCUCCCUUCUUGACAUACGUUGCUGCUCGGCGGAGAACAUCUUAGCAGAAUGAACACGGUAUGCAAGUUCAACAAGUAUAUGGAUUUAAAAAACCAUAUUGAAUUUGAUAAGAUAAACCAUCUAGACAAGGUAGCAUCAUUUUUAAACCACUGAAAUAAUGCAUACUAUAUAUGACACAUCAAUCUCCCUCACAUUCCAGCUCAAAAUACCUCUCCAUUUUUCUACUUCAUCAUCACAUUGUAGCAAAUAAUCUUUCCAUCUCCAAAGCAUAAAUCAAAGCAUAACACGAGGAUGAAGUAGCAAACCUUCGCAACACUUGUGUUGGCUGAGUCAAAUUCCCACGAAAAUGAGGGGAAAAACUUCGGGCAGCACCUCCCUUGCUUUGGCACCACCGGAGGGUAGGUGAAGCUCAGCUCUCUAUCAAUGUGCUGGACUGGCUCGGGCUGGAGGAAGAAGAAAGUCUCUGUCUCGGGAUAUAGUGGGGGAUGAGUUUUUAUCCCGGUUAAAAACUCCAACCGAGACAAAAGGAAACACCUUUUGUCCCGGUUGGAAGUUAGUCCCGGUUGGAGGAUCCAACCGGGAUAAAAGGGACACCCUUUUAUCCCGGUUGGAACAACCAACCGGGACUAACCCUUUUAUCCCGGUUGGUGCCUCCAACCGGGAUAAAAGGGUCCCGCCACCGACGGCCCCCCGCUAGCCGUUGCAACCGGGACUAAAGGGGGGCCUUUAGUCCCGGUUGCAAUUACCAACUGGGACUAAUGCUCCCCUCCAAAUUCCCGCACCCCGGCGCACCCCCUUUUGUCCCGGGCCACUUUUAAACCGGGAUAAAAGGGGGCGGAUCGAAAGUCAGUUCUCUACUAGUGAUAUGUUGUGCAACGAUCCAUUUCCAGUGUUUGCAAGUCCACGAGAUUCCCAAUUGCUCAAAAUACUGCCCUAGGGAGGUUACAAUCAACCAUUUCCAAGCUUCUCAAGUUCUUGAAGUUGCUAACCAAGGUAGGCUUUAUCUCAGAGAAGUUACAUCCAUAGAGUGCCAAAUUCAAACUCAUUAGGUUCUUUUGCUGUCCUAUCCAUGAGAUAAUUGAUCCUAACUCAUUGAGUCCAGCGUGAGGUCCAACUGGCACAGGGACCUAAGUCUAGCAAAUGAAGAGAGAAAAUCCACCGAUAAAUUCCCUCCGAGACUCAAAUGCUUCAAGGACGUGAAAUUAUUAGAAGGCAUUGAUCUGGCAUAAGAAAAGUUGGUCCAGUCUAGCCUCAAAGUCUCUAAGCCCUUGUUUACUUGGCCAAAUUGGGAGGUGCCAAAUUACUGUAGCAACACUGUAGCGUUUCGUUUGUAUUUGUGAAUUAUUGUCCAAACAUUGACUAAUUAGGCUCAAAAGAUUCGUCUCGCAAAGUACAACAAAACUGUGCAAUUAGUUUUUGAUUUCGUCUACAUUUAGUACUUCAUGCAUGUACCGCAAGUUUGAUGUGAUGGGGAAUCUUCUUUUUGCAUAGUGUUAAAGUUGGGAGUUUGGAGGGAAGUAAACAAGGGGUAAAGAAUUUGUAUAAGAAAAGUUUGGCAAAUGCCCUGAGAGGUCCGGAUUAUUGGACAAAUCGACAACUCUUAAUUUUUUUGAUUGGAAGGGUUUGAUGGGGAACUGCCCCUCAAGAUAAAUACUAGAAAGUUAAAGCACAAUUAAAUUGAUAAAAUCCAUGAAGAUUUCUGAAAAUGGACCGGCAGUUAUAUCACCAUUUCCUUGGCGGUUGAUCACAAUGAGAGAACGGAGCCGCGAGAGAGACUCAUGAAUAGGACCACUCAGGCUGCAAGUGGCCAAGCUGAGUAUCUGACGUUGAGGAACAUGUGUAGCAAGAGAUGUGCACCACUCUUCUCCACUGGUAGACAAAUCCACACUGUCAAGAUAGAGCUCUCUUUUUUUUUGAGGGUAACAGGAGGGGUAAGCCCCUACUGUAUUUUAUUAGCACAAAAGCAAAGUUUAGGGGAGAAAAAAGAGGUACAUGACAGACAGGAAGAAGGAGGAGAGAAGAAACAUUACACCGAAUCUAGCCAUUCUAAAGUAGCUGUCCUCAAGUCUGAUCGCAUUCUGUGAGUGGCAGCCAAAGCUAGCUCGUCUUUGAAUUUUGUGAUGGUCCUGUGCACUGUUGGGUCUGAGUUGUUGAAGGUCCAGUCAUUUCAAAUCGACCAGAUAGCCCAAGUCAUUAGAAUUAUGACUUCCAUGAAAAAAGGCACGUUGAGCUUCCUUCUGAUGGAGUUAAAGAUAUGCACCGGUUGUCUAGCUGUACUAACAACCACUCCUAUCGAAGCCCAGCAAGCUUUCGCAAAGUUACACCUUAGGAAGAGGUGACUUCUAGUUUCUCUUUUUUGUAAAAUGCUGAGAUCACAAGUGAAGGAAUCCAGUGCCAUUGUUUUUCUUCCCAGGAUAUCUUUGGUGCUCAGUCUGUCCAUGGUCAGAAGCCAAAAGAAGACUUUAUGCUUCACUUGGCACUUUGAUUUCCAGAUCCAUUUGAAGAUGGGGUGAAUAUUUCGUGUUCCUGUCAGAGCUUUGUAUGCUUUGCUUACCAGGAACUUGGAACUCCCCCAGAUGUAAUUCCAUUGAUCCUUAUCCUGACUGCUAUUAACAUUGUUCAUUCGAUCUGGUAGAGCCAUAAGCUGCUGCUGUGCUAUUUCCGAUAGUGGCAAGUGGAAAAUUUGUACUAAUCCCUCUGAACCCUGUGCCUCUUUGAACGUGAUUUUUCCAUUUUUUGCGAAUGAGAGGAGUUGGGGGAAGUCUAUUGCUGGGACCUGUCCAUUCCAUGUGUCCUCCCAGAGAAGCGCUGUGGAGCCAUCCGACACCGUUGCCGAUGCCAAGCCUUUGAAUUUUUGUAACAGCUUAACUAUAUCCUUCCACCAAAACGAGCCCUUCCUUUGUUGCCCCGACAACUUACCAUUUCUGUAAUAAUUAUCCCAGACCAGAUGGACCCAAGGGAUGUCCUCUCUGUUGAAGAAUUUGUGCAGAAACUUCAUGAGGAGUGCUUCCUUCUGGGUGUUUAGAUUGAUGAUUCCCAAUCCUCCUUGUUGCUUGGGUACAUAUACCAGUGGCUAGGCUGCCUUGGCUAGUGUUUUGGAGUUUAUAUCCUGCCCACGCUAAAGGCAGUGUUUCCUAUAUUUGUCCAACUGCCUGAUUACACCUUUAUGUAGCUUUAGAGUGGCCAUGUGGUAAACUGGCGAUGAUGAAAGGACCGAAUUUACUAAUUCAAGUUUACCACCCUGCGACAACAUGCUAGAAUUCCUCCAAGUCUUCUUUCGACCCUUGUGAUGAGAGGCAAAAAGUCUUCCAUGUUUGGUUUCGUAGUGGCCAGGGGCAGUCCCAGAUACGUGAACGGGAGGCUACCCUCUUGACAGUCAAAGACAGAAGAUAAUGCAUGUAGUCUUUCUUCCGAGAUAUUUAGCGCUACCAUGACAGUCUUAUUGUAAUUCACCUUUAACCCCGUGGAGUCUGCAAAUUGGUUAAGAAGAUUCUUAAGAUGUAUCAACUGAUGGGGUUCGGCUUCCACCACCAGGAGGGUGUCAUCAGCAUAUUGGACAAUCGGGAAGUCAUCUCCUGCUCUUUCAGGGAUUGGUAGCUUCAGUCUGCCCUGAUUCUUAGCUUGGUUCAACAGAGACUAUAAAAGAUUAGCAGCUAAAACAAAAAGGAGUGGCGAGAGGGGAUCUCCUUGUCUAACCCCUCUUCUGCAGUGAAAAACUUUACCAAGGACGCCAUUGAGCAAUACUGAGGAUGUUCCUAAGCUCAGGAUAUCUUCGAUCCAUCCAAUCCAUCUUUCCCCAAAACCUUUAUGUUUCAAUAUUCCAAGAAUUACUUUGUGCUCAAUUUUGUCAAAUGCUUUUUCAAAGUCUAUCUUGAUCACAACCAGUUCUUUUUUGGAAGAUUUACAGAUGUGGAGAUACUUGAAAGCCUAAGCCAAGCAGUCUUGGAUUGUUCUAGACUUUAUGAAGCCAUACUGAUUUUUAUGAAUGAGUCUGAGAAUUACUUACUAAAGCCUUUGAGCUAGAAUCUUGGUGAUCAACUUGAUUGUGGAAUUUAAUAGUGAAGUUAGCCUGAAGUCAGCUACUUCGAGAGGACAAACCUUCUUGGGGAUUAAUGUGAUGUAUGAUGCGUUUAUACUCUGAACACAUACCUGCCUCUCAUAGAACCCUUCGCAGAGCUUGUAAAAGUCGUCUGAGAUCAGGUGCCAACAUUUUGCAAUGAACUCCCCAUUGAACCCAUCCGGGCCUGGUGAUUUGUUUUUGGGCAAGUCACUAAUGAUGUUGUCAAUUUCGUCCUUCGUGAAUGGUCUCUCAAGCCAUUCCAAAUCUGGAUCCUGGGUCAGAAUGGUUGAUAAGUCAAAGUACAUGUGCCUGAACUCUAUCUUUCCCAUUCUUUCUCUAAAGGCUUCCCAGCAAAUUCUAGCUUUGUCUUCAUGCUUCAUUGCCAUAGAUCCAUUACUCUCUUUUAGAGUGGUUAUGAAGUUGCCCCUAUUUCAAACUGAGGCAUGAGCAUGGAAGAAGGCCGUACAUUCAUCUCCCAUUUUUACCCAAUUAAUGGAGCUUCUUUGCUGCCAAUAGGUUUUCUACUGUGAGAGGAGAUUUUGUAGAUGUUCCCGAAUGAGCUUUCUGAAAUUCCAUUCUGCUAGAGUGAGGUCCCUAAAUUCUUCCAUGGUAUCCAUCAGCUGAAUGAUAUCCUUAGAGUUUUGAAUUACCUUAGCCAGAUUGGGAAGUUGUGACUUCCAUACCUUAAAGGUCUUCCUUAGGUUCUUGAAUUUGGCUCCAAUGGCCUUCGCCUUGUCUGAGCCUGAAUAUUGGCUGUUCCAACCCUGAGCAAGUGUGUUUGCAAACUGCUCGUGUUGAAGCCAGUAGUUUUCAAACCUAAAAACUUGUGGCCUGGGCAUAGAGGUUGAAAUGGAGAUUACGCAUGGAGUGUGGUCUGAAGAGUCUCUGGAGAGUGAAGUCGCCCAAGUGUUUGGGAAGAUGGAUGUCCAGUGAGAGGACAUAAAGAACCAAUCUAGUCUUUCCAGGAGAGGGUUCUGUUGCAUGUUUGUCCAAGUGUACUUGCAACCUUUGAGCUGGAUCUCAGUUAAACGCAGUCGACUAAUGGCCUCGUUGAACAAUAACAUUUCUUGGAUGUUACCUCCUGGCUUGUUUCUAUCUUGUGGUUUCCUAAUAAGGUUAAAGUCCCUCACAAUUAGCCAUCUCUCCUCAGCAUCCAUCUCCACAUGCUUGAACCAAUCUAUGAACUCCAAUGUCCCUUGAGGAGUGCAUGCAGCAUAUACAUUUGUGAGGACCCAUUGUUCUCCUGAUAUUUUGCACUGAAAUUCCAACGUUUGGGCAAAAUUGUUUUGGAAUACCGGUUCACCCUUAAAUUUGGAUCCAUUCCACAAAAUUAUGGCACCUCCAGAGUUCCCGACUGCUAGAAUAUAGUCGAACGAAUCUAUUUGUUGAGGGCAAAAAUUCUUUAAGUAUCUUACAUCGAAGAGAACCCUUUUGGUUUCCUGGAGGCACACUAUAUCACUGUUUGACUCUUGAAUUUUGCUUCGAACUGCAUUCCAUCAUUUCUACGAAUUGAUCCCCCUUACAUUCCACGAAAGAAUAUUCCAAUGUCUUUUUAGGGCCAUUAAUUAAACCAGAAAUGAGGGUAGCUCUUGCUAUUGACAUAAUCAACAGCAGUUCCAUGACGUGCAAAGAAAGAAGACUAGAAAUCCAGAAGCGAAUAAAAAAUGAACCAUUCGCACCUAACCAUAAGAUUAGUCCCAACAGAUUGUUCCAUCAAAAGCCAACAUAAAAGUGCCACACCAUAGUUUGUGUUUUCAAAAGCCAUAGAUAACCACCAGAACCUAAAACCAUUGAACAUUAAACCAAAUAAGUAAGAGGAGCAAUCAUCCAGGUCUUCAUCGCUUCUUGGGCUUCUUAACCACUUCACUAGGGCCUUCAAUGUAGUCCUUGUUCUUCUUCAUCUUGCCUAGACUUGUGCUGGGCAUGGUAUCCUUCCCCUUCUUAUCUCCUAUAGCCUUGGAGGAAGAUCCUCGGGAGUUGAGAGCAUCAUCCGUAAGCAGGUGCUGUCCUGCGUUACAGAAUUGUCCACCAAUUUCCUGCAGUUUGGUGGGAGAGAUUGAGGGGGGUGUGACUGAACAAGCUAGACAGUUCUUGUCUUGGCAUCCUUCCUGACAAAAUCCUCCAUUCCUUUCCUUGAGUCCGCUGCUUCUCCUAACACUUGACUCUACUUCUGGUACAACUCUUGCACCAAUUCUUGCCUUGGCCUUCUUGGGUGCUCUUUCAUCUUCAGAGAUCUGUCCUGCCUCCUGGAGUAAGGGGGAACUUCCAAGUUCUUCAGAGUCUCCAAGGCAGGGAAGAGAGCUGUUUCUGGGGCAAGAAGUUGGUAUAGCAAAAGACAUAGAUGUAGACAGGUCUGUGCAGCUUAUCAUUAGGUCCCAGGCCCUAGAAGCUAGAAAUUUCUUGGCCCAACUGAAGUGUUGUGAAGAUAGUAGCAUAACAAUAAAGAAAGCAGCCUAGUCUGAAGGGAUGUGUACUACCUGCUCUGGGCAGCCCACAGGGGAGAAGUGAUGAGCCCACAACCUAUAUAUAUUGGGGUUCUGGCUUGGUUGGAUCUCCUCUUCCUCAGUGACUCCAGCAAGCAUUGGCCCCUUUCCUUUAGGUCACCCAGCCAGUUAUGCAUGUCCAGCACAUUGCCUAAUUCUAGAGUGAGAACCAUGUUGACAUCAAUGUUAGCAUGCAAAGGCAUCUCUGGUGCCUGGGGCUGAUUGGGUUGCUGCUCCUGUAAGGCUGGUAAUCCUAACACCACUUGCUGGGGUAUCUGUUCCUGUUCAAUAUUGGGGAUCCCUCCAUCAUCCAUCUAUUGGGGGAAUCCUGCAAAUGCCUCAUGUGCAAUAGCCUGAGGUGCUCCCUGAUUGUAAACUACCAUAGGCAUAAGAGGGCCACCUGAGUUAGACGAAGCCUCAGAAGGUAGGGGUGGUGACAGAUUGAGGUGUAGGUCAGUUCAACCUGCUGUUCCUGGUGCUCCUCCUCCUCAUACUCAGUACAUACGAACCCUUGAAUAAAUAAGAUCAAUUCCAACGAGCCUUUCAAACUAGUACUUUUUGUAAUCGACUCUAUAGCUUCUUCAAUAAACGCUGGUUCUUCGAUCAAGUUUUGAAUGACUUUCUAGUCAGAAACAGAAGAAAAGGAAGUAGGAGAAGUGAACGGAAGCAGGGGAAGGCGAAAAGGGAAGGGAGGCAGUUGGAGAAAAGGGAUUUUCAUUUUUGCUUUUAUAGUCUUUACUGCUUAAUAAGAGAGUAAGCUAUGUCUCCACUCCUUUUCUUGGGACUGGCUAGGAAAGCACAAGAUGCCCUAGCCCAAAAUCAAACAUGGGUUCUAGCUCCAGAGAACAAACCUAAUCAAGAAAGGAAUUCAGAAAAUACCAAUCCAACUUCCUCCUAAAAUCACUUCUAACAGGCGAGCGUGACUUGUGCGCUUUUUCGUUAAAUCGAGCAAAUGGACUUUUCGGGAGAUCUCCUCCAAAUCACCGGUAUGACUAUCGAAAUCACCAUUAUUGAAAUUGGAGCUUUUCAAUUCCAUUUUGGUUCAUUAAUGUCCAUAGAUUUAGACUCCUUCCCCCUUCCCUUAUACGCACAAUCCUAUCCUAUCUGAGCCCGUCAUUGCAUGCACUUCGGACAGCCGCCCGUAGCAUCAUAAAUUUCCAAUACUGAUCGUGAAACACCAUGAGCAGCAGGAUGUUGAGGUUCGGAAUUCGAAGUGAAAUUCUUGAUUUGCCCGUUCCUAGUCGUCAUGGGAAAGAAAUAAGAAAGAAAUAAGCCCCGAGUAAUCGACCCGUUUCCCAAGCAGAGUCUCGCGAAACCUCCCCUCUUUACCCUCAAUUACAUCUGAAAGUGAUUUGUAUACUUUAUUUUUCUUUCUUUUCUUUUGAUAAGAAAUUGCCACCUCCAUGUCUUUGGAGAAAAUGCAUCAAGCUUACUGCCUUCAUUGCCAUGACAAGGUCUUUGAUGUCUUCCCUCAAGCAGGCAGUGAGAAAAUAGUGCUAAGGUAAGUCAGGAGUACGAGGAAUUCUGCUCGAUCUUCUCCUGGUUCAGAAUUGGGAGACAGGAGAUUCAUAUGAGAAAACAUAAGUAAACGGGCUUUCAUCAUCAUCUAUACCAGCAGCCACGCACGAUCCCAUAGGAACGAUUUUAUCGCCCUAAGAAGGAAGGCGGCGCAAAGGAGGCUCGAGGGCUUGUUAAGGAAGGCGGCUAGGGCUGCUGAAGGAGGGAAAACAAAAGGCGUUUUCUGGUCUCCCCUUCGCCUGGGGGUGCUUGUGGGGGGGUGAAAGCAAUUAGUUUAGAAGGAAGAGGAAGACCUGGGGGGCUUACGUCCUCAUUUCACUCUUUUUGCUCCUGCGAGUUGUUGUAGUGCGGAUGAAAAGAAGUCCCUGUGAGCGGCCUUGGAUCGAUAUGGUUCAUUCCUGGGCUAUGCUCUUUCAACCUAGAUAGCGAAAAAAAAGCUUUUCUUAUUUGAAAUUCCACUGAACCUUGACGUAAGAUAUGCUGUCCCUACCUACUGAGGAAUAAAAAGUGUACGUAGAAAAAGAGAGGAAAUGCAUCGAGGAGAACUUACCUUGUGAGUCACUACUCCAUUCAAGCAUGAGUUCGUUCAAAGUCGGCAAGGGGAAUCAGAGAAAGGGUUCCUUGCCUCUGACUAGCGACUCUACACUCACAAGGGAGAACAAAGAUCAAUCUUCUUAUUAGAAAAAUGAUAGUUCUAGAUUCUUUGACCGGCUUUGGUCGAGCAACCCGAUACAUUUCUUUGGUUGGCCUAUCUAUAUUCCAAGUAGUAACCAGGAUGCAUUCAUUCGGCAGUAAGCCCGAGACAAGUGAACAAAGGCUGGCGUAAGCACUAACAGAAUUGGGUUUGGUAAUCGACCGGGUUGAACAAAAAAGGAAACGUUUCCUUUUUUGUUAGAAAACGAGCUCUUUCCUUUCCCUUCCUGACCAUGAAACAGGCAAAAUAGGAAUCAACAAGUGUUUCCACAACUCUACCGCCCCAUCUUUUACUUUUUGGAUGGUCGGCGGCGCCAUAAACUCGAUAACCAGCACCGCGGAUGUUGGCUCGAUCAUGUUUAUAUUGGCAGGAGGAAGUACAGCAUGAGUGGGUAGGGGAUUAGUAGUGUUGUUGGGUGAUACGUAUAACCGGGUACGACUUACAGGUAAGCAUUUAUUUUCAAAGAAGAAAAGACUGGAUCUUAGAACGAUGUUUGGUGUCCUCAGCCUGCUAACACCAGGCCGCAGGUCACUCUGCUUUGACUCAAUAAACCAGUAUUUCUCAGCAAAGAGAUUGCCUAGGGCGAAAGCAAAUAAUCAAGAGAAGAAUCAAAUAAGUGUUGAAAGCCUAAGCAAAAGAUAGAAUUCAGUCAGGUCAAAUGUAGGUGAGUGUUGCUGCCACUAACCUUUUUACCCGGGAAUCGGUGGAAUUCAAAUCCCUUCGGACCUUGCUCGACACAGUCCUUAGUAUGAUGCCAAUCUCUUAGGAUGGACCGAGUCUUCCUGGAACCGGGAUUGAUACCGGGUCAAAGACAAAGCUGGACGAUAGGAGCAAUACGGGGAGAAAGUAGCGUAAUCAUUGGAAUCACGGGAACGCACGACUCGCUCUUCUCUUCAGCAUUCCAUCCCUGGGGCAUUUAACCUUGUUUUUCCCUUGUGAGCCGCCUAUGUAAAUCCACGAUCUUUAGGCAAAUUUGAAUCAAUCAUCGCUCCAGUGCCUCGCCCUACUUCAAUAAGGGCUUAUGCACUCCACUCGUAAACGAGUGGUUGGCCAGGGGGCCAAUCAGUUGAUGGGACGUGGGCGGUUGCCAAUGGGUGUAUCUUUUGUUGUAAUUCCAUCUCAUUAUCUCCUCAUCAUUCAUGUUGUCCUCCACUUCCCCCUCAUCCUGUCCUUGCACUUCAACCUCUAGAUUAUCAUUGAGAUUAGGAAAAGCUGGGUUGUUGUGGGCUUGCUGGUCCAAGAGUUGCUGCUGAAUCCCAGGGAAGAUAAAAUUCUCAUCUAAUCCCCCUGGAGAAAUAUCCUCAUCCUGUAACUGUCCCCCCAGGAUAUUCUGCCGCAAAAUUUCACACUGGACAGUCCAAGAAAUUCCUUCAUAAUCAUCCCCCUUAGAGAGAAUAAGGUAAUGCGGAACGUCAACUAAGUCGGUGACUCUAGCCUUAAUAAUAAUCCUUGCCAGUACAUUGUCCUUCUGCCACAAAAUCAAUCGACCAAACAAUUUGAUAGCGUCUUCAAUUUUUGUUGUGGUGCGAUUAUCUGUAGGGUACCCAAUCAACAUGAGCCAACAUUCUCUAUUGAACCCCACCCUUCUAGCAUUGGGACCACGAUUGUGCUUGACAAAUGAGAAACUAAAACCCUAACUGGCAUGAGGACUAUGAUAAACCAGACCAUCUCUGUCAGAAGGACGGAACAGACGAACAUAAGCUUGCCCUCUACCAAAGGGGCACCGCUGGACCUCCUUCACCUCUAGCCCAAGAACUCCAAUUAGAAAGUCCAGAAAGAUAUUCCUGAGGUUGCCAAAGUGAAUCUCACCAGGGGGUAGGUUAGCCACCGUGAUGAUUGCAAGGUCUUCAUUCAGCGGUGUGGCACGCGGGAUGACAACCCGCGCAAAUUGCUGACGCCCUUCGACGAGGACACGAUGGAACCCCGUGAGCAUCAUCGGCUCAGGGUCCAUGUUCAGGAAUGCCAUUGUUUGGGGGUCAGUGGGCUGUUUGCUCCGGCAAUGGAGAGCACCCUCGGGGGAGGGGAGGCACUGUUGGGGUGACUGGUGCGCUAGAGGAGACGAAGGGUCGGGUGGGAUGACGGUUGCCUUUCUCUUGGGAAGUUGCGAAGAGCCCGAUGGAAGAGGAAAAGCUUCUGGGCCCUUGGGUGGAGUCCCGUUAUUAGAAACUGGGCCAGCCUUGAACCACGAACUGGUGCAGCCAGCCGGCCAAGCAUUGGGCGAGACGCCUGAAGAGAAAUUACAGCUAAAAGAGUUGCCACGGAGGUUAAUGAAAUCUAGGAGACUGUGGUAAAGACGAUAGUCUUUACGCAGAUGUCCCACUUGUUUACGGUGCUAGCACCUGACCAAAAUCGGACAAGAGGAUCUCAGGUAGUUGGGAGAUAAGCACCAGGAACAGACGUGGCCACGGUCAACCUUUGAUAUAGAGGUUUGCCACUAGGGCAUCAAAAUCGGGUCCCCACAGAGAGUUAGAAGUGACAACAUAGUAGGAGCUGUCGGAUGUGUCAUAAUCAUCAUCAUCAUCUUCAAAGGACUGGAAAGAUCCAACGACACAAGGUUCACGAGUUUACCGAUGCCAAUAGGUAUCUGGCCACACAAGCCCAAAUUGCAGAGGUUAAGGUGAGUUAGCGAAGCCAGCCUCUCGAUUCCAGUAGCAAGGAUGUUGUCUAACAGCAUAUCUUCAUCUUGUGCCCCACUGAAAUCAUUCAUGCUAAGGUCAAGGCGAUGAAGGGUUGUCAAGCUGAAGAUUGCAGGGUCCAAGCCAUUACUGGACAAGCCAUGAUUGUUGAGGUCAAGUAUGGUGACAUUACCGGAGGUGUCGUCGCAGCCAACACCUUCCCAGAGACAGCACUCAGUACCAUCUCGCCAUGAUGAAAGCCUUGUGGUCGAUUCAUGGAAGGAGAAUGACUUCUUCAGCUGGAACUAUCGGAUGUGUCAUAAUCAUCAUAUCAUCAUCAUCUUCAAAGGAUAUGGAAAGAUCCAACGACACAAGGUUCACGAGUUUACCGAUGCCAAUAGGUAUCUGGCCACACAAGCCCAAAUUGGAGAGGUUAAGGUGAGUUUGUUGGACAAAUAACGUGCUGGUCAAAAGACCAAGAGGAAAACGGGAAGGAUAUGAUUGACGCCUGACACAAACUCCCUAGCGCACGUCCACCCCGCGCCUCGGUCGAAGGCGCAACUGAACAAUUGAUUGCGGCCCCGAGCGACCCGGCCCUGAGUGACCCAGCUCUAUAAGAGAAGGGGGCCAGCGGGUUUGGAACACGCCAACGCACCAAACCCUACGCACACCCCCUACAUGCCUCUCGAUCACGGCGGUGCUGCAGUUGCUCGAAGGCUGUCACCACACCACCGUCGCCGUCUGUGGACAGACGAGGUGGAGACCUGAAGGGAGAUGUGAUCUACUCGGCACCUACGGCAUCCGUCAUCCAAGCCUCGUCCACAACCCUAAUGGCCGGAUCGUCACAAGCAGUGGCAGCUGGUUGUACUCUAACAUCUUCAUUGAGUGGUGUUCAUGUUCUAGAUGUGCAAAGAUCCUUUUUUAGUUAAGAUUAAGUAAUGUAGAUUCCUACAUUUGGUAUCAGUUAGUCAAUCGCAUCUAGACUUGGAUCCUAAGGCUGUGUAGAUUGAAUCUUAGUGUGCAAUUGAGUUGAAUUGUACUGGUUUUCUAUGUUCUUGAUAUACAUAGUAGCUUUCUAGUACGAAUUGCUAUGCUAUUUGGCUUAAUCUUCUUCGGCUACAUGUCAAUGUUCAAGUUUUAGUUCACUGACUUGAUCUGUUAAGUCAGAUUAGACCGUAUUAGUUCUCAAUUAGCCUAAUUCCAUGCCUAAGCUACUAGAUCAGUUCUUAAUUAAGUCUAAAAUCAAGGUUAAUUAAGUCAAUUAAGUUAGUCUCCAUGUUUAAGUUCAGCUAUUAAGGUCGAGGUCUACUGUUUUCCCCAAACCCCACUGUCUAGCUCCAAUCCGCACAAUUAAGUCCUCAAUCACUAAAAUUGCACACGCAAAAGUAUGUAGAAGGAGUGGAAUUGGGCCAAUUUUAAGGUGAAUUAAGGAAACCCCAAAGAAAAUCCCCAUCAUAAAUCCUAACCCUAACUCGAGGAUAAGAACUUACCUCGAAUCACGACGGCCACGCGUGGCAUGAUGGCCGCUGCGCAUGGAUGUCGGCGUGCACCUCCGCCAAGCCACACCAGCCAUAAGCGCGCACAUGAACAAGUCAUGGUGCAGGCCCGGAUGCACCUCGGUCUCCUCCCCGCGACCCAACCCACGGCAUCAAAUCCUCCAUGCACGAACCUGUCUUGCGGCCGACGUGCCUUCUGCUCAGUCACCCCCUGCCGUGGAAAAGUGCUCCAGUGGAGCCCCCCGAUGGUGCGCCGCGCAACUUGGUCGCACGCGCGUGUUGGCGAGAGGGCCCACAGAGGCAUGGGCGCAAGGUGGCACCGCGGCUCAUCAGCGAUGGCUGCUCGGGGUUGGGGCAGAAGCAUGCAGAGAAGAGGGGAGGGUUGCGGCGGAGACAGGCAAAAAUGGCCUAGGGUUUGGGAGAGGCGCAGCGCUCGUGGGUUUUGUCCCACCGAAACUCGCGCUCUGCCGUCAGAUGCAACGGAUGGCUCAGAAGAGGGCGGACGAGCACAGCGCGCUGUUGGGCCAGAUUGGCAGCCCAGCCAUUGGUGCUGGGCUUAGAGUCUAGGCCAGCGGGGGGAACCCGGCAUGGGUCGUUAGCUGGGCUCACUCGGACCGUGAGAAGGCGCAGGCGCACCUAAGCUCUGUGUGGCACGCGCUCUUUAGGGCCAUGAGGAAGGUAGGUCGUGCGCCAUCGUUCUUGCACGAUUUGGCUGCCUGCGAGUAGAGCUUCCAAAGGACGUUAGCUGGGCACGAACUGGUUGUUUUGCGCUAGGCCGGUUUCGGCCGCUAGCGGGCUGCUGCUGUUUUGGCUCGCACGGGCCAUCAGAUCACUGGCAGGCCGCUGGGCCAUUUGUCGCUUGCAUCAGUUGGGCCAUUAGUUGCUGAGUGCGCACUUGGGCUAUUUCGGGCCAAUAAGGGGAGGUAGCUACGGGCCAAAAGUUGAGUUUGGGCUGGUUUUAAGAUUGAGCACAGUCCACUGUUUCUCCGUUUUGUUGUGCUAAUAAGUGUCUAAUAAGUUGCACAUAAUUAAACAAAAUAAUAUUCUGAUUAAAUUGAACCAACAGGAAAUUUAUUUCAGAAUUAUUUAUUAAGGCAUGCAAUUAAUUUCUGACCAAUGUUGAUAUUAAUUUGAUAUGCAUAAGUGUUUUAUUUAAGUUUUAAGUUAUUUUACUUCCGCCCAACAGUGAUGCAAAAUUAAUUCAUGUUAUUUUAUUUAAGUUUUAAGUAUUUUGCUUCUUCCCAACGGUGAUGCAAAAUUAUUUCAUGUCAUUUUAAUUAUGUCUUUGCUUCAACCCAAUGGUGAUGCAAAGUUGUUUAUGUUUUUAAUCGAGCCAACGCAGAUUAAAUUUAUUAUUUAUUAUUGUCAUCAUUACUAAUUGAAAUUCUCUCAUUUACUCAUACUUGACUCCAUCAAGCAUCAUAAGCUAUGUCACCGGCAUAGAGAAGCUUGGGGAGACAAUUUCACCAAUUGGAAGAACUAGAUUGGGUUGGUCCUAUGCAUUAUGGAUCGGGACCACUCCAUGAGGAAGAAUCAUCCUAUUGCUCCUACUGCUCAAGGGAAUAAUGAUACUACCCUUCCUGAGUGCACUGCUGCCUAUGAGAAGAAAAAGGAGCGGUAGGAGCAAUUAGACAGGGUGACCCUAAUGAUCAUGGAGCGGAUCAUAAACUCGGCAAUAAGGGGAGCUAUUGAGAAAAAUCUCAAAAGUGCCAAACAUUUUAUGGAGAAGGUUGAGGAGUACUUCAAAGGCUCCAGUAAGGCUAAUGCUAGCAUCCUCCUGACUAAAUUAAUGAACACUAAGUAUGAUGGGCAAGGCAGUGAAAGGGAGCACAUCAUGAGCCUUGUUAACCUAAGGGAUAAGCUCAAUGACUUGAAUUGCCCCCUUAAUGAUGAGACACUGCUUCACCACAUCAUGUUUUCGCUGCCCUCGGUGUUUGAACCCUUUAAGAUAAACUAUAAUGGCAGCGACAUCAAGUGGGAUAUUCCCACACUCAUCGCGAAGUGUUCUUAGGAGGAAGAAAGGCUCAGAUCAGAGAAGGGCGAUUUUGCCAACCUCAUCAGGCACGAGGUAAAUAAGGGCAAAAAUAAGCAAAUUGUCCCUUUUAAGAAAAUUAAGAAGCCUCAUCAACCUCCUCCUAAGAAUGAUGGGUCAUCCUCGUCUAAGGGUCUAAAAUGCCAUCAAUGCGUGGCCAAUGGGCACAUCAAGAAGCACUGUGAAAAGUUGAAGGAAUGGUGCAUAAAAAAUGGUAAUGAUGACUUUAUUUCUACAGUUGAUGAGUCCCUUUUUGUUGAUUUUCCAUUAAGUACAUGGUGGAUUGAUUCUGGGGCAACCAUUCAUAUUACUGAUUCCUCAUGGGGAUUACGUGGCGCAUAGACUAUAAGAAAGGGGACUCGCGCCAUUAAAGUUGCCAAUGGAGUUGAAGCUGAAGUUGAGGUUGUUGGAGAUCUCACUUUAGAACUUAGCAAUAUCUUCAGGCUUCAUUUAAGUAAUGUUCUUUAUGUACCAUCACUUAAGAGAAACUUGAUUUUUGUUUCAUCAUUAGAUUGUGAAGGUUAUUCCUGCAACUUUGGGAACAACACGUAUGUAAUAAGUUUUGACAAUAAGAUUAUUAGUCAUGCCCCUUUACAUGAUAAGCUUUACUUGUUGCCUCUAAGUACUAAUUCCUCUAUGAUGAAUGUAAGCGAUGUCAAUCAUAAGCGAAAGAGAAACAUUGAGACUUCGUCGAAAUUUUGGCACUUCUGCUUAGGCCACACCACAUUUCGAAGGAGAGAAUGGAACAUCUUAUUAGAGAAGAGAUACUUCCAAAAUUAGAUUUGUCUGACUAAGAUCAAUCCGUUGACCGUAUUAAGGGAAAAUUUGCAAAACAAAUUAAAAGGAUGGAGCUAAGCGUAGUUCAGGAUUAUUAGAAAUAAUUCAUACUGAUAUAUGCGGUCCAUUUAAUGUAAGAUCAGUGGAUGGUUAUAAUUAUUUCAUUGCCUUCACUGAUGAUUUCUCCCGCUAUGGAUACAUCUAUCCCAUACUCAAAAAGCUGAAGCACUUGAUAAGUUUAAAAUCUUUAAAGCUGAAGUAGAAACUCAACAUGACUUAAAGAUCAAAGUGGUAAGAUCAGACAGGGAAGGGGAGUAUUAUGGGAAACACUUCACAUAUGGACAAAUUCUAGGACCCUUUGCCAGAUUUCUCCAAGAUAAUGGUAUAGCAGCUCAGUAUUCCACUCCUGGUGAGCCUCAGCAAAAUGGUGUUGCUGAGAGAAGAAAUCGCAACCUUAUGAACAUGAUACAUAGUAUGCUCAGUAACUCUACGCUGCCAGUGAGUUUGUGGAUGGAAGCUUUAAAGACUACCGCACACAUUAAUAAUUGUGUUCCUAGUAAGUCAGUCCCUAAGACUAAUUAUGAGCUUUGGACUGGUAGGAAGCCUAGUAUGAAUUAUUUACAUGUAUGGGGCUGUGCAGCUGAAGCAAAGAUUUUUAAUCCACAACUUGGGAAAUUAGAUCUAAGACUGAAAGCUGUUAUUUUAUUGGAUAUCCAGAAAAGUCAAAGGGGUACCGCUUUUAUUGUCCUAAGCAUACCACUAAGUUUGUGAAGACAAGGUGUUGGCGCUAAAAAUCGGCCGAUGACCCUCGGCAUCGGACACACGAUCCGGCAGAAUCAGCUUAGCUCCUGUUCAAGUUACUGCCCUGGUGCGGUUCGCGCAGCGUGCCAGUCAAUCUGACCUGUUGAUUGACAAGGAAAGAAGAGUAUUAAAUUCCGGGGGUUUCAAUCGGCUAGGUUUCUGAUCUGCCUUAAAAAGCGUAUCAGCGAAUCGGCCGAUUUACUGUAGAGAUGACCGGCUGUAAAAUAGUCAAUACUCAUGUAGCAGUUGUAAGGAAAACCACUAAAGCAACCUAGACAACACUACAAAAGCAACACUUGGAGUAGAUCUAAUCGGCUAUGUAAUGAUAAAGGAUAAAAAUAAUAAAAGUCGACAGUUCGUACCUCAAGCUAGAUAACUGGUGAUAAAAACUAAAAUAAUAGGUAAAACCUAUGAUUCACGUUGAUAUCGAUAACUAGUUAAUAAAUCUAAACAAAAUGACAACGAUGCGCCCGAAGUUAAAGCUUAGAUAUUACUCGAUAAGAGGAACUUACAGAAUCGGCCGGAGAUCGUGUUGAUGCAAUCCUGCCAACCCGUACGAACUCGUGAAAGAAAAAGGUUUUGGCGAAGUCGCCAACUUGAAAGUAAAGUACGAGGAAAAAGUAGAUUUGUUGUAUUGAUUGAUGUGUUAUUUUUUACAAACCUCUAGAUAUGGCUAUUUAUAGCCUAUUACAACUGAUGUCCUAACCAACUAGGAUCUAUCUCUAAUUUUAAACGACAACAAAUAUUUACAAACACGACUCGUAUUCGAGUUGGUUACUAUUUUCCCACGGGCCUAUCUCUUUCUUCAGCAAAUCUUCAUCUUGGCCGAUCUUAGGCCCAAACGGGCCAAGCUGCGUUGACUCCCAAUCGACCAGCCUCCUCUUCCGCCAAUCAGCCGAAACACUGUAGCUUCAAUCGGCCAAUUCCUAACUGUAGCUUCUAGUCUGCCACAUCGGCCCCCCUUUCCCCUUCUUUGACGCCGAUUACAAACACGUGUCAAAAUCCGACGUCAACACAUGCCCCUUCGAAAUUCUUCUCAAUUUUAACUCCUUCUCCGAGGCAGGUGCAGCAAAAGCUCCUUUUUGUUCUGCAGUCUUCUCUCUGAUGAUUACAAUCUUUUCGAACUAGACGCCUGAGGCAACCGCUCCUCCAAAAUUUGUGUAGACGGCGUGGUAAAAAUCCUGCCUUUACCCUUCUCUCGAACCGUCCUUAAAUAUUCACAUCCCCUGCCGCUUCUUCUCCACGAGCUCAGAAACCCUUCUUUUCCCAGCGAAUCAUCUUCCGUCACAUUCCAGCACCCUUUCAUCUUCCACCCGCAUUCCUCUGGUGAUCCUUCUUUCAUCUUCCAACCACCCUGCUCCAUUUUCUCCAAUGGCGGCUCCAUCGGCAACCAUGAGCUUCAUUCCAGAGGUAAAUCUAAAGCUUUGCCCAUUUACUUUUCACCAUUCAUGCGACCUUUAGAUCUAUUCUUAGUUCUCCUUUUGCAUCCUUCUUAGGAACUCAGGCAGCAAAUCACCAUCCCUAUGUCUGAUGCACCUGGUCUCAUCGGCCUUGGCCCCAUGGGGAAUCCAAAUCCCACCAAUUUGAUCAACUUGGAAACCCACAGGAUUCCUUUCAAGCAGUCACCCAUGGAUUUAAGCCAGUGGACAGGCGCAUUUAGAUCCUAGCUGAACGAAACCCUUGGCUGGAAGGAGUGGUUUCAAAGAAUGUCCAAUUCUAAUAGAGUUCUCUGGGACAAACUAAAAAUCGGCCAAUGCAUAAAUUUGUCUCUAUCUCAAAUGGAGAAGAAUGAAUCCUUGGUCAUAGCAGCUUCUCACUUCUGGUCCGACGCUCUCAAUGCGUUCCUUUUCGGACACGGGCCCAUGACCCCCACUUUGGCCGAUGUCCUGAUGCUGACCGAUCUUGACAUCUCCUCCCCUAAUUCGCCCUUCGAUUUCCUGAUCAAACCAACCCAUCGCCUAGAAACAAAGGGAAUCGGCAGGUGGAGAGGCUACAUUGAUAAGAACAUGAAGACCGAGCCCAUCGGCGACAGAGAAUACACGGCUUUCCUGAUGAUGUGGCUAGAGAAGCACUUCUUCUGCGGUAAAGCAGUCGGCCCUUCCUCCAACACACAAGCCUUAGCCGAGGCCCUAGCGAGAGGCUCUACUGUCCCCUUAGGAAAACACUUGCUAGGAUCGGCUUACCAUAUGAUGCAUCAAAUCGCCGCCAAGCUAUCAUCUGGAUAGCCGAUUGGGAACCCUGGCAGUCCCUGGUGGUUUAUCACCCUCUGGCUCAACUUAUACAUGAGCAAGGUUUCCCGAGAACGAGUUGAGACCAAGACAUUUCCCAACAUCGAGUCAGAGGAAAACCCAACAGUACGAUGACAUUGCACUUCUUUUGGUGAGGCGACGUCAGCCUUCCCUGGCAGUAAGUUUACACCCACCAAGACAACCGAGUAUUUCAGAUGUUUCUAUAUCGACUUUAGUGAGGAAACCACAAGCUGGUACCCAUAACAGAGAACCGAGCCACUCUUUGAAAACCCCGACUGUUUCAAUUCAACUACCAAUUCCUUUGACAAUGAGCUCAUGGGCAUCCUGAUCAAGCCUGGGAUCCUACCAGCAAACUUUUUUUCAGGGAAAGACUCCCCAACCUAUGAAUUUUACAACCCAUCAGUGGUAGCAUGGCAAUUCAGUCUUGGACAGUUGCCGAUUAAGAUUUAUUUUGCUGGCCGCGUAAAGUUUCGGGACGGGCUCACCAAGGGGCUUGAAUAUAAUUGGCUGUGUAGCUUGACGCUAGAUUCUAGCACCGUUGACUUAGCCGACUAGGUGGUGGCUCCCUUUGCUGUCCAGCAAUUUAAGCUAUGGUGGGGUGAGUGGAAGCAACACCUCUUCUGCGUAUCUCCCACAACAUAUUGUAACGAUCUGGAUCCUGCCAACAUUGACCCAAAUGCAGAGGUAUUAAUCCUUCUGGCCAUUUUGACAUUGUACCCUUUGUGCUACAUGAUUACCACUGAUUUCCUCCUUUCUUGCAGUCGGGAAACCAACUCCCCCCAAAGCGCAGCCGUAGCGGCAGGCCGAUAGAGAAUCGUCACCCAUACACUCUAUUUCCAAUCAUCGGCUUCCAGGCCCCAUCAAUUGAAGACAUCACCACCAGCCGAUUGAAGCAAAAACUGAAGAUAUCUUCCUCAAAGAAGACAAGUCGUCGGGUACGCACCCACAUAGAACCGGCCAAUCAAUCAGCAGCACUACCAGACGAAUCCUCAGUUAUACCAACUCUGCCGAUUGUCCAGGAGGUCGAUCCCCAAGCCGCUAUGGAAGUUGGGUUGGCAGCUGCAUCCUUACUAGUAGAAGCUAUCCAGGUAAUUCUAUAUGCUUCACAUUUCUUCAAGUACAUUAUAAGUAUUAAUUUCAAUCUUCUGUUAGGCUGCGCAAAUCUUUCCUAAGCAGACCUCGCAACAAUCGGCUGCGCCCUAGGCAGAGACCGAACCACCAUCAAUUCCUUCGGCUGAGGUAAUGAAUAUACACCUCAUUUCAGGCCUCUCGAUCCUUAGUUGAAACUAACUGAUUUUUGAUGUAGGCUACUCUAGGUACAUCAAUCGUACCUUUUCAACUAUCAUCGGCCGGAUGACCCGCAGAGGUAAAGUAGCUGAUGCUCAUCCUCAAAUCUAACUAUUGCUCCAUACUUAUAGAGAUUCUCAUUUUUUUCAUUCUCCAGGAAGCCGGUCCAUGCACGGUGCGGAUCAUUGUCGAGUCCUCUUCCUGAAUCAAGGGCAGCAAUCCCAUCAACACAAAUGGAAGAAAUUCGUUUUAAAUGGGUAAGGGUCUUUGGCAUCCAAUUUAACCAAUUUCCACUAUCAUUGGCUAACCCGCUCCUUCUCCUCUUACUUCUACAGGAGCAAGACACGCCCAAUAACAACCUUUUUUCAUUCGCGGUUGCUGUCUCCGAUGAUGAGGAGGUAGCCUCUCGACAAGUGGCCCCAAGCUCAAUUCCCGACGAGGUCCGCGCGAAGCUCCAGAGCACCCGAGUCCUCCUUCAGGACGACAUCGGUCGAUUGGUAGAAGACGCCUCGCCGAUUCGCCAGAUCUUCAAUGAAAUAAAAGGCCAAGUCCCGAAAGAUGCAGAAGAAGCUCUCGCACUCGCGACAUACAUUGAACCAAUGCAAAUCCCGAUGUUUAGAGCCCUGCGGCACAUGGCCGAUCAUGCCAAGCUGGCAAAGGCACGUGAAGAAGAGGAUUCCUACAAACACCGAGCUCAAGAGGUACAUCACCGAAUCAGCGUACUUGAAAGUUCUCAUCUAGAUAUUGUCGGUACCAUAGACCGUCUCAAACGACGUAGGGCAGAGCUUGCCAAGGAGAUGGAACAGGUGAUGAAGGCCAUUGCUGCCGAAGAGAAGAAGCUCCUCAAUCUCCCAGUUGUCAUCACCGAUUUGAAACAAACGAGGCAAAAUCUUGCACAUGAGGCCAUCCAGCUUCAUCAUAACAAGCCAGAAGUCCCUGGAUCGGCCGAAGAUGACCAACAGGUUCUAGACUCAGCCGAUCAAAUCCACCGGCGGGCGAUUGCGGCCAUCAAUAUUCUUCUUGAAUGAAUGUAUCAACAUUGAAUUGCCCCUGUAUAAACAUUUAAUGCUCCUUUCACCGUUGAUGUAUGAAUAUGAAUCUGAACAUUUCCUUUCUGCAGCUUUUUUGCCCAAUGGUCGUUUGCUUCGAGUGGACGCCUUUACUAACCGUUGCUCCUUUACCUUCCUCCUUCCUAUAAAUAUGGGGUCUCUGCAUUUCUCCCAGAGGCAUUCACAUCUCAUCCACCCUUCUAUACUCUGUUUGACUGUUUUCAUAUCUCCAACUUGGCACUAAGAUGUCUUCCUCCUCCUCCGUCAAUUAGGUAUGGGAUCUUCCUUACACUCCUCAACAAAUUUUCCUUAACGACUGAAUGUCUGUUGCUUUUUCCAGCUGACCCGUCUCAGUCCUGAUCUUGAGCGAGCUAUCAAAAUCAUGCAUUCCGAGGAACCACUGACGUAGGCAGAUAGAGAUCUGAUCGAAGCCCAUCGUGAGGAACUUGAGGACCAUCUCCCGGCCCACAUCAAGAAGAUUGUAGAUCACAUCGAAGCCAAGAACCCCAUGAAGCCACCUCAGUCGCCGAUUGAGAGGAGUCACCAGCUACCCCACCAGGUCACUCUCAAAGAUGCCAUGGCGGCUCUGGAGGAAAAGAGCACCUGUCUCUUAAUAGAACUAGGCCGAGUCCAGAGGGAGAUUAAUAAAAACAAAGCCCAGCUGAAACGUAGUUAAUCGCAAUGUAACCCGAUAGAUGUAUUGGUACUUUUUAAUCUAAGGGCGACUCGUACCAUGUCGGCCAUGUAUCCAAUCACUGUACCAAGUAGUAAUCGGCCUGUUUGAUCAGAGGUUUCAUCCUCAAGGCGACGUUUCCCUGCAUCAGCUAUGCACACCCGAGUCCAUAGGAAUCGGCCAUAACGACUCGAUACGCUAUAUCGUCGGCUAUGUGUCUACCCAUAUGCUGGGAUAAUAUCUCUUCAAAUAUCUCCCAUUUAAGGCCCUUGUAAAUUCCUCUCCUUCGAUGGUCUCUAAUAUAUAUGCGUUUCCCGGCGCACAUCAACUGAUUUUAUACGGCCCUUCCCAAGUAGGCGACCACUUGCCGUAUUUGGGAUCCUUAGAUCCUAUCAGCAGUACCAAUUUCCAUACCAAAUCCCCUUGGGAGAACUGCUUGACCUUGACCUUUUUGUCAUACCACCUAGUAACUUUUUUCUUAUUUUCUUCAAUAUUGAUCAAGGCCCUCAAUCGCUGACCUGCCAAAUCAUCGAGUUCCCCUUUCAUGAGGAGAGAAUAAUCAUCGACCAUCAGCUGAUCUUGAAGUAACGUGCAUCUAGACUCUGUCCUCAAUUCCCAAGGUAGCACUGCCUCAUGUCCAUAUACCAAUUGAUAAGGAGAUAUCUUAGUAUCGCUGUGGCAGGCCAUCCUGUAGGCCCACAAAGAUUCAUUCAAAGAUGCGUGCCAUCUCUUGGGCUCCUCCUCUAUUUUCCUUUUGAUCAACUUGAUUAUCCCUUUAUUGGAUGAUUCGGCUUGACCAUUUGCUUGAGCAUAAUACGGAGAAGAAUUUAACAACUUAAUACCCAUAUCGGCAGUGAACUCCUCAAAUUCUCCCGAAGUAAACAUCGUUCCCUGAUCGGUCAUGAUGGUCUAAGGAAUACCAAACCGAUAGAUAAUGUGAUCCCUUACAAAAUCGAUCAUGAUGGCCGACGUCACGGUUUUCAGGGGGACUGCCUCCACCCACUUGGUAAAGUAGUAAGUGGCUACUAAUAUGAAUUUGUCUCCUUUGCUUGAUGGAGGAUAGAUCUGUCUGAUGAGGUCGAUCCCCCAACCCCUAAACGGCCACGGCUUAAUUAUUGGAUUCAUAGCCGAAGCUGGUGCACGUUGUACGUUGCCGAAUUUCUGACAAUCCUGGCACCCCUUAUAAUACUUAAAGCAAUCCUCGAGUAUCAUUGGCCAGUAAUAACCAUUGUUCCUAAUCAUCCACUUCAUCUUGUGAGCCGAUUGAUGAGCCCCACAUACGCCUUCGUGAAUUUCUCCCAUCAGAAUCUUUGCUUCUUCUACUCCGAGGCAUUUGAGUAGCACUCCAUCAAUCGUUCGGUAAAACAAGUCAUCUUCAAGUAACACAUAUUUCAUGGCCUAAAAAUGUACUCGUCGGUCCACUUUCUUGGAUGGGUCUCUUAAGUAAUCGGCGAUCUCCUUUCUCCAAUCGUCGGCCGCAAGCUCCAAAGACAUGGCACCUUGAAUCGGCCGAUACCUGGAAGCAUGUUGGGAAAGCAUAUUGGCUUCCUUGUUGUAACCUCUGGGAAUAUGCUCAACGAUUGCAGACUUGAACUCUUUCAAUAAUUGGAGGCAAUCUUCAUAGUCAAGAUAUCACCCUUGCAUUCAGACCUCCUGGUUAAUUGAUCCAAGAUGAGCAUGGAAUCCCCAAAAAUUUCCACUGCGUCGGCUUUGACUUCCCUCAAUAAUUGGAUACCCUUUAGGACAGCCCAAUAUUCUGCCUGAUUAUUAGUGGCGGACGCCUCAAUCGGCAGACAGAAAUCAUAACUUGCCUCCCGAGGCGAUAUGAGGAUGAUGCUGAUUCCCAAUCCGGCCCCACAUGAGGAACCAUCUAAGUACAGAGUCCAUGGAGCUCGCUCGAAGACGGUGACCUCUGGUCCACAGCGCUGGGCCACGAAAUCAGCCAUUACUUGACCCUUGACAGCUUUGGACGAUUCGUAUCUCAGGUCGAAUUCUGAGAGAGCUAGAAUCCACUUUCCAAUCCUCCCUUUCAAAAUUGGCAAUGACAACAUGUACUUGACCAUGUCAUCCUUGCAUAUGACUACGCAUUCCACCGAUAACAGAUAGUGCCUGAGUUUGGUGCAAGAAAAAUACAAACAAAGGCACAGACGUUCCACCGGAGGAUAUCUAGUCUCAGCGUCCAGGAGUCUUCUGCUGACAUAAUAGAUUACUCUUUCCUUUCCUUCAAACUCUUGGACUAGCACUGACCCAAUAGCUCGUUCGUCGGCCGACAAGUACAGUUUGAAUGGCUUGUCAGCCGCGGCACAACCAACAUUGGCGGUGAGACCAGGUACUGUUUGAUGUCGUCCAACGCUUUCUGCUGUUCCUCACCCCACACGAAUUCUUGGUCAGGUUUUAAUUUCAACAAAGGGGUGAAGGCUUGAAUACAUCCGGACAAGUUAGAUAUGAACCUCCGGAUGAACUUUGCUGAUUAAGGACUGUAGCUCAGUUUUGUUCUGGGGGGCCACAACUUUAUUGAUGGCAGCUAUGAUCUUCCGGUUAAUCUCUAUACCUCGCUCAUGGACCAUAAAUCCCAGAAAUUGUCCAGCUGAAACACCGAAGGCACAUUUGUUUAGGUUCAUUUUCAAUCCAUUCUUCCUUGUGCACUCCAACACUUUUCGCAAAUUGACCAGAUGUUCCCGAUGCCCCUUUGACUUGACCACGACGUUGUCGAUGUAGAUCUCCACCAGAACACCAAUAAGUUUGUGGAAAAUAUAAUUCAUAGCCCGUUGAUAUGUAGCUCGGCAUUUUUCAAACCGAAAGUCAUUACUACCCACUCGAACAAACCGAGGUGGCCUGAGCAUCUGAAGGCUGUUUUCGAAAUAUCUAUUUUGGCCAUUAAUAUUUGAUUAUACCUAGUGUUACCAUCCAUGAAGCUGAUGACUUUUUGUCCUGCGGCAGCAUCUAUUAAAACAUCAGCCGUCAGCAUCAGAUACCCAUCCAUCAGCGUAGCAUGAUUAAGAUUUCUAAAGUCAAUACACACACGCAGUUUUCCUUUUUUUCUUGUAUACAGGCACAAUAUUGGAAAUCCACUCGGCAUAGAGACACUAAUGAAUAAAACCUGCUUCGAUCAAUCUUGUGAUCUUGGCCUUAAUAUCAGGUAAAAUCUUAGGAUCACAACGCCGUGCGGGCUGCUGAUACGGCUGAUACCCUAGUUUUAUAGGCAACCGGUGUUCGAUAAUGGACCGAUCUAGACCAGGCAUCUCAUGAUACUCCCAAGCAAAACAGUCUUUAAACUCCCAUAAUAGACUUGUCAAUUCGUGCUUAUAUUCGGGGUCUAGCCUAGCACUAAUAUACGUCGGCCUUGGCUUGCUGCCGCCUCCAAGGUCCACCAUCUCCAACGAAUCAGCCGACAUAAAUCCAUGCCCCAGCUUCCCAUCUUCUUGGACAAACUGAUCCAUUUAAUCUGAUUCUUCAGAGCCGACUGCUUGGAUCGGCAGUAGACUAAAAUCGGACACCUUCAGGAAAUCGAUGUCCCAAGUGCUGCCAGAUAUGCAUCUGACAUGUUCACAACUCCACUGUUGCGUGUCGGCCGCGGCAACGCUAUAGGCGGAAUCGGUGGUGACUAUUUUGAUGUUGUCGCCGACCCACUAGAUAAGGCAUUGGUGCAUUGUAGACGGGAUGCAGCAGUUUGCGUGGAUCCAAGCUCACCCGAGCAACAUGUUAUAGGACCCUUUGCCAUUAAUAACAAAGAAAGUAGUGGGUAGGGUCUUACUGCCGAUGGUGAGGUCGAGACAGAGUGCUCCCCAGGCCAGGGAUACGUUGCCUUCGAAAUCUUUGAGCAUCAUAUCCAUCUUGGUUAGGUCUUCUUCACCCUUGCUCAAUUUGCGGAACAUAGCAUACGACAUGAUGUUCACAGCAGCGCCACCAUCUACCAACAGCUUGACGACCGGUCUCCAUUGACGUGUCCUUUGAGGAACAAGGCCUUGAGAUGCUGGUGUUUUUUGUCCUCGGGUUUCUCAAAAGUGGCUGUCAUUGGCUCCAGAGCCAAUUGUGCCAUUUGCUCUUCUAUUUCUGUCACGUCGCUUCGAUCGGCGGGAGCCAUGAAUUCCAUCGGCAAGAUGAACACCAUGCUGACGUCAGCUGCCGAAUCAUGAUUGUUGUCUCCCUCGCCAUUUUUUCUUCUGGGGUGCCAAACUCAAGACAUGUACCCUUUCUUAUCCAUCUCCUACCUUUGUUCUUCUUCCUGCUGCUCCCAUUGGCGCAAGCCCUGGACCCUUCGUUUCUGGGACUUAGUCAAACCAUCCGGGCACCAUCUGGGGUUUACUGGUUUGCUUGGUGGUUUUGCAUGCUCCCAGUUUGGCUCUCGCCCUAGGGGGUUCUCAUCUGAGACUCUGGCGUCGGACAAUUCUCCCAGAUGAUCGUAUGCAUUGGUCCUGCCCCCAAGCCAAUUAUGCUGGUCAACUCUGCCCCCCAGCCGAUCACGCACUGAAACACGUCGAUCUUCUUGCUCGUGCCUAUUUCUGCUGAUCGGUUCUAGUCCUCGAUCUCUGGAGCAUGAUCUCUUGAACGGAUGGCUGCUGCGAUAUCGAUUGUUGCAUUCGGGGCAGUUAUCGGCCGAUGGCAAUCUAAGGUUAUGCUCCUAGCAGUGGAUGAAAAAUGGGCACCUUCAGUUAUCUUCGUGUCGGCGCAUCAUCUUCUCAUGACAUCUUGAAUCUUCCCGCUGCCGCUGAUACUUGCUGAGUAAAUCAUGGGAAGUAAUAGGUCGACGUGGCUUUUCUGAUCCUUCACCUUCGUCUUCCAUCCACCCCUUUCCUUUGACAUCACCGACCGAGGCCUGGUUUCUGGGAUCUACUGCACCACUCCUUCUGGCCGAUUUUGAUGUUAGCACUUUGAUCUGGAGUAUGUUUCUUCCUGCGUCGACCAUGUUAGCGGGGAAGGGAUGAUUAUCUAUCUUCAUCGGCUUUGCCGGCUUUGCCGGGACUUCGAACUUGAGUCUUCCUUGCUCAAUGGUCGAUUGUAUCUGCUGCUGGAAGAUCUUGCACUCGUUUGUGUCAUGGGACGUGGUGUUGUGCUACUUGCAAUAUUUCAUCUUUUUGAGUUGUUCAGCCGACGGAAUCGUGUGGUAAGGCGAAAGUUUGAUCUGCCCCUCCUGAAGUAGCAAGUCAAAGAUUUUGUCGGCCUUUGAGGUGUCGAAGCCGAAUGUUUCUGGUUCCUUUUUUCCAAAUGGGUACGAUAUCGGCUUUUUCCCUUUUACCCAUUCUGCCAGGCCGAUUUCUACCUCUUCCUCCAAUUCGGGCCCUUCCACAUACGUCACCUUCUUUUGGAAAUUUCUUCGUUGGUCGAAGGGGCGUACUUCCUAGCCGGAAAGCCAAUGAACGAUCUGGCUCAAGCUCUCAAAUUUUUGGGAAGUGUAUUUCUCCUUGAUGUGUGGCAGGAGUCCUUGGAAAGCGAUAUCGGCCAACUGGGCAUCGGUCAAGACCAGGGUGUAGCACUUGAUUUUGACUUCUCUGAACCUCUGUACGUAGCUGGUCACCGAUUCGUCACUCCUUUGCUUGAGGCUCGUUAGAUCUGAGAGUUUCAUCUCGUGGACCCCCGCGUAGAAGUACUUAUGGAAUUGCUUCUCCAAAUUGGCCCAAGUAACAAUGGAGUUGGGCGGCAGUGUAGUGAACCACUAGAAGGUCGAUCCAGACAGGGACAAUGAGAACAGUCGCACUCGUAGAGCAUCUUGCGUGGCGGCUUCCCCGCACUGGAUGAUGAACCUAUUCACGUGUUCUACCGUUGAUGUGUAGUCCAGGCCCGAGAACUUGGUGAAAUCGGGGACUUUGUACCGAUGGGGGAACGGCAACAGGUCAUAGGCAGGUGGAUCUGGCAUCUUGUACGUGUAGGUUUGUACUUUUGGUUUCAACCCAAACUAAUCUUGAAUCACCUCUACUAUUCUUGUGGUCCAAUCAACCUGCUACUGAUGUACGACCGGUUGAGGAAUCGGUACGUGCUGCUGGAUUGGUGGCACCACGGCCGGGUGAUGGACCAGAGUGUGCUGCAGAUUUUGUGGCUGGGCUAUCGGCCGAGUAGCCGAUGGUUGAUGACGUAGGGGAUCUACCGCUCCAUCGUUCGGUAUCAUCGGCGCCGCAACUCUGAGCGGUUCUACAGUGCCUGCACCCCCGCCGAUUUCUGAAGUGGCUGGCUGGUAUUGCGGGGCUAUUGGCCGAGUGGCCGAUUGGAGUAAUGCCUAGAUUGGAAACUUCCCGUAACUGGUUGAUGGAUCCAGACCGGCGGUUGUUGCUGAUACCCCCCAUGGCGCUGAGUUUGAGAGCGGCGGUUGUAUGGAGGAAAUAGAAGUAGGAUGAGGCGGCGCUUGCGAUUGGUAGAAUGAUGUGCCGUUGUACCCCAGGGGCAUUGAAGUGUUGUACCCUCUAGUUUGCAUCUGCAUUGGCUGAGGAGCUGAGUGAGACGCAUCUAGCAUCGCUGAGAAGCCUCUGAUUGGUGCCACGAUUGGAGGGGCGUAAGCUGGUCCCUGAUACCCCUGAGCUGCGCCGCUGACCAGGGAACUGAUGACGGCGUUAUAUACGAUGUUGGUCAUUACCAUGGACUGGUUGAUCAUAGCCUGAUAAACAGAUUGUUGAAUCAUCUCAGACAUUUUCCUUGAGUCCUCGGUGAUGGUGAUAUGGCAAGAAGUGGGGAGGGGAGCUUUCUUGACGGUCUCCCCGCUUCUGGUACGACUGAAAGAUUGUAGCCAAGACCUCCUGUAUUCUUCUAUAGCCCGUGCCACUUCCUCCUUCUCGUCAUCCUUGCAAUCUGCUUCAGUGAUUUCAAUGACGUUAUCUUAAGAGAUCUCUGCAGCCUUCGACAUGUUGGAUCUUGGUUGGUCCCACCGGGCGUGCCAAAAGUGUGUUGGCACUGAAAAUUGGCCGAUGACCCUCAGCGUCGGACACACAACCCGGGAGAAUCUGCUUAGCUCUUGUUCGGGUUACUGCCCUAGUGUGGUUUGCACAGCGUGCCAGUCAAUCUGACCUGUUGAUUGAUAAGGAAAGAAGAGUAUUAAAUUCCGAGGGUUUCAAUUGGCUAGGUUUCCGAUCUGCCUUGAAAAGCGUAUCAGCGAAUCGGCCGAUUUACUGUAGAGAUGAUCGGCUGUAAAAUAGCCGGUACUCAUGUAGCAGUUGUAAGGAAAACCACUAAAGCAACUUAGACAACACUACAAAAGCAACACUUAGAGUAGAUCUAAUCGGCUAUGUAAUGAUAAAGGAUAAAAAUAAUAAAAGCCGACUGUUCGUACCUCAAGCUAGAUAAUUGGUGAUAAAAACUAAAACAAUAGGUAAAACCUAUGAUUCUAGUUGAUAUCGAUAACUAGUGAAUAAAUCUAAACGAAACGACAGCAAUGCGUCCAAAGUUAAAGCUUAGAUAUUACUCGAUAAGCAGAACUUACAGAAUCGGUCGGAGAUCGUGUCGAUGCAGCCCUGCCAACCCGUGCGAACUCGUGAAAGAAAAAGGUUUUGGCGAAGUCGUCAACUUGAAACUAAAGUAAGAGGAAAAAGUAGACUUGUUGUAUUGAUUGAUGUGUUGUUUUUUACAAACCUCUAGAGAUGGCUAUUUAUAGCCUGUUACAACUGAUUUCCUAACCGACUAGGAUCUAUCUCUAAUUUAAACGACAACAAAUAUUUACAAACACGACUCGUAUUCGAGUUGGCUAUUAUUUUCCCAUGGGCCUAUCUCUUUCUUCAGCAAAUCUUCCUCUUGGCCCAUCUUAGGCCCAAACGGGCAAAGCCGCUUUGACUCCCAAUCGGCCAGCCUCCUCUUCCGCCAAUCGGCCGAAACACUGUAGCUUCAAUCGGCCGAUUCCUAACUAUAGCUUCUAGUCCGCCGCAUCGGCCGCCCUUUCUCCUUCUUUGAUGCCGAUUACAAACACGUGUCAAAAUCCGGCGUCAACACAAGGCAUGCUGUUUUCAUAGAGGAAACUGGAUGCACUAAGGCUAGGAAAAUUGAUCUUGAGGAGAUUCGGACUUAUGAGUUGUUACCCAUAAGAUAGGAUUAUUAUGCUCCUACGCCAUAUACCACAGUUGUAUCUCAGGUGGUGGAACUUCUAGUAGAAAAUGUGGGAGUAACACCUACCUUAAGUGAUAAUGUAGAUGCACUAGUGAUAAGUGAGCAUCAAGGUGAAGAUGUGGUAGAACUUGCUGGUGGAUUGCAAGGGGAGGCAACUGAUGAGCUCGAGGUAAUUCAGCAGGAACCUGCUCAAGCAGAAGCACCACAGGAAGUAACACCACAACAUCUGAGAAGGUCAACACGUGAGAGCAAGUCCACCCUUUCCGAUGAAUAUGUGUACAUAAGUGAAGAAGGGCACGACAUAGGGAAGGUGGACGGUCCAAACUCAUUUAAGGAGGCCAUAAGAAGUGAACACUUGCAUAAGUGGAGCGAGGCCAUGGAAGAAGAGUUGAAGUCCAUGGAAGCAAAUAGAGUAUGGGACUUCGUAGAAAUUCCUGAAUGAGCCAAAAUAGUAGGCUGUAAAUGGGUCUACAAAAUGAAAUAUGACUCUAAAGGGAAGAUCGAAAGGUUCAAAGCAAGACUCGUGGCUCAGGGCUUCACUCAAGUAGAAGGAGUCGAUUAUAAUGAAACCUUCUCGGCUAUCUCAAAGAAAGAUUCAUUUAGAAUCGUUAUGGCUUUAGUAGCUCAUUAUGAUCUUGAGCUACAUCAGAUGGAUGCUAAGACUACGUUCCUUAAUGGUGACUUGCAUGAGAAUGUAUACAUGAAGUAACCUGAAGGUUUCGUCAUGGAAGGCAAGGAACAUUUGGGAUGCAAACGAUAAAAAUCCAUUUAUGGAUUGAAACAAGCAUGCAAACAAUGGUACCUUAUGUUUGAUGAAGUAAUUAAGAGAAUUGGCUUCAUUGAAAAUAAGAAAGACAACUGCAUAUAUGUUAAGACUAAGGGGAGCUCUAUAAUCAUCCUAGUGCUUUAUGUGGAUGACAUCCUAUUAGCAAGCAGCGAUAAGAACUUGUUGCAUGAGACAAAGGGCUUUCUCUCAUUGAACUUUGAUAUGAAGCACCUCUAUGAUGCCGCUUAUGUCUUAGGCAUUGAGAUUCACCGAGACAGGUCCAAGGGUGUAUUAGGACUCUCUCAAAGAGCUUACAUAGAGCCUCCUUGAAAGAUAUAAUAUGCACCAAUGUUCAGGCACAGCUGCUCCAGUUGUCAAGGGCGAUAAGUUUGGGUCAUUCCAACGUUCUAGGAAUCAAUUAGAAAUUGAUCAAAUGAGAAUGAUUCCUUAUGGUUCAGCUGUCGGAAGUAUAAUGUAUGCACAAGUGUGUACACGCCCUAACUUGGCCUUUAUAAGGAGGAUGCUUUGAAGCUAUCAGUCUAAUCUAGGAAUAGGCCAUUGGAAAGGAGUUAAGAAAGCUUUACGUUACAUGCAAGCACUAAGAAUUACAUGCUAACGUAUAGGAGAGUUGAGAAAUUAGAGAUAAUCAGCUAUUCAGAUGCUGAUUUUGAGGGUUGUGUAGGCACAAAGAGAUCCACAUCAGGUUAUGUCUUCACACUUGCAAAUAGGGCUAUAUCGUGGAAAAGCUCCAAACAAACAUUAACAGCUGCAACGACGAUACAAGCUGAGUUUGUGGCAUGUUAUGAAGUUGUGGGACAAGCUGUAUGGCUUAAGAGUUUCAUCCCAGGAUUAAGGGUGGUAGCCAGCAUAAGUAGGUCACUAAAAUUAUACUACGAUAAUAAGUCAGUAGUUUUCUAUUCGAAUAACAACAAGUCAAGUGAUGCUGCAAAGCAUAUUGAGAUUAAGUAUCUUGAUGUGAAAGAUAGAAUCCAAGAUCACACCAUUGAGUUAGAGCAUAUAAGUACUAAGAAGAUGCUUGCGGAUCCAUUAACAAAAGGCUUACCUCCCAUUAUAUCCAGUGAACAUGUUGCCGGCAUAGGAUUAUCGGAUAGCCUAUGAUCUUGGAGGGUCAUAAGACAACCGCCUCCCAUCAUGAUAGGUAGUUUUAUACAUUGUGGACAACUGUGUCACAGUGGGAUUUUAAUCAUCAUUGUCACACAUUGUCUCCCUGCAUAAUUCUUCUUUAAGAAUGGCAUGAGUUAUAGGCCUUUAGACCAAAGUGGAGAACGUUGAAAAAAUAACGUGGUGGUCAAAAGGCCGAGAGGAAAAUAGGAAGGAUAAGAUUGAUGCCGAUCACGGUGGCGCUGGAGUUGGCCAAAGGCCAUUGUCGCACCACCAUCACUGUCCAUGGACAGAUGAGGUGGAGACUUGAAGGGAGAUGCGAUCUACUCCGAGCUAGUACACCUACGACAUCUGUCAUCCCGGCCUCAUCCACGACCCUAAUGGAUGGAUUGUCACAAGCCGUGGUAGCUGGUUGUACUCUAACAUCUUCAUUGAGUGGUGUUCAUGUUCUAGAUGUGCAAAGAUCCUAUUUUAGUUAAGAUUAAGUAAUGUAGAUUCCUACAAAGUUAAUGAAGCCAACCUAUCGAUUCCAGUAGCAGCGAUGUUGUGUGACGGCAUAGCUUCAUCUUGUGCCCCACUAACAUCAUUCAUGCUAAGGUCAAGGCUAUUAGGCAAUGUAUAGCCAUAUAUAGCUGAUUUAUAGCUUUCCAUAUAUACUGAUUGUAUUCCUUGUAUACCAAACCAUAUUGGCUAUAUAAUAGAGGUCACCCCCUCAUUAGGUUGCGCGGUGUUUUCCCAAACUCUAUCUGUCUGCAUGGUAUCAUGAGAUCGGGAUCAAUCUAACUAGGACUUUCCUUCCACCCCACCUCUCCCUGACACACCUAACCCUAGGCGCACCUCCUGUGUGGUGGCGCUUCUCCCCUGCGCUAGUGCCCCUCCCCACCUCCCUUCCUCCCAUGGCCAACGAUUCCUCUUUCGAGUCCUCCCUGUCCGGUGGCGGCCUUCUGUCCACUGGUGGCCCCAAGCCGGUGCCUGGUGAUGGCUCUUUGCCCAUCUCCGCCGACACCACCCCCCACUGGACUUGAACCACCGGGUGGCUCCAGCGAUGGCCCUGCACUGCCCCCUGGUGGCGGUCUUCUCGUCCACCAGGCACCGCUGACCAUCAUCCACCCCUACGCAACGAUCUCCGUCAAGGCUCACGUCCCCAUGAUGUUGACGAUGAAGACCUCUAGCUACUCCAAGUGGUCUUCCUUCUUCAAAUCCAUGUGUGGCAAGUUCAGCCUCAAGUUGCACAUCAACAGCACCGUGGCGCCCCAUCCUGACGACCCCGAUUGGGAUCAAGCGGAUUGCUGCAUCCUCUUCUGGAUCUUUGGCUCCGUUGACGACUCAGUCAUGGACCUCACCAUGGAGGACGAUGAGCAGACUGCCAAGGCCCUUUGGCUCGCCAUUGAAGGCUUCUUUCGCGCCAACAAGCAAUCCCAGGCGAUCUUCCUCAGCUAUGACUUCCACUCCAUGACCUAGGGGGACUCCUCCAUCUCGUAGUAUUGCCAGCGCAUGAAGAACCUCGCCGACGCCCUCCAUGACAUUGGUCACCCUAUUCAGGACUCCUAGUUGGUCUUGAAUCUUCUCCACGGCCUCAACCCGCACUACUCCAACACCACCGACGACAUCGCCAACUCCCCCGCUGACUUCCCGUCCUUCGCCCAGGCUCGUGACAUGCUCACCUUGAAGGAGCUUCGCCUCGCCAACUUGCUACCUACUUGCUGCUCUAUGUCGAUGACAUCAUCCUCACCGCCUCAUCUUCGAUGCUCCUCCAGCACAUCAUGGCUAGUUUUCACUCUGAGUUUGCCAUGACAGAUCUUGGUGAUCUUCAUCACUUUCUCAGCAUCUCCAUCACGCGCUCCCCUGAUGGCCUGUUCCUGUCCUAGUAAAAGUACGCCCUGGACCUCCUCCAGCAUGUCGGUGGCUGAGUGUCACUCUACGGCGAGUCUUGUUGACACUCAUGCCAAGCUCUCGGCGACUGAUGGCAACAAGCUCAAGGAUGGCUCUGAGUACAGGAGUCUUGCACGGGCUCUCUAGUACCUCACCUUGACUCGACUUGACCUGGUAUAUGUAGUUCAGUAGGUGUGCCUCUUCAUGCACGAUCCCCGCGAGCCUCAUCUCACACUGAUCAAGCGCAUCCUGCACUAUGUGAAAGGCACCCUGUCCUCCGAGCUUCACAUCGGCACCGGCCCUGUCCAGUCCCUGACAGCCUACUCCCAUGCGGACUGGGUUGGCUGCCCCGACUCUCGACGCUCCACCUCCGGCUUCUACAUGUAUCUUGGGGAUAACUUGGUGUCUUGGUCCUCCACGCACCAGAGCACAGUGUCUCAGUCCAGUGCUGAGGCUGAAUAUCGGGCUAUGGCUCACGCUGUUGCAGAGUGUUGCUAACUUCGAUAGCUUCUUCAGGAGCUACGUCCCCCUCGCUUCGGCCACUGUUGUCUACUGUGAUAAUGUGAGUGUUGUCUAUAUGACAGCCAAUCCGGUUCAUCAUCGACGCACGAAGCAUAUCGAGAUUGACAUCCACUUCGUCCGGGAGAAGGUUGCUUUGGGACAGUUCGAGUGCUUCACGUGCCUUCGUCCCAUUAGUUCACGGACAUCAUGAUGAAAGGCCUUCCAGUUCAGCUGUUCACUGACUUUAGGUCCAGUCUUUGCAUCCGGGAACCUCCCGCGGCGACUGCGAGCGGGUAUUAGGCAAUGUAUAGCCGUAUAUAGCUGAUUCAUAGCUUUCCAUGUAUACUUAUUGUAUUCCUUGUAUACCAAACCAUAUUAGCUAUAUAAUAGAGGUCACGCCCCUAUUAGGGUGUGUGGUGUUUUCCUAAACUCUAUCUCUCUACAAAGGCAACGAAGGGUUGUCAAGUUGAAGACUGCAGGGUCCAAGCCAUUACUGGACAAGCCACGAUUGUUGAGGUCAAGUACGGUGACAUUACCGGAGGCGUCGUCGCAGCCAACACCUUCCAGAGACAGCACUCAGUACCAUCUCGCCAUGAUGAAAGCCUUGUGGUCGAUUCAUGGAAGGAGAAUGACUUCUUCAGCUGGAGGAGCACCUUAGCUUGGUCUGGAUGGCACAAAAAGGGAAGAUGAGUGAGGUUGCCACCAUCAGCAUGGUGAGGUGGCAGGGAGUGUGAGGAGCUGUGCAAGACAGAGCAGUAACGCCCAGCCGAUGGAAGCCAUGGUCCAAUGGAGGUAUGAGCUGACAAGCACCAAAAUGGCACAGAUACAUAAUGGUAGUCUAGUCUAGUAAUGGGUGACAGAAUUGUUGUACAUCUUGUGAAGCGGUAGUUUCACACAAGGCUUCUUCCAUGAGCUUAAGUGAUGGUCGCAAUUCAGAAUCUCCAAGUCUCUGCCCCUGUAAACACGCCAAUCAAGUAAGGGUAAGAUACAGACGUACACUAGCAAUGGAUCAUGACAGUAAGUUAAGGAAGAGACUUGUUACAACUUGUGAGACUUUCCAUAGUUGCUGUCGGUAUCGUUCAGCACCACUAGGACAUAAUAGUGACCUGGGAAGUGGAGCUCCAACUAUCAAGGCUUCCAUUUCAGAAAGAAAAAAAGGACUUCCAAGUCAAGUAAAGUGGCUACGAACCGAGGAAGGUGGAGCUGAAGCACAAAUCAACUGGAUAAACAGUAAAAAGAAAGUAGAGUAAAAUUCACAAAACAUACCUCAAGCUUGUAGUUUUCUAAUACCAGAAAAACUCAAGUUUUCUGAAAUUCGCUGUUAAAAAAUGAAAAAAGAAUACGAUGAGCGCUGCUUUAUCUUACAGCAUGCAAAAACCGGUAGCAGGUUAGGACAUAAAUCAGGCACGCAUCACCGAUGCUCGAAGAUGCAGAACAAACAUUUAACGGUUUUCCUAAGUUGCAACGACGAUUAAAUUUAUCUUGUCCAUGGCGCAAUAUAACAGCACGAGCAUCCCAUGUUACAACAUUUGAAGCAUAACAGAGCCGACAUCCAAAGAUUCAACAUUCAGUUAACACCAACCAUUCUGACUACAGCACAACCAGGUUGCAGUCUUGAACGACCAUAACACUAACCAGUUCAGAACCAAAUUAUCAUUCCCGCAUUUUCACUGGUAGCAGAGCAGCAGCACUUGCUUCAGUUUUUGAAGCUGCCAUGAUCCCUUUCGUCCCAUCGUCAGAUGGUGCCAUCCUCACCAGCUCCAAGGAUAGUGCUAGAAAAGGAAGACAACGUCACAUUUUUAAUCAACCCAAUGCAAAAACAGAAAACGAAAAUAAGCAAGAACAUUACACGCAAUUGAGAAUUUCUCCAUCAGUAUAAAAGAAAACUAGAAUAGGCAAUACACCAAGAGGAGCAUUAGAGUGAAGUACCUUCCAUCAAAAGACACUGCAGUCUGCCUUAUUGGUGAUCUGCAUUGCUGAUUAUAUAGCCUGAAAAUGAUACAGUAUUUGCAUCCAGAAGCAUAAGAGUUACUAAUACGCAGCACCAAUAAAAGUGGAGGACAAGAAUAACUGAAAUUCUUGCAUUAAAAAUUACCGGGGCAAUUAGGACAGGAGGGCUGGACUGUACUUCCCACACAUAGAUUUUGCCUUCACGAUUUCCUGUUUGAAGCGGAGGACGAUUAAUCAGCAAACGUUUCUAUGAAAAUCCAGUCAUAUAUUUUAAGUGUGAACAUUUUGCCGUGCCAAAACCUCUUUAUAACUUCUGGUGCGUGAAAUUUACAAAUCAAUAACUUAAAUAUAACUUUUAUGUCAGAAAACAGCCCAGAUGAUAGAUAUUACUUAUUGCCAACUGAUUGAAGUGAAAAUCGCACGAAAAUUUUAUAAACCAGAUGUCACACUCUGGCACAGGGUACUUCUGAAGAAUAUCGAUGCUUCCCUAUAUGAGGAAAGAGAAAGUCAUAUUACUUCAGAGGAAUGGGCAGUCAAUGACUAGAAAUCAAAGAAACCGCUGGAAGUUAAAUUUAAGAAAAGUUCAAUUCGAGAAAAGUUCAAUUCAAGAAAAGUUAAAUUGUAUCACCUCCCCAGGACUUUGUUCUUUUGUUUUUGGUUCCCAAAGGACAAUUUCAUUAUCAACACUCUGCAAAUCCAAGCUAGCAUAGAUCAGAUCCCUCAUUAUACAGGAACCAAAACUGGCACUGGGAAAAAAAGGUUGAAAGACUGAACCCAUGCACAGUACAAGAAUACAGGAUCCAGAUACAGUGGUAUUUUGAAGCAUCAAAAGAAUGACGACUGUACUACUACUAUAGCAGCAAUUUGUAUCCAUUUAAGGGAAGGAAUUUCACCUUUGACAGGAUGAAGUCACCAAGCCAUCUUGUACAAUCAACAUAGUUAGAGUGUACUGAAGCAAUCAACACCUGCAAGGAAAGAAACAGGUUGGUUUGAUGGCAUGAGGAUUAAACACCAACAGUAGUUUGCAAAGGAAUAGAUCUAAGAUGAUUAUAGAUGCUAAACAUACCGGAAACUGGACAUAUUUUGUUGGAAACUUUGAUGGAAGGUCAGUCCAGGAAUAUGAUUUGUCAACAUAUUGCCAAAAUUCUGUGACAACAUUGGGAAACUCUAUCAAUGAUAUGCAGCAUGCAAAUGUAAACAUGAUGCUACUUUGAAGUAGUUUUCCAACCUUUCAUUGACCAGAUUUUCACAGUGUUGUCCAUGCCACAACUUGCAAAACGCUCAAUAUCACUAGGGUGGAAGUCCUUCAGCCAAAAUAAUGUAUUUUGAUCAGUACAUUUAUGCCUAACGUAAUGGAAGUACAAAAGCCGUAGUAGUCGCCAGAACUAUAUUUAUCCCUGAUGUAAUGCUCAAUAACAAACAGUAACAUCAGAAGCUGAAAGAGUGGUAGCUUGAGGGCACUUUGAGCAAGUAAUAUUCUGAAACAAUACCAUAAGAGGAGGCAGGAGCUACUUACAACACUCAACACUUCAUUGCGAUGACCUCCAGCUCCGGCAAAUACCAAGAUGCAGAUCCCUGUAUGGAAUCCAUAGCCUAACAGAUUCAUCCUAUUCAAUAAUGAAUAAUGCCAUAUGAAACAGUGUCAGAACAAUUAUAACAAAGUACAUUCAGCCUAAGAACAGGUUAUCUGCUAACCUUGCUUGCAGAAAUGAUGAGCGAAGGCUACGCUUGAGUCCUUAUCUCAUUUAUUGAGUCACCAUGGACAACAAAGCUCUGUAGAAUUCCAUAAACAGAAAUAACAAAUAAACACGUGCACAGUCUAAUUCAUAGGAUAGGAUAGUAUUUAUUGGCAUGCCCAGUCUCCUGACUAUAUGUAUAACGCCAAAAUAGAUACACUAGGUUGAACGUGUCUUGACUAUAACGGACAUGCUGAAGUAUCCAAAAACCAGAAUCUUCUGUGAGCAAAAGUUACAGUUUGCUAGUGGUAUUAAUGCAUAGCAAACAGACAAUUCCUUAAUCAAACCAAAUUCAAAUGACCUUCUGGAUCGGAUAUCAUAGAUGGUAUCUGUCAGGUAAGCAACUGAUGUACAGAUUUAUGCAAAUGAAGCUUCAUUCAAGUUUGACGUAGGAACAAAGACAAGGCUAGGGGUACUAUACCUUAGCUAACUUCUCCGUAGCGCAGUUGAUGACCCGAAUGAUCCCAUUGCUUCCUGCUGCUCAAUGACUCCAUUCUUGGUGACCAGUGUGGCAUCCAAUGUAUCAAUCAGCUCUUCCUUCUUCUUGAGCAAGGCGUUCUUCUCCUCUAUCACUCUGUCCCUAGCCUUCAGUGCCUCCUCCAUCCAAACAACUCUCACCUCCAGCGUGGCAAUCCUCAGCGAGUCCCUCUCGUCGUAGGUGUCCGGUGCAGUGUCCACCUCGUGUUGUAGGCGACGGUUCGUCUGGUCCAGGUCAGUCAAAUAGUGCUCAAGUCCCAUUAUCUUGCCCUGAAGUAUGGCAUUGGUACCGAUGCAGUUGUCCCAACCAUUGUGAAGUACCUCCACCUCUCUGUCAUUCCAGAACAGCGCUAAGUCCUGAGCGUGAAUACAGCGGGAGGCCACGCAAAACUUCUCGUUGGGCUCUGCAUAUGUGUCCUCGUAGUACUGAUGGGCUAAACUCUCGAAAUCCCUCGGCCCACGGCAAGCCCUGGUUAGGCAACGGUAGGGAGUCUGAGCCAACCUGUCACGGAGCUGCGCAUGCACCUCACACACAGCCCUUCUGGCGGCAGUCCGGUGAGCCUUUGACACUGACAGCUCAAACCCAAGUAGAAGAAUAAGCAAAGUCUAGUCAGAAAUAGCGGUAGUCAACAGCACUGUCCAUAACUAGUGGACACGGAUUAUAGCUACAACUUUAUACACUCUAUAGAGGAUGUACAGCUGUACCUGCACGGAUGGAGUCUAAAUGGUGGCGAUCUGUUGAAACCCCACCGAACAGCCAGAGCCCUAGUAGGUGGAUAGCUAUCUCAUAUUUCGACGAGUCUGGAAUCAUCCGCAGCUGCAGGGCACACCGUCACCAGUAAGGACCUCGAAGCUAUGAAACCUACCCACGCCAGGGUGUAGUCUGGUCAGAGCAAGCCAACGCCUUAAACUCAUUACAUGAUCCUCCAAUCCGCCUAGAGGCUGAGCACUAUCCACCACUAGUCUCGGACCGAACCCUGCCCAUAACGUAAGCGAGCGGUAUGUAAGUAAAAUAGCUGUUGUGACUAGUGGUAAACUGACUUGGUGCUUAAGCGGUUGAGAGCGAGCACUCUACUCCACAAGUAUAUGCCGAAACACAUGCAACAUACAAGUACGCCACCUGCUCCUCAGUAACAAACAAGGUACCUGCCACAAGUACGGGGUAUAGAGAGAGUCCAGAAUGCUCUCUCCUAGCAAGGCACUCCUUAGUACUAACCAUGGCGCUCCCGCCAAAACAUAUCAAGGAGUCACACUCACCCAAAACUCAAGCGAGAGUGUUCAAUGAAUCCUAUCACCAAAAUCAUAGCAUAUGCUCAUCCAUAACUCAAAAGCAUGUAUAUGGAUAUAUGAGCGGUGGACUAGCUAGGGGUCUAUAGCUAGUCCACAAAAGUAGGUAACAAGGAAAACAUGAUACAAAAUUAUCAAGGCAUGGCUUAAAACAUUGGCUAUGCAAUUCAACAUCAUCAAGCAUCAUAAAUAAAGCACUAGCAACUAAGCAUGCAUAUAAUCUAUGUGAUUGGGAGUGACAUGGCACCUUGUUCGUAGUUGUUUGGAUCUUCCUCAGCAUAGUCGGAGUCUUGAGGGUCUUCCGGGUCAUAGCUCGGGUCUGAACAGACCGAGAUAUGAUAUAAAAUAAAUUAAACGGCAUUACAACUAGAAAAAAACUCCAAGAAAGCUAAAUUUAGCAGAUCCAAAUAACACCAAACUAGUUACAAACAACACGGGCUCCAUUUUACGAAUUUAAUGCAACUGGUUCCAUAUUUUUCGCAGUUAAAAUGAAUUAGUUAUGAAUUUUUAAAGAUUAAAGGAUUUAUUUAAUUAUUUAAAUAAUUUUAGAAAAUAUUUAUUAUUACGGUGACACAUGUCAGUGCCUGGUUGUGCCAUGUGGGAGCAUAAGAGUGCGCCACGUGUCUCCUAACGCCAAGCUGACGUCAGCGUUGACCGGUCAACUAGGCCCCACCAGUGGGUCCGUGCCUCGGACAUGUCAACGUCGCGUGGCUCCACGUGGCAGCCACGUGGCCAUCUAGUCUACGUGGCACUGCCACAUGGCGCACACGUGGUCGUCCCCAGCUGGCCGGGAUCCGCGCGCCACCCGGAUCCCGUCCGCCACCCACGUGUAGCCACGGGUGUGGCGCAGGCCUGAUUGGCGGCAACGCAGCGGUGAUCGUGCCCACGACAUCAUGGUGUGGCACGACGUCACGGCGCGGCUGCUGCACGUGUGCGCGGGCAGGAGGCAGUCCCCGGCUGCGGCACGACCGCGGCGGUGUGCGGGGUCCCAGGCCCGCGGUGGCUGGCAGCGAGGCAAGCGGCGGCACUACUACCGUGGCUUGAAGGCUGGGCAUACGACAAGCAAACAAGAGGAAAGAGAGGGGCAGCGAGGUUCACUGCAGGGAGACGGCGAAAGCGGGUGGCGUCGGGUGGUGGUCGACAGCUCAGGCUCCUCCCUUAGAUGGCCCCUCUUCUUCUUCUUCUCUUCUACUUCCCCUCCUCCUUCUCUUUCCUCCUCUUCUCCUACUCCUCCCUCCUCCUCUACUCCUUCCCCAUUCUCUCACUCAGGUGGUUGAUGGCGCAAGGGCGAAGCCCCGAGUGGAUGGCGAGGAGAGGCCCCGGGCGGCUCUACUUAUAGCGGAGAGGCGGCUAGGGUCCCGGAGGGAGGUUGCGGUGGCACUUUAGGGUUUGGGGGCAUGGCGUUGGUGAUGUGGAUGGCUGGGAUGUGGUGUCGCAUGGUGCGGGCGACGUGGUGGCCGUACGAGGCCGCCAGCGCAAAAGCAAGGGCACGGGCGAGGUCACGGGUGCGCACGCGAGGCACGCGUGAGCGGUACGGCCGGAGGAAGAAGGAAGAGGACCAGGGGCACCUGACGGGCAGGUCCGGUGCGGCAGCGAGAGAGAAAGAGAGGGAGAGCGGGGCAUGGGUGGCAACUGCGGGCUGGGCCAGCUGGCCGGUUAGGAGGCUUGCUGGGCUGGUCACUGAGCUGCGCGGGCGAGGUGGCAGAGCAGGCCAGGCCGGCUGUCUGGCUAGGCCGGGGCGAAGGUAGGUGAGGGUGAGGCGCGAGCGGGCCAAGCCGGUGGGCUGCGGCUAGCCUGGUUGGUUAGGAGGGUUAGAUAGGUUUUGUUUUUAUUUAGAUUUAGAUUUAGUUUGAGUUUUGAAUCAGAUUCAAAAUUCAAACACACACUCAAACAUGAGAUCCAAAUAAAAUCUAAAAAGAUCCAAAUCGUUCCACACAAGUUUUGAAAUGGAAUUUUGGGACGAGAAGAGAAUUUGACUACCAUUUUCAAACGAGCACACAAUUCAAACAAAAGUUUUAAAUUUUUGGAAAUUUCACUUAAAUAAAUAUUACAAAAUUCUAGAAUAUUACAAACAUAACCGCUUCAGCUCGUACCCUGAGAAAAGCGAUACGAAGCUUAACACUCCUCAACAUCUGGGAAAUUUGGUCAGAACGAAACUCUAGAUUUUUCGGACUGUGUGAGUCAUCCUUGAUUUCCUUGGUGGCAAAAUUAAAAAGGAAGCUUAAGUUUUGUAGGUCUUUUGAAUUAAACCAACUUGGUAAGCUAUCACCCCAAAAGCCAUGGGCAUUCAAUUCUCUCAUUAGAGCACAAGCCAUCGAUCACUUCAUUCUUUCGAAAACUCUGGGAUUAGUUCGCCAGUUCAGCUCUAUUUCCAUGAGGUAUUUCUUGUCAACGAGUCUAGCCUCAGCAGCCUGUUCCUUGCUCCUCACAGUAUGGAUAGAUUUGAUGCAUAGCAUUCCGCUAAGCUGAUUCAUGCCCUUCAGCUCACCAAUUGCCCCCCUCCGUGCUUCAACUGUGAAAUAUCUCAAGUUCCUUUGAUAAGUCAAUAGAGGCUUUUACUGGAAGUGCUAGUUGACGCAAGUUGAUUAGCUUUGUUACAUCCUGACGAAUUGUUCUCAGACAUGAACCAAAUGCAACAACAACUUGUAGGCUGUUAAGGCACCAGAAUUUCGAUGGCACUUCAUUUAUAUUGCUGUAGGAUAUAUCAAGAUAUCGGAGGCUAUUCAACCCACAUAUGCUUUGGGGUAGACUUUUCAGCUUGCAACCUUUUAGGCUCAAAAACAGGAUGUUAGAAAGCUGACUGAACCAGGUGAUCUCAACAUCCAAUUUGGUACCAAGCCUAAGUGAACGCAAUUUGUUCAAAUUUUGAAUGUUUGUCAUUGUGCUCAAGGACUUACCAUCCACCUCGACUGACAUGUGGCGAGGUUUAUUUGUCAUUCCGCUCAAAUCUUUCAUCGAGAAACAUUCAUGGAUAGUAACAUACUGCGCAGUAUCAUGGAUCAGGUCAUGCAUUACGUAUUUAUCUUGAUUAGGGAACUUUGGAUCAGUUUGGAAAAGACACCUGCCUCUCAAAUCAUCCAAAUAGUUCAUCCCGACAUCUUCAAGACGCUUGCUCACUUGUGGUGAAACAAAGCCCUCUGCCACCCAAAUGUCAACGAUCUCAUGUCUUUUGAAGCUAUAAUCUUUCGGAAAUAUAUAUGGAGCAAAAUGCAAAGCAUCUCCUAAGUUCAGUUGGGAGGUACAAGUAGCUCAGUCGAAGUGCUGGUAAUAUCUCGCCAUCUUUUUGUUCUUGCUCCCAUAAUUCACUGUCCUUGAUAGUCCUCCAAUGUUGCUCAGUCAGAUUACUAUUCAACAAGCGUCCGAGAGUUUUGGCAGCCAAAGGAGUACCAUGCAACUUAGAGGAAAUGCUCUGACUCUGGGCACUCUUUACCAAACGCACAUUUCUCGAAAAAUUCCCAAAAUACACCAGCGGGCAAUCCUUCGAGCUGGACAGGCUUACAACUGCAUCUGGACCAUGCGGUGACAUUCUGAGCAAUGUUUUUGGGUCUUGUAGUCACUAAGAUCAUGCUACCUUCAAGUCCAUUCUUCAACGGUGCAUAUAAAAAGACUCCCAUUGUGGUAAUCUCCCAAAUAUCAUCCAGCACCAAAAGGAACUUUUGGAUCUUCAGCAUAUGCUACAGAUUUGCUUCAAGAACACCUAAACCACAAGACAAGUCGAAGUUUGGCUGGAUGGUCUUGAUGAUCUCCUUUUUCAUCCUUUCAAUGUCAAACAGGUCCGAAACACAGACCCGUAUCCUUACAGUAAUAAAGUGGCCUUUCACUCUUUCAUCACUGUAGAUGAACUGAGCCAGGGUGGUCUUCCCCAUCACGCCAAUGCCAAAAAUUGGCAAGACAGAAACAUUGCCACAGUUAGCAGUCUCAGCAAGCACUGCACUGCUGUAAGAGAUGGGCCUCCACCAUGCCCCACUCGCUGCGACUGAUGAGCAAGCGAGCUGUGAGCAGCUUGGUCUUGAGUUGGUCCAGCUCGUUUUCCAGCUGGGUCGGCGCUUGGCUCAUGCUCAUCCCGAAUAACAGGAUGCCUUGCACGGUGUCCAUGGUCGCGCGCGCUCCUAGAUCUUGGUGCGUUGGUGGAGCUCCUCCUCCUCCUCCUCCUGCUUGGCACUCGAUCAAGCAGGGCAGGGGCAGAAGCGAGCGAUUACCUGAUGAUGGUGCCACCGAUUACUGGCCUUCGCCCUCCCACCGCCGGACUGGUGAUUUUCACCGGAGGGAUCGUAAGAGAGAUCGGGCAGAGAGGUGGAGGAUCAAAUUGCGUGUGCACCCAACGUGGAAUGGCGCUGGAUAUAUCUAGCUAGAUGGUUGCAUGCCCUGCCGAUCUGGGCAAUCGGUAUUGCAUUUGCAGAUUUGCUUCGGUUUCAUCGAUGAAACGGGAAGACAGUGAGAGCACCGAAUGAAGAUGACACGAGUUCGGCGUUGGUUUCUUCGAUCGGUCCUGUCUUGGGUUCCAUCGAACUUGAUCGAGCUGUCUUGAGGCCGGCGGAGUAACUAAGAGAUCCAUUAUUCAUCGGGAUAAGCUAGGAUCGCAUGGGCUCGUUGCGGCUGCGGGCGCGGACCACCAUCUCUUCCUGCCCGCCGCCGGCGGCCGACGAGUGCAAGACUGGUAGGUUUAGGAGAGGAAAGGUCAAAAGGCGUGAGCUGUGAAGGAAUGGACCUGGCAUCUGGGUGCGGCUUGUGUUGUAUCUUGAGCCGGUUGGGCCGGGGUGGCGACUGAGUCCAGUAGUAGUGAAUUUUUUUAUUUUUUAUUUUGGUAUUUUGUAAAAAUAUAUAGUCGGAUGAAAAAAUUGUAAAAUUAGGCUAUUGUCACUGGCUGGACCGACGGUAAGGCGCUUCCGCCGGCCCAACCGCCCCCUGGGCCGGCGGAAGGGCCUUACCGCCGGCCCAGCCGGCGGCGGUACACCCCUCCAUACCACAUUUUCAAAAAAUCAUAACUAAUUCAUAUCAGCUCGGAUGGAGAUAAAAUUUAUAUAAAACUUGUAGAUCUCGAUGAGAUCUACAACUUUGUAGUUAAAAUAUUUUUCAUUUGAUGUCAUAUUGGUGCUCAAAUAAUCGACACAAGUUUCAGAUCUAAAAUUCAAUUUUUAGAUGUGAAAUUGGGCAGCACACUUUCCGCCCAGCUGGCGACCUAGCCUUACCGCCGGCAGCCGGCGACCUAGCCUUACCGCCGGCAGCCGGUGACAAUAGCCUAGUUUUGCAAUUUUUUCAUCAGACUAUUUUUGCAAAAUGUUAAAAUAAAAAAAUAAAAAAAGUCCAGCACUAGUCCACCAAAUGAGACAAGUUCCGGACCUACUCGGUGGUGGUUUUGUUGGCUGCAAACUGAUGGGCCUCGUGCCUUUGACUGCGAAGAAGACGGCGACGCAAAAGCAUUUUUUUCCCAGCAGCUUUGAAACGGUCGCCCGCGGACAGCAAGCAAGCGAUCGCGAGCCUGACCGCUGAACUGUAACAGGGAUCCAUGCUUUCCGGCAACACCCAUCGGUGCCAGGCUUACCCACCAGUACACCUGGCACCUGCUGACUGUCCAUCUCCAAACCUCCAUCACAAGACAGAGGUCGUCAAUGGCUUCUUCGGUUUGCAACAGCACAGUGGACAAGAAAAGCAGGGGCAAAGCUACAUUGGGCUAGCUAGGAGGCCUGCUAGGCUGGUCGCUGGGCUGCGCAGGCGAGGCGGCGGAGCAGGCCAGGCCGGCUGUCUGGCUGGGCCGGGGCGGAGGCGAUGAGGGUGAGGCGUGAGCGGGCCAAGCCACUGGGCUGCGGCCGCCCUUGUUGGUUAGAGGGUUAGAUAGGUUUUGUUUUUAUUUAGAUUUAGAUUUAGAUUUAGAUUUAGUUUGAAUUUUGAAUCAGAUUCAAAAAUUUUGGAAUAUUACAAACAUAAAAUCCAAAUAUAAGAUCAAAUAUGAGAUCAAAAUCAGAUUCAAAAUUCAAACACACACUCAAAUAUGAGAUCCAAAUAAAAUCCAAAAGAUCCAAGUCAUUCCAUGCAAGUUUUGAAAUGGAAUUUUGGGAUGAGAAGAGAAUUUGACUACCAUUUUCAAACAAGCACACAGUUCAACCAAAAGUUUUAAAUUUUUAAAAAUUUCACUCAAAUAAAUAUUACAAAAUUUUGGAAUAUUACAAACAUAACCACUUCACCUCGUACCCUGAGAAAAGCGAUACGAGCUUAGCACUCCUCAACAUCUGGGAAAUUUGGUUAGAACGAAACUCUAGAUUUUUCGGACUGUGUGAGUCCUCCUCGAUUUCCUUGAUGGCAAAAAUUAAAAAGGAAGCGGCUGCUUGGGUGGGGGCAGGGGCCAAAAACCUAAUGGAACUUUUAGCGCAGUAAUUUUUUUUUGUUACUCUUUAGCUAUUAGCCUAACUCUUCUUCUUUAUCAAUAAAAUAGGCAUAAUCUUAUACCCAUUGGUUUUUUCUAACAAUAUUUUCCAUGGAUGGAAACAUUAACGUAAGAAGAUAUACAAGUAACAACCUAUUUGAGACUUCAGUAGUGUUCAUACUAUACCAUACUAGUAGUAACAGUAGCAUUAAGCAGCCAGCUUACAUUGAACAACAGAGCACAAUACUUGUGUCAGUAUAAAAAAAGACUUGUGUAAAGCCAGCUACACAAGUUAGCUCGCAUUUCAUAAUUAAGUUUCAGAUUUCGUGCAAGGCCAGAUACUUUAGCACUGCGCUCUUGAUGUACCGAAAGGAAGAUUAACAUAUAAGUACAAUACCGAAGUAAUGACUAUGGAAAUAGGCUUAGAAAUACAACUGGAAGCUAGGUACAGUGCAAUAAACCUUAGUGCCUCAUCAUAGCUCCCUUAGCUUCCAGGAAAGUAUAAUGCUGUAUUUGCAGAGAAAAAAAAUAUCACCUUCUAGUGGUGAUCAAGUACGCGAGACUCUUGCAGUUGCAAUAGAAACGUCUGCCAAACCGGUCCCAUUUGACCACAAUAGCAGCUGCAAAGCCAACGCCGAAGCCAAGCCCAACGAAGAGAAACAAAACCACAUCAAUAUGACGAGAAGACUUGUCCCCAUGUGCCACACCUGGAGAGUGAGGUGAACUACCACAAGGAAAUUUUGGCAAUUGCAGCCCACACAAUCCAGCAUUCCCUUCAAAUGAGCUGCUGUCAAAUGUAGAGAACUGACGUGACUGCGGUAUCUUCCCCACCAAGUGAUUGUAUGACAAGUUUAGGGAGCCAAGAAAGGUGAGAUCAGUUAGCUCUUGUGGAAUGUCCCCUGAGAGUUGGUUGCAGGACAGGUCUAGUGACUCCAAAUCAGUCAUGCUUCCAAGUUGGGCUGGAAUUUUUCCAGUGAAGGCAUUGUGUGACAGACUCAGUACGCGUAGUGAUACAAGGCUUCCAAAUGUUUCAGGAAUAGUACCCUCCAAACUAUUUUUUGAGAAGUCAAUUGCUGUUACGGUAGUCAGCAUCCUUCCAAAUGGCAUAUCUGCCCCCUUGUACAUGAUCUCAACAGAAUAUUGAUAUGAAUGUUCUCUGUCAUUGACAUUUAUAGUGUUUAGAAUUUCGAGAGUUUUCCCAGAACUAUUAAACUCUGCCAUCAUUGACUUUAACUGCUUGAACCAUUGUGGCCUCAAAGUACCAGAGAAAUUGUUUGAGGCAAGAUCGAUAAUUUGCAAGCUAGGGAAACAUUCCUCACGUUUUGUGUCCCCAACAAUAUCACCUAUGGUGCCAUACAUUUGGUUUGAUCUCAGGACGAGUACAGAAAGCUUGGGAAGCCCCCUCAACCAAGAAGGAAAAGCAUCAGCUAUUUUGUUGCUUCCAAAGUCUAUAACCUCCAAGUCUGUACAGUUAGAAAGGCCCCUAGGAAGCCUCCCUUCGAUCUUAUUGCCAUGUAAAUCUAUCAUCUGUAAAGCACAUCUUGUUGUUAUAUUGGAAGGCAGCAUCCCUUUCAAGCGAUUCUCCCUCAAAUUUAAAACACCGCUGGGGAUAUUUUCUAUAAAACAAGGUGGAAUCGGGCCAUUAAAGUAGUUAUAUGAUAGAUCAAGGACAUCCAGGUAUAUUAUUUUUGGAUAUGCUGAGAUAAACGGUGUCCCGAAGAUAGGAGGUCCAGUUUGGCAGAAGGGAAGAGAACAUGUUGUUGGAAUAAUCCAAGACAUCUCCUGAUAAUUUUGGCAUAGGGAUCAUCCCUGAAAGUCUAUUGAAACUAAGAUCAAGCACUCCGAUUGAUGUAUUGAAAGGGACAACAUCCGAAUUAAGUUGCAUGCCCGUGAACAUGUUAUGUGAAAGAUUCAAAUGAGAUUGCACAACAUUCCAUGUCUUCUCCCAGAUCCAAUUUGGUAUAUCCCCACUGAUUUUAUUACAUGAAAGAUCCAAAUACGUUAUACAGUCAACAUGCCUCAAAAAUCUUGGAAAUUGAGUUAUCUUGCAAGAUGCGAGCCCUAAUUCACCUAGUCCAGCCAAAUAGCUGGUUUCCACUGGAUUAUUAUCUUCUGAGGCCAUGACAUGCAACUUAUUGUAGGAAAGAUGCAAAACAGUGAGGUAAGUUAAUCUCCGAAAAUGUGCAAGGUCCACGGAACCUAUCAAGUUGUUUGAGCUAACAUCUAUACAUACUAAACUUGUUAGUUGAAAGAUGGCUUUGGGAAUAAAACCUGACAAUUCAUUGUUCUCGAACCUCACGGUCUCCAACUGUGGACCUGCCUUGUCAAAGCCUUGUAUAGGGCCAGAAAGCUGGUUGAAAGAGAGAUCAAGGUGAUUUAAUAUAGGAAGACUGAAAAUGGAUGGUGGAAUCUCCCCUGGAAGAACAAUAGAAAACAUUAGGUUAGAAAGUGUUUCCCCUUCUACAAAUUAAAAUCAGAAGAUGCUACCUCCUAUUUUGUUCAGAACAUGAAUACUUGACCCUUUCUCGAGAAAAGUAAAAGUUGAUAUCGUACCAUAGAAAUAUAUAUCCCAAGUUUAUUUAUUUUAUUUUGAGAAAAUUGCAUUACUAGUCUCUAAAUAAAUGGCCAAAAGUUGUGUGGUAACCUCGCCGACCCUUGCACUUGUUGCAAAUUACUUUCCCCAACCCCCUCGUCUUUGUUGUGCCACGUGUUAGGCAAUGGUUUGAUGCUGGUUCAACACAUUAAUUUGCUAAUAGUGGGGUGGGUGAGAUUAGUGUGCAAGUUUAAGGACUACCGGAAGAAUUUAGUGCACCUACGGACCAUAGAAUUUCAUAAUCCUAGGACCCAUGAAGCUGAAAUGAUCCGGACCCAUCAUGGAUCAUAAAAUGUAUUAUGAUUUAUGAUACCCGGUGUAUAGUCCUGUACCAUCAUAAAGAAUUGGUAAGAUCACUUAUAUAGGAUCCCGAUCCAAACAUAAACAUUUGUUAAUAUCUGAAAUUAAGUAAAUCCAUGAGUAAUUAUAUAAUGAGUAAUUAUAUAAGUUUCUUCAGUUUAAUUCGACAUCUUUUACUCUUUGCAUGACAUCUGACCAUUAAAUUGUUUUAAAUUAUGAUAAUGUUUGGAGUUAAGUUGAAAUGUCGAAUUGACAUUGACAUGAAUAAGUGGACUCGAGUUUAUAAGAAUUAAUAAAUUUAUAAAAAUAGCAUUGUAGAUUUCUUUUCAAGAACUUGUUUAACUUUUUAAUAUAUGCAUUUUUUACUCAUUACGCUGCAAAAUCCUCCCCCAAAGUUCUUGACACAGUGUCAAACUCAUUUGUUGUGUUUAACCUCUUACAAUGAUCUAUAUAAGCUGCCAGCUUUUGUAUAAGAGGGCCGGGGUUAGAGAAGUAUAUCGUGUCAACUGCGCCAAAGAAAUUCUUUUAGAGUAAACUAGAGCAAAUGAAAAGCUUUAUGAGCCCUAAUACCCAUUUAAGAUUUCCAUUGUCCUUUCUACCCUGUCAAAUGAACACUCAAGCUCAUAUAGAAGCAACAUGUGUGGUUGUUGCAUCAAGAAGGAACCUUAAGGGAGGAUUUUGCAAUGGGGUUAGGCUUGUGGGUUCGUUAGGCCCUUCACACAACGUGUGCUUGGAGUAUCGCUUGAAAUGGAGAGAGGAGGUUUGGGCAUUGAUCACUCCCCAAGUGGCCAAGUUGAAACCAGGAGCAGCACUGUGACAGAACAAAACAAAUGCCAACUUUUCUCACAUGGGCCUCGACUUUUUUUCCUAGAGUCACUCCACAUAGUAGAGGCCUUAAUGCAACUAUUUUUCUUUUAGGGGAUAAUUGCAACUCAAGAUGACUACUAGGAGCUUGAGCCAUGCACACAUGCGUUAGUGGCAAGCUUGCAACUACUCUGAGCAGAGGAGGGCACAGUUGCAGCUUGCAAGGCCCACGGUGUGGAGUAGUGACGCUUAGGGAUGCAAACAGGUUAGAAGGGCUGGAUCAUGUUGGCAACUCGUGGUGUGGAGUAGUGACGCUUAGGGAUGCAAACGGGUUAGAAGGGCUGGAUCAUGUUGGCAACUGUGGAAUAGACUAUAAGUGGGUUCGCAGGCUAGCCCACUUGAUUUGCAGCAAUAUAUUAUGGUGGAGGGAUGUCCUUGACCUGUUACAUGCCUUUACAAACUAAGGUCAUGUUAGCAUAUCCUUACUCCCCAAUCCAACUACCGUAUUGGGAGGGUUAAUGAAAAAUAGUAUUCCAACAAACCAAUAAUCCACCCUAACUUAUCCUUAAAAAAGAGUAUCUCAAUACGGUAGUUUGGAUUGUGAUUAUUGGGGAACUGCAAAAACAACUUUUCCAUUAACCAUAAAAGAAAUAUUGGGACAUUUCCAUUAGCUUAUUAGAAAAAAUUGAUUGGGAAACUGCUGAAGAUGCUCUAAGAGAUCCUCAAGUUGGCGUGUGACUGCACACGUGGUGGGGGCAGCACAAGCAGCCCAAUAUGACCUAAUUUUAGCCCAAGUUAGGUUUAGUUGUGGCCCAACUAACGUCCAUGUUCUAUUUUUUUCCUUUCUUCAUUCUCUUUGGUUUUACAUUUUCUUGUCAUUUUCUUUAAUUAUUUCCUUUUAUAUUAUUUUGCAUAUUAUUUUAUUUCCUUUAUAUUUAUUAUUCGUUUCUAUUUUUGUUUUGUUUUCUUUUCUGUUUUCUUUUUCUACUAGGAAAUUCUAACUUUUCAUUUCUUUUAUUGUUUCCAUUUUUAUUAUCUUUUAUGCUUCUUUUCUUUUUUAUUUUCAGUAAUAAAUUUUUGUAUAUUUUGUUUGCUAGUAAGAAUAAUUUAUUCAAUUAGUUUUCAUUAUUGUUUCACUUGGCACUACUUUAAAAAUCAUUUGUGCAUGCGAUCAUUCUAUUUUUUUUACAGCGGUGCUUAAUAACAACCGUCUCUAGCAAGGGUUCCAAAAAUACAAGUAUUUACAGAGGUGGGCCACAUAAUUUAGUAACUAUCUGAAAAUCAAUUUCGAAAGGCAGACCACCUAAGCUACCACUACUAGAAAUUGACUUCUAGAGGCAAGCCUAAUAAGCAAUUGCCUCUAAAAAUAAUAGUCUUUUUUAAAUGAAGAAGGAUGACGACAAAUUUACUAGCAUAACUAUAGAGCUCGAUGACAUCUCAAACUUCAUAGUUCAUAACCUUUUCAUUUAAGACUAUUUACAGGCCCAAAUAAAAUUCAUGACCAUUUCUUAUAUUUAUUUUUAAAAAUAAAUUAUGAUUUCCAAAAUGGCCAUGGAAGGAGAUGUGCUCUUCACAAAAGUUGUAGUGCAUGACGAGAUCUAAAAAUUUGUAAUUGAUAUUUUUUAAAUUUAUGAUCAUUACAGUGUCAAACAUAGUACAAUAUUCAAAGAAGUGAAAUCAAAAGAAUCCCUUAUAUAGUUAAUAUGUGUUUCGUAAAGAGAUCUAUGUGUGAAGAAAGCUGUCAUACCAUGAAUUUUUUGGAUUUCAGGAUAUGAUUUGAAAUAAUAAUUAAACAAUAGUUUUCUAAUAAUUUUAAUUUUUCCAACAUUUAUUUUCUUGACAGGAAAUUUAGUUUAGGAAAGUGAUUGGUUGUUUUUUUUCUAAAUUAAAUAAAUUGGUUCUUCAUGUGUUGCAUUCAUGCUGAGGUAUCUUCGUGUUUCAUGAGUGUAGACAUUUUAAAAAUGAGUUUCUAGAACGUUUAGGUUCUUCUAAGAAUUUUUCGGAUUUUUUUGGAUUUAUUCUCAUUUUCCUAGAGCUAAAUCUAUUUAUUAUAAGGCCCUAGAAUCCCUUUCUUGAGCUCCAAGUAUUUUAUUUGGAUUCAUCGUGUCCCAAGCUAUCUCAAGAAAUUUUCCUAGAAUUUUAGCUUUUUUAGAGUAUUUUUUGUGGUUUCAUUGAUUUAUCUAGAAUUUUCUAGAUUUAUUUUUGCACGGGAAACAUUUCUGAAAAUGAAAUAGAAGGAAAUCCCUUUUCCUUCGGGGCGGGCUUGUGGGAUCGACCUGCUCUGGCCCAGCAGCCAGCCUGCUAGGCCCAUCUGAGCUCUGCAGCUGCUGGUGUCCAUGCCGGACACAGUAUUCCGUCGCCACCUCCCCAGCCAACUUGGGUGUGCGUGCCACGCCAGGGCUCCACCCCUGCCCCUAUAAAUAGCGAAGCCGUGUCCCCUGCUUGCCAUGCUGCCCCAGCUCGUGCUUGUGCUGUGCCUUGCCCUUGCACGCACAAGCGCUGCCACCGCCGGAGCCGAGCUGCACCGCCGCCUCGAUCCGCCACACCCCGACGUCCCCAGACCAAGCUGCCACCUCCUAGAGUUGCGCCACAUAGGCUGCCUCCAACUAAGGCAUCUGCUUCACCAAAAGGCCACCGGAGCAGCACCACCUCGCAACGCCAAUCCAGCCACCGUCUGCUGUCCGCCGUCAGCCAAAAUUCUAGCUGGAAUCUGUCUGCCCCGUCGUUGGUGAGCACCUCCAUAGAGUCCCCUCGACCUCCUCUUUCAAUCCUCGUCCUCGCAGCCGGACUACCCCAAUCCCACCUGUCACAAGCCGGCCACCAUGGCCAUUUGAAGCUCUUUGAGCUUUUGGGAUUAGGCCCCUUGGAGAUCCUAUAAUGUUUACAAGUUUUCCUAUGUCUUGCACCUUUUACAGUGAACCCCCUAGACUUUAUUUGAUCCUUGCAAUCGAACCAAGUUGUAAUCUUUAACAGAUCUAACCUCAAGCCUUAUCAAUUUUGCGAGCACUGUUUGAUGUGUCUUGCAAAUCUUCUCUGCUAGCCCCUAUUGUCUAGGGUUAGUCACGAUUAGACCUGUGCAGCUUGUUUCAUCGAUCCUUUGUUUUAGCUCCGUUUAACCUCGUUCUUGUUGUGUUAGGUUGAUGAUAACAUAAAUUACACGUUAGUAAUGAUGUUUCUAUCUUGCAUGUUUUUAAAAAUAAAUCUAAUAUUAAUUUGAAUGAUGCCUGUUAAACAUGUCUUCUUUAAUUAAAAGAUACGUAGAGUUAUACACCUCUUUUCAUAAUCAAUGUUAAUUUGAUUAAUUCUUACUUCAUAUAUUUUUCUAAAUAAAAGCUAAGUAGAGCUACACCUCGGUUUUUCAUAAACUAAUGUUUAUUAUUUUAAUAUUCAACAUUGAGUCAACUUUUCUAAAUAAAAGUUGAUUAGGCUUUUACACCUGCUUUUAUAAAUAAAUAUUAACUUGAUUAAUACCAACAUGAUUAUGUUUUGAAUAACAAUUUGAUCUGCUUGAAUCAUAAAGUAUACGUUUAGAUGUUUCACAUAGUUUGUUUUUUCUAAAAGUUAAAUGUUUAAAUGAUAUAAUUUAUACUUCAAUAUUUACAAUUAAAAUAUGGAUAAAUUAUAACUUGGUUUUUCCUAAUUACUGAUAAAAUGACCAAUGUCAAUAUGAAUGUGUUUUCUAAAUAAACUUGUUUGGCCCAACACGACACAUGUAUUAAUUCGAUUAGAUGUGUUCAUCUUUCUAACGUUAAGUGUGUAACGGGUAUAAUUUAUAUAUGAACAUUUAUGAAUAAAACUUGAUUAUGUUUUACCUCAGUUUUUGUAAAUAAAGUAUAAUUUGCAUUGAUUCCAACAUAGGUUAUUUUUCGUUCUAAAGUAUCCUCCUUUGCAUAUGUUUUGUUAAUUAAAAUAAACCGGGUGUGACAAGAGCAAUCUUGGUUCAAAUCCUAUAUACUGCACAUGUGCAAAUUUUGUGUGAGAAAUUGUAUGAUGUGUGACUAGCUUCUCCAGAGCAAGCAGACUCAUGCCCCUCCAGCAGGUGUAGUUUGGUCAAGGAGGGAGCAGAGGCGCCGGCCACCUCACACAUCUGUCACGGUUUAACUUGUCACUAGUGGCAUGUCGGGCGUAGGGCUAUGUUUUUUUUUAACUAAAUAGCACAGAAUGGAUAAUACAGCAUUUUGCAAUCGCAAAUAUGUGUGUGUGUGGGUAGGGGUAUUGUUACGUACCGUUGAGAGAAUUAAAAGAAAGAUCCAGCAUUGUUAGCUGGGUCAAAUUAACUAUUGAGCUUGGUAUGCUUCCGGAAAAAUUGCAAUCUUGAAGAACUAACCAUCUCAACUUAUUGAGCUGCCCAAUUGCAUUAGGUAUCAACCCAGAAAUCUGACCACUAAUUUCCAUGGCUUCCAAGUUAGUGAGGUUGCCAAUUGGAGCCGGCAUUGAACCUGAAAACCCAGAAUACUGGAUAUACAUGUUUCUCAAAUUUGUGAGUUCACCAAUUGCAGCUGGCAUUGGUCCUGAAAAAUCAGCACCCUCGAUAUACAAGUUUCUCAAAUUUGUGAGUUCACCAAUUGCAGUUGGCAUUGGUCCUGAAAACCCAUAUAAUAUAUACAAGUUUCUCAAAUUUGUGAGGUUGCCGAUAGAAGAUGGCAUGGAGCCAUAUGUGUUGCAAUCAUGCAUUUCAAGUGUUUGCAAGCCCGUGAGGUUUCCAACUGCCCCAGAGAAGUUACAUCCAAAGAGUCCCAAACUUGUUAGGUUUUUGUGCUGGCCAAUCCAUGAGAAAAUUGGACCUAAGUCGCUUCCUGAGUCCAAAUCGUGGUCCAACUCAUUAUCCAAAAAACAAUCAAGGUCCAACUGGUGUAGAGACUCAAGUCUACCAAAUGCAGAGAGAAAAUCCAUAGAAAUUAAAUUCCUGUUAAGGCCCAACUCCUUCAACGACGUGAAAUUACUAGAAGGCGUUGGUAUGGCAUAUACAAAGUUGGUCCUAUCAAGUCUCAAAGUCUCUAAAGAGCUGGCAUUAGAAAAGUUUGGCACAUGGCCUGAGAGAUUCAUAUUAUAGGACAAAUCGAGGACCCUUAGAUUUUUUGAUUGAAAGGGUCUAGAUGGUAACCGCCCCUCAAGAUUUGUCUGAGAAAGUUGAAGCACGGUUAAAUUGGGAAAAUCCAUGAAGAACUCUGGAAAUGGACGACCACUAGGUUCAUAAAAGUUUUCUUGGAGUUUGAUCACAACAAGAGAAUGGAGUCUCGAGAGCGCUUUAUGAAUAGGACCACUCAGGUGACAAUCAGCCAAACUAAGUAUCUGAAGUUGAGGAACAUAUGCAGCAAGAGAUGUGCCCCACUCUUCUCCACUAUUAGACAAAUCCACCGAGUCAAGGUAGAGCUCUCUUAAGUUGCUGAGGUUUGCCACAAAGGUAUCAAAACUUGAUUCCCAUAAAUUGUUAUAAUAAUCAUAAUAGUUUGGACCAUAAAAACCGAGAGAAUAAUCAAUAUUGUAUGUUGAAAGAUCCAAUGAGAGAAGGUUCACUAGUUUACUGAUGCUAGGAGGUAUCUGACCAUAUAAUCCUGAAUUGGAAAGGUUUAGGUGGGUUAAAAAAGUGAACCUCUCAAAACCAGCAGAACGGAUGUUGCCUCCACCGAUGUCAUUCAUGCUAAGGUCGAGUCGCUGAAGUGAUAUGAGGCUGAAGAGUGCAGGAUCCAAGCCAUGAGUUGACAAGCGACGGUUGUUGAGGUCGAGAAUGGUGACAUGGCCAGAGGAAGGGUCGCAGCCAACACCCUCCCAGAGACAACAGUCGGUACCAUUUUGCCAUGAUGAAAGCCUGGUGGUGGAUCUGCUGAAGGAGAAGGACUUCUUCAGCUGGAGGAGCGCCUUAGCUUGGUUUGGAUGGCACAAAAAUGAGACAGGGAGGUGAGUGAGGUUACCACCAUCAGCACGGUGGGCAAUAGAG
rnacentral:lncRNA from 1 species